rnacentral:lncRNA from 1 species
AAAAAGACUAUAUUAAUUAAAAUAUGUAAUGUCAGUCACUAUAACAUUGAAUCCAAAACAUAUCAUCAAAACAUAAAUAAAAAUCAUUCACUAAGUAUGAAUACAUCUAAUGUGGCUCUUAUAUCAUGAACUAACAACUAUGUACUCCAAAACUUAUAGCUCGUCUGCUCAGCUAAUUAUAUAAAACUCUAAUGUUCUCUCGAGUAAUACGCACGAUUUGAGAAGUCCUAAUUUGUUUACACGUCCCUUAAGUAGGAAGAUCUAGAGUCCUUGGCACGUAUCCUACACCUAUCCCUGCAAAUCCAACAAUAAAAAUCGAACACGUAAAUGAACUUCAUAUAGUAAGAAAAUUAACUUUAAAAAAAAACCCCACCUUAAACUCAUUUAUUUCAUCAUCCAAUGUCCUAUCAUUUUCUUCAAUUCUUCGAACGUUUUCACUUUUUGCUGCACCUAUUACAUGAUAUACACAUUACCUUUUUAUACUUGCUCAUUACUUAAAAUGCAAAAGUUUCUACUUCAAUCAAGGCAUAGAUAGAUGCAGAUAACACACAAGAAAUUUAAAAAGUUACACAAUAGAAGUCAAACAGGUUUCUCCAAUUCUAGAUUCCAAUUGCAAGCUUAGGAGUGCCAAGUAACACGCAAGAAAUUUAAAAAAUUCAAUAAUCACUGAAGCAUAAUAUGUCUUUCAGAUAACAAGAGCAAGCUAUUAAAGUUCAAGCAUGUUCAGCAAUUCAUAGCCUAUGCUAACAGGUCCAUCUCAAAUGUUAAAAGUUAAAAGAUAACAAAUAAAUUUAAGUAACAACUUAAACUUAUAUAAUGAAGAUUUAAUUGUCAAUUAAGUCUUUAAAGUUAGUUCGCGAAAUUCUUUGUAUGACAUGUUUCUUUUCCUUCCCAGACAUAAUGCAAGUUCUUAAAUCUUAUCAGGCGGAAUGUGAAUUUGAUUUAUAGUAUUGUUUAUCUUAUUUGUGAUUCGAUGUACCAAGCUUUGUGUUUUUUUAGCGUAAGUAUUGGUUUAAUUUUGGGGAUUUUUAUCUUGUGAUAUCAUUUGGCUUUAUUUAAAUUAUAAUGUUAUUAGUAUUGCUAAAUACGGCUUUAUAUGUUUCUGUCUAAUUUCUGUAAUUGUGAUUUAUACUUUAUAACCAACGGAUUGUAUGUGGAAUUGGACAACUGUUUCCGUAGGUAAUCUUUAUAUAACCAAUUAUUUAGUCCAUUCUACAGACACUAGAAUAAACAUGUGCAUCAUGUUUAAUCCUGUCAAAAGAGAAAACAUAACGGUUGAUGGAUUUCAAUAAAGCACAUUAUAGAUUACUUGAAUAAGGGAGGGGGGGGGUUACCAAAUGGACUUUAUUAUUAUUUAUAUAUACACAAUUUUGGUUGUCAUAUGAACAGUUGGUCACAUUAUAUAGUUAACCAAUUUUCUUUAUAAUUACAUUUGGAUCCCAAAGUAAUCCCUUUUAAGUACUAAUGUGCAUUUAAGAAAAUUUGUUAGCACAUCCCUAAGUUCAUAGCAUAUCUUGGAAAAGUUAGAAGAUUGGCAACAAUAUUUUGCUAGUGCAAGCGAAUGUAGGACAUUUUGGCACGAGAAAGUGCUUGUAUUUCCUAUGUUUAGAUCAUAUUCAUAUAGAAGACAUGACAGAAAACCUAUGGCCAUUAAAAUUAAGUUCCCCAAGUUGAAUAUCUUUGAAAUGUGGGGAUGUCUAAAAAUUUCAAGUAAAAACAUAUUAUAUGUUAUUAUUCUUUGUAAAUUGACUAUUGAAAUGUGUUAAAAGUUGUACUGUAGAUUUGAAGGUGAAAUGCAAGAGUUCAAUGGAGCAUAUGCCCAAACGUGUUACUAAAGUCAAUAUUAAAAUUUUCAUGUAUUUAUCUGAUUAUAUUUUGAAAUUUUUUAAAAAGAUUUUGCAGAUGUGUAGAAGUAUAGACGAAGAAUAAGAGCUUUGGAAAUUGAUGGUACCAAAUUGUUGUCCAAGAGAGACAUCAAAUAAAUUAUAGAUCGUAAUGGACAUAAUAAAUCGUCGGGGAGGAUGGGUCUAAGCCCUAAGAGAGUCACAUCAAGGAGUAACCCAACAUUUGUGUUUGGAGAUCCCAUGAAAAAAAUACAAUAUGGUAGAAAUAAACCGUACUACAUGACUUGUAAUAGCACUAUUUUAUUUGUGUUUAUCUCUAUGGUGAUAUAGUGCGAAUAAUAAUGUGAUGUAGAAAGAAUUUAAUCCUGAAUGAGUACCGGAUGAGAAUUUUUACGAGGCGUGGGUCACACGCACUCUUGGAGGCCUCACAUACGAAAGGGUUGCCAUGAGGUCGCGGCUAUGGAAUUUGAUUAUUCCCUAGAGACUCUUACUAGAAUGGUCAUUAGAAACGCUAUCCACUAACCCGCUAUGAUUUAGAGUCUAAAUCGAUACUGCGUGUGGAACAAUUAAAAUUUGGCUAAGGGGCCCAAUUCAAAGCUGAGUCCAUUAGGGCUUCCUUAGAUGAAAAUUGUUAACACUAAGUGAGGUCAAAUCCAAAAGACGCUUACACCUAUUGCACAGUAUUUUGUUGCCACUAAUAUAUUAUAUAAAUAUUUAUCUAUUAUGAAAGUUUAAAAUUUAUGAGGGAUUGUAAUAUAAAAUAAAGUGUUAACAUUUCAGUAUUAAAAGUUUAAAACCAUUUAAUUUUAGGAUAAUGUCAUUAACAUGACUCUCUAAAACUUGCAUUUCUAACUCUUGUUGAUAUUAUUAUUGAAUUAUGUUUAUGUUAUUUAAUUGAUAAAUAUAUGCAUACAAAUCAACUAUUUUUCCCAACACAAAUUAUUUACAAUUUUGGUACACAAACAGAGUUGAUGACAAAUUUUAAAAACAGGGACACUAGUCAAAAAUCAAUUAAAUAAUUUGAAAAAAAAAAUGAAAGAAGCCAAACCCCUCUUUAGGCAGCAUUAUUCAAUUAUUAAUGUUGUACAAUACGUAACGACCAUAAUUGGAAUUCACACUAGAAUUAUCUCAAAUUUUGUCAACUCAAGAAAGUGUGUAGUUGUAGGGCUUGUUUGAGAUGAUUUAUAUUUCUAUUUCUUUUUUAUUAAAGAGCUUCCUCUUUAAUUAGCCAACUUCUUCUAAAAGCUAUUCUAUUUAGUAAAAUAAUUUUAUAAGUUAUCCCAACAGAUUUAAAAAUAAUUUUUUAAUCUCAAAAAUAAUUUUUUACUUUUUGAACGACACGUAAGUGUCCCAUGCUUGUUAAAUGUGAUGAUGACUGCACAUGCAUCUUGCAAAAUGUGAUGAUCAAUGCACCCCAUCACAAUCACAUUCAAUGGGUGCCAAUGUUCGCUAGCUUCAGCAAACCCAGCUGGAUAAUUGCACGGUCCACACGGCGGAGAUUGCGUUAACUUUCAUGCAGAUUAAUGGGUCAUCACUAAAAAAUGCCUUCGAUUUUUUUAAGAAUAAAGCCACUCAGACUGAAAAACAGGAAGUAAAGGACAGAUUAAUUUGGCAAAAAUUGAUUGAUUGCUUUUUUUUUUUUUUUUUUUCAAAGUGUUCAAUCAUGCUUCGACACCAAUCCACCCUUAUUUUUAAAAGUUGAACCCAAACCUUAAGAGCUCUUACCGUCCUGUCCCUAGAGGUUUGUGAGGGAGGUAAAUCUCGGAAUGUGUCCCAGCAGGUCAGGGAACAAGAGCUGCCUGUACACUGCGUCUACAAGGAGUCCAAUUCCAUGUCUUAGGAAUCGAACCCCUACACUGCGGUUGUCAGUAAGACGUGAGAUAACCUCAAUCCUAUCCUUUGCACCACUGGGCUAUGCCCCGGGGGCUGAUCCACCCCUAUUUUUACCCCUUUUUGAGAUGAUCUUUGUAGCAUUACUGAUUUAUUAAUUUAUCAUUCCAUCUAAACUCUUUCAUACGAUUGUAUGUAGUUUCUUUAGACGUUACCAAAUGAUACAUUGUUUGGUACAUCAUUGAUUGCUUUAUUUAAGACUUCGAUUAUACAAGAUGUUGUAAUUUAUUAUUCAAUUUACAAUAAUAAAUAUAUUGAAAUGAUAAUACACCCAUAUAGGUACGAAGUAAGUACAGAAAUACCAAAAGCAAAAUAAGAAAAAAAAGCGAAGGGAUUGAAAUUUUGGCCUGGGCAUUUAGACAGUUGCACAGCCUUGAUUAGGUUUACUAGUGGUCAAAACUUUGGCUUUGAUGAUAGCCCGAUUUUGUACCCAUACCAAUUUUUUAACAGUUUCGAUUUGAAUUAUGGUCAAUUUUUUGUUUUCGUGCAUUCUCAAGACAGUUCAUCUUUUCAUAAAUCAUUGAGACUUUUUGUAGUGUAUGAAUGAUAAUCUAUAAAUAAGAGUUAGAUUUCAUUCUUAAACACAAUCAAACCACCAACAAUUGAAAUCAUUCCAUAUUGAAAGAGUUAUUCAAAAGUUUCUAUACAUAGCAAUUCUGGUGUUUUUCAAGUUCAAAGAAGAAAAUAUAAAUGCUUAAUAUUUAUCUUUUUCUUGUGAUUAUAAAAUCUUAUGAUUCAUUUAUCGUAAGUCCUUUUAAGUAUCAAAAUCAAUCUUAGAGGAGACAAAUUUAAUUUGAAGACAACAAUUACGAAUUCAAGCCUUUAUUAAUUCCUUGGGUUUUUUUUUUCCGUCUAAUUAACAAAUUUUGGCAAAAGCAAACCCACGUGCAUCCUAAAAGGAAUCAUAGAUGGAACAGUACCUAAUUUUAUUUUUAAAAUAUUUAAUCAUCUAAUUAAAAAUUUGAACAAACACUUGCAUUCGAUCUACGAACUUGGCAAACCUAGUGGCUGACACGACAGUCAAUACAACGGAAAAAAACCACUCUCUAUUCUUUAUGACGAUAAAGGAACGAAUAGUAUACUUAGGCAAUUUAAUUACGCCCUGUUUUGUACUGAUUUAAAUCAUAUUUUAAUUUAAAUUAAAGUCAAACAAUUAAUUUUAAUCAUAUAUUUCAUAGAUUCCACAAUUUUUCAACUUCCACAAUUUUUCAACAACGCAGUUAUCAAUAUUUAUUAAAAAUCUAAUUUUAACCUCCACCAAACAGGAACCCAAUAGGCUAAUAUUGGUCUUAAUUUUUCAUAUGAAACAAGAACAAAUGAUCCACACAACAAAGGAAGGCCUAACCCCCAACAAGUAUUUUUUUUUUCUUUUACAACUUUUUUAUAAAAAUAUUUUGUACAUCGUUCUCUAUUUUACGUUUGCUUGAUUGGGUGGUGAUCGGGAGAAAAUGUUUCCACCUUUUUUGUGUGCCAAAGUUGGCUUUCAUCACUGUCAUCGAAGGAACGAAAAUGUUAAUAUUAUCGAAAUCUUAAAAGUUAUUAGAGAGAAGGGGCUUUCCACGUACAAACUAAAUUAAAUUAUUUUUCUAGUCUACCCCUAAUGAUUUAAAUAUAUAAUAGAUAGUAACAAAAGUUGACUCGCGAUAAUUUCCCCUAAUAUUGAUUUAUUGAUUUUUACUUUAGUAAAUAAACCCAGUGAUAACAAGAUAAAAAAGGGUAGAUACUAGAUCAUUUAAUUAAUACUCAUCAUUGACACAAUUUUCUUCCUUCACAAUAAUUGCAAUUUAUUUAGAAUAGAAAAGGAAAAUAAAAUAAAAUAAAUGAAAGCGAACGUGAAAUUUUUAUAAUGUCCAUAGUCGGAAUGGACCCACGAAAGUCUGUUGGGUGCACGAAAUUUAAUUUUAUAAGCGUCAAUGACGUAACAUUUCGUAUGAUCCGUACGGCAAAGCACCGACCGGACCUUUAUUCCUAUUUUUAUAUUAAUUUAUUAAUAACGUAAUGCUUUAAAUGGGAAGAAAAAGGGACCGCAGUGAUGGACAUGACAUGGAUAUCCACAAAGUGGUGGGCCCACUGGCCCAAUAUCGGCCCAUCCGUUACACAACAGCCGAAAAGGAGCAACUUUUUUAUUACAUGGCAUGUAAUGAUGAAAGCAAAGAUGCCUCUUGUUUCUAGAACUCUCCAACUUGUAUGACUAAUGGCCGUGCCACUACCUUUUUGAAAUUAGAUUAUCUUUUGUUUAUUUUAUCUAGUAAAACUCGAAUUUCGAUUUAAUUGAAUUGAGUUUUACACAAGACGUAUGUAGUUGUAGAAUCGAAACAUCAAAGAAAUAAGAUUUUUCUAAUAGUUCCAAGUGAUGUUUGUCGAUUUCAUACGUGAUAACAAUUAAUUGAUUAGCGAGUCAUUCCAAGAGACGGUUGGACACUUUGACCCGAAUCCUUCGCUAGUGUAAGAAUUACAAUGAUGGUAGGAUGGUGUAAAUUUUGUAUUGGAAAUAUAGAAGGACGUUCAAGUAAUAGUACUGAGAAUGACUUCACAUUUAUCCUUCGAAUGAGACUCCCUUUAUAUAGGCUUCAAAAUGUGCAAAUGUGUCCAAAAACGAUUUCUGGACAUGGGAUAGGCAUCCCUAAAAUAUUUUAUAUUUUUGACGAGCAUAUGAAAGAGAAAAAAGAUCAGAAGAACCGUCGCAUAUUCUACGAUAAAAUACCGCGAUGCUUAGAUGGUUGAUCUUUGAUUACUAAUAAUUGUAUCUUGGAUAUGGCAAUCGAGACAUGCAAGUUGUCAUCUCUUUCUCCUUUCUCGAAUGUUCUUCAUCUAUAAGGCAUGUCUUGAUUCUUGAAACAAUAAUAGUUCGAUUUUGAUGGUCUUAGUGACAAAUUCAUCACCAUCACAUAGCGACACGUAAUUGUAGUAAAAAAAAAAAAAAAUUAGUGUCAAUUUCAUAAAAUGAAAUAAAUUGGAGGGAGAAAAAGUUGGCGAUCCAACCAAAACCUGUACGUACGAAUACCCUAUCUAUGGUCUGACUUCAAGAAAGUUGUCUGAUAUUUGUCCACUCUAUCCGCCAAUUUUCCCUGCAAUAAUACUUCCGUACUGCACGGUAUCCUUCAAUAUCGUGGAAAUUACAGGGAGGGAGGUAUUUAAAGAUUGUAUUGCAAAAAUAAAGUUUAAUGUUUACUUAUUCAAAAAUUAGGUAGUAAUUCAACUUUUUAAUAUUAAUGAUAAUUAUAUAAAAUUAAAUUAAUCUAUCGACCCACCCAACCAACCAACCCACCAACACUAUCAAUCCCUCAUUUUCCUCUCUUCUCUGUCUUUACUCCCAAAUCCAGUCGCCGACCACCGCCCAAAACUUGUUCUCAGACUUCGUUGUUUGAUCAUGAAUAUAUCUUGGCUCAUUUUUAUCGUAUCAGCCACGCUCGAAGCAGAGUGAAGCUUUCUAAAAUGGAACCCGCUUUUUAUGCUCUAUUAUCUCCUUUCUCUCUCCACCCAUCAGUCCCAUUCCGACUAUGCGCAGCAGUGCAGCGAAGGGAGAUUUCUAUUUAUGUUGUUUUCCUAGAGUCAGAGUCGUUCAUUGGGAUAAAUUACGCCCCAAGUAGCAGACAACCUCUUGUCAAUGCCGACUGCAAAGUUUCUGUAAUCAACGGCAAUCGAGAAGGUUUCAUUGAGACAAUUUGAACAUCCAUCCUCUGGGAGCUUUAUGCUAGCAAUCUGAGCUAUGUGGGUUUCAAUUUUGGGAUGUCAACAAUUGAGGUGACUGGUGAUAGGUGUGGUGAUUGGUGAUAGUGGUGGCGCGUGUUUCCUAUUUUGUGUGUCUGUUAUUUGUCUUGUUUGGAUGUCAUGUUUGCUGUGGUGGUUUGUUGUGGGUGGUAUCCUAAUUCGAUGCACUUUCGGUGUUGGCGGUGACGGUGGUAACGGUCGCGAUGCUAGUAGUGGUUAUGCUGCUGGAUUUUUGUUGCAUUGAGGUUGAGGUUGUAUGAAGACGAUCUGUGACCAAUAAAUUAAUUUAUUUUGUGACUUAUAAAUAAUAUGUGAUCAAUAAAAUAGAUAAUUUAGAUCGAUAAAUAAUGUGUCCUUAAAAAAAUGUGAUAUUGUGAUUGUAGUUGUGACUUACUAUUUGUUCACUGGUUAAAGAACAAAUCAAUGUCCACAUGUCAUAGAUCAAAUAGAACUGAUCACAUAUCACUGAUUCAUGUUUUCAUGUCACAUGUUACAGUUCACAGGUCAUACUUCACAAUUCAUAUUGUAUAGGCCACAGAUUAAUGUCAACAUGUCACAUAUCAAAAUUAACUGAUCACAAAUCAAAUGCCACAGAUCAAAUAUAACUAGUCCUAUAUCACAGAUCAAAUAUCACUAGUCACAUAUCACUAAUUUAUGUUCACAGGUCACAUAUCACAUUUCACAAAUCAUAUUGUAUAAGUCACAAAUGAAAAUUAACUGGUCAUGUAUCAGAGUCAUAUGUGUUUUGUGUACUGAUAAUAGGUCACAGAUUUGAGUUCAUGGCUUACAGCUCAUAUGUUAUAGGUUACAUAUAAUGGUUCACAAAUCACAAGUCAUGUUGAAUAUGUAAUAAAUUAAUGUCCAUUGAUUACAGAUUCAAUAGAACUGGUCACAGGCUAUUGAAUCAAUAUUACAGUUUAUAGAUCACAUGUAACAGGUCACAAAUCCAAGAAAACUGGUCACAUGCUAUUGAUUUCUUGAUCGUUGGCUUCAAAAAUUCUGAUACACAAUGCCGACAACUUCUAAUUUGUGAUUGGAAACGUCCGACAAGUUUCAAUUAACCAGAUUUUGAAGGUGAGAAUUGAAGUUAUUUGCUCUGAUGAGUUCUCUGUAAAUUUAUUUUUUUUUCCGUUCGAUCUUUUAGUACACAGUGCCAACUACUUUCAAUUUGUGACUUUAAUCGUCCUUCAGAUUUCAAUUAACCAGAUUUUGAAGUUGAGAAUUGAAGUUAUUUGCUCCAAGAUUCUGGCGGUGGUAAUUUGCUUCGAAAAGGUCUCUGUUGCUUUUCUACUUUGUUCGGUCUUCCAGAUUUGUUAUGAUUUGUUGUUUUGUAGGAUAUAGUAAUUGAAAGUGUUAUUUUAGGAUCUAUAUUUGUUAGAAUUUAUUUAUAUAUAAUAUUUAUUAAUUACCACCUGGGUUUUGAACAUUUAAAUCUUUUCUCUUAAAAUUGAAUUAGGGUAUAGUUAAGGCCUGAACUAUGUAUUGUUCCCUUCAAUAUUUUGCCUCUUUGACUGGGAACUCCGCUUCAUGAUCCAAUCCUAUUUAUCUUUAAUAUCUUGAAUUUUUAUUUUUAUUUUUCAUGAUUGAUAAUUAUUCAAAUUCAACAUCGAUAAUAAAAUUUGAUUAUUACCUUACAUACAAAUGAUCAAAAUCACUCUUUUUCCUUUCUAACUAGUUGAAAACUUGAAAUAGUUCUUAUCAAGUCGCGAAUGACUAUUUUUUGCUCAAAGUUAUAUCAGUUCUCUUAUUUUAGAUUGUGACGUGAAUGUAUUUAAAUUUGAUUAUAAAUAAAUCCAAAGUUGGUUUGGUUUGAUUACAACCUUGUACGGAGUUUCAUACUUUAAUAGAUUUUUUGGGUACAUUUUUAAUAGAGAGCAAAUGAAGUAGGUGAGUUGGGUAAUGACUUAAAGAGUUGUGCUGUGAAUGUUUAGUUUGAAAUUUCAUAGGGCGGAAUUCUGCACCCACAAGACCAAUUUUUCUUCAUGAAAUCUAAUGUGUUAGGUUAGAUAAUUCGGGUCUUCAAUGUUUACUUUUCUAGUUUCAAAUUGAGACACCAUUGAUCAAAUAUUGUUUGUUCAAGAUGCUAAAAUGUAACGUAUUUAAUCAUUAUAUAAAAAAAAUAUUCAUACUAGACACGACGAGUUUGGAGUAAGUUGGCUUAAUAUAUAAUGGAAAGAUGACUAAGAAGGGAAGGGUGGAUUUCAUUUGAAAACAUCUUGGCAACGGCUAUAAGCAAGUUGGUUGCAUUGUAAUGUGCAGAUUUAUUUUUCUCAUUAAUUCAACCAUCAGUACCCACACCUUAUGGGCUUAAGAGAAAUUUCAGUAGGAUGGUCGCACCACCUCGACGGGUGGCCCACACACCUCGGGAGUGUGUGGUGGGCCACACACCGAAGUGGCGCACCCUAAUAUGGUAGCCUUUUGGGACUUACUUCUGUUGAGCCAUAUAUUUGGUCAUGAAAUGGUACUACUUGUGCCAGUAGAUCAUAUCAUGUAUUAGGAGUGAUUUGAAAUUCGACAUAGUUCUUACUAUAAUCAGUAACAAACUUAAGUCGUUCAAAUUUUUUCGACACAAUUUUAAUCGAAGGGUAAAUGGUUCUUAUCUCACUUGGUUUGGUUAUCUUCAUUAAGUAUAGAUGUGGCAAUGAGUUGAGUCAGCUCGACCAAUAGGCACUGGAGCUUGGUUCAACUUUAUGGAUGAGCCGAGCUCAGCUUGUGUCCAUAAACCAGCUUGAUUUGGCUCUUGUACUUGUGGACCUCAUAAUCCGAGCCAUCGCAUUUAAUUUUUUUUUUUUGAAGAAAUUAAUAAAACUAGUUCAAAAAUUAGUCUGCCCACAAGUCAAAAAACGAACCAACCUCGUGAAAAAAAUUUGAGCGCAACUCUUUUCAAUAUGAACACGAUUGCCAUGAAGUCAAGAUGAGCUUAGCCCAUGAACCAACGAGGUACUUGACCCAUUUGAUACCACUAAAUUAGUAAGAAAAAUAAUGGUAAGUUGAUGUGUAUUGACUUUUGAAUUGAAUUAAGUUGUCCAUAUUAAACGUAAAUAAAUGACCAAAAUGUAUGUUUAAAUGGUUAUGGAUAAGCAUAUAUGAUUAGGAUCCUACUGAAGCCUCAAACAUCUUGAUUUUCAUUAGUCAAUAUUUAAAAAAAAUAAAACCCUGAAAAGUUGCAGGCUUGCAGCCCUUGGAGACACAUAAGAGCCAUUCACUGUUUUAAACGUCAUCAAAUGCAAUCAAAUUUUGUAUUAUUAUCAGAAGAUAUCAUAUUUGCAUUUUAGAACUUCAGACUAAAACUAUUCCACAAAUCAGUGUGAAAGUAAAUUUAAACUCAGGCAAAAUGUCGACAAUUGAAGGAAUGACCAAUAUAUGCUUGAAGAGAGUCAAAGGAGAAUCCAACUACAAAUCCUUGCAGACUAUAUUUGAUUAUUGAAUGAUAAAACAUUUUGUUCCUUCCGUUUCUGUACUGAAACAAUGAAACCAUAACCAUAACAAACUCGAGAUUGAUUGCGACUAACAAAAACCCUUAACCAAACAAAUAAAAAUUCUUGUAAACAAUAAAAAAUCAUCUAUGCUAUUCAAAACCAUAGUUAAGCAUGGGUUUGUCAGCAUUAACAGCAGAAGUAUAUAGAUCUGUAGUGUUACCCGUACUCGUUGAUGAGUUAUAAUAACCAGCUUCUGCAGUUAAGGCAUUGUCAGUCGUAAAUGUUGUAAUAUCGCUUAAAUUCCAGUCAGUCAGGUAUACCGGCCUUGACGUGACAGUGGGGACCUCGGCAUCUCCACAAAGCAUAGCCACCACACGAGACAUGGAAGGCCUUCGAGUUGGGGAUGUUUGACUGCAUAAAAAUGCAACACCUAUCAUUUUUUUCACCUCAUCCUCGUCGAAUGCAGAUAAAUUUGUGUCCACCAAUUCCAUUCCCCGGUUAUUUUCAUGCAGAUGCCAGGCCUGAAAGGGUGAAUAGUAUGUAAGUUACAACAUGCGAAAGCAAAGUAAGAUGGAUGAUCCAGAAAAAAUGUUUGAACUCUCGAAUUAUGCAUACCUAAAAAACUCAUUUAAGUGAGAGUUGUUAGCAAAAUGAUUCUGGUGAAUCGAUUCAAGAGAAAGGAAUAGACAGUACCCAUUCAAGAAGAUAUAUCCGAUCUUCUUCCAAACGUGAGUCAGAAUUUGCUCUUCCACUGACGAUCUCUAGGGCUACGACUCCAAAUCCAAACACAUCAGCCUUCUCCGUAAGGUGACCACGCAUGGCGUAUUCCGGCGCAAGAUACCCACUGCAUGAGCAAUCAGGAAAAUUUCAGUAAUGCGCUCAACUACUUGAUACUCUAAUUUAAACUGCAAAUGCAACUAGAUAUUAAGUUAGAACACAGAUAAAAAUUAUCAACCAUGAAUUAAUGGAUCUUACAUUGUGCCUGCAACACGGGUGCUUAUAUGAGUCUUUUUGUCAUCAUACAACUUGGCUAAGCCAAAGUCCGAAAUUUUUGGAUUGAGUUCAGAAUCGAGCAGAAUAUUGCUUGCCUUUACAUCUCUGUGUACAAUUCGAAGUCGAGACUCCUCAUGAAGAUAAGCUAGACCUCUUGCUACCCCCAAGCAUAUGCCAAAACGUGUUGGCCAAUCCAAGCAUAAGUUUCCGCUUCCUCCUAUAUCGAAGCAAAAAUGUUCAAUCUUCAGUAUACCUGUGUUCACAAAAACAUCUUAGCAUGAAGCUGUACAAAUGAUAUAGCUUCUACCAAAUAAUGCUUGAUCAAGACUCCUGUUUUCGAGAUACUCAUAAACAAGCAACCGCUUAUCACCCUCAGUGCAGCAUCCAUACAAUUUUACAAGGUUCCGAUGUUGUACGGCAGAUAUGGUGGCAAUUUCUGCCACAAAUUGGCUAUUUCCUUGAUGGGAUGAUACAGACAGUUGCUUUACAGCAACCAUUCUUCCAUCCUCAAGUGUUCCCUUUUGGUCAUAAAAAUACUAAAAGGGUCAGAUAUAAAGAGUGAGAAAACAGUAUUGCACGUACCAAAAAUAGAUACCCACUGAAACAUGAUCUGUAAUAAUUAUCAGAAGGAAGGAAAGAAAGCCUUCAAGAAGUAUAAAAGAUAUAUAUAAUUACCACUUUGGUAGCAAAAACUCAAAUCAUAUUAUCCUUGUUUUUUCUGGUUGCAUAAAGGCCAGAGCUUUCAUUUACCGAAAGAAAACACAAGGUAAAAGGGAAAAAAUAGUUAUGGGGUAUCUUACAUCAAACUUGUCUCUGCAGUCAAGGUGUUUAGUGCCCAUCUAAGUGAUAGGCCAUCUUAUAAACUUCAUGUUAAAAUAUAGCUUACCUUGUAAACAGGCCCAAAUCCUCCCUCGCCUAGUUUAUUUGACGAACUGAAGUCAUCUGUUGCCACUUGUAGUUCCACAUAAGUAAAAGUGUAUGGUCUGGCAUCCAUUCCCAAGAACUCUGCAAAUUCACAGAAACACAGUUUUUUGCUUCUCAAUGUCCUAAGCUAGUCAUUCCCUAUUUCGUGACAAUAUACUAAGGCAUGACAGUUCUGUGGGAUGUUGUGAAGUGGGUUGUUUUAAUUAAUCAUAAGUGUACCGAUCCUUCUCACCUUCAUCUUCAUAUCUCUUCUGCCUUUUUCUUCUGCGAGCCAAAUAAUACAUGGUGAAUAAGGAAAAAAAGCUUACAGCUCCAACAGCGACAACAAUUCCCACAAUCAGACCAGUUCUGUCCUCCUUCCUACUCGUGAGACCAUUUGGAGGAUUGUUACUCACUUUGGGAAAGAAAUCUGCAUACUUUUUUAGUUGUAAAAAAUUCGAAUCAAUGGAUUAAGAAUCAUUUGACAUGUCUAUGCGAUAUCAAACACUUUGAGUUAGUACGUACCUGGGAUGACACUUAUUACAGAAAUAGAGGGACCAUAUACACCUUCAGCAGGUACGCAGCAUGUCCCCUUUCCGGCCCAAAAGAGAUGGAUCUCAAGGUAAUUUUCCGUCACCUGGGCUUUAAAUUCCUUCAUCACAGCUCUAAAAGAGGCCCCGCCAGCCUCUUUUCUUACGUCAAAAUCUUUCCAUACUAGAUUAUCCUGAACACAUGAAAUGAAGAAUAAAAUUUAAUAUCAAAUGUACCACAUGGGAUAAAACUGUUUGAUAACCAAACUCAAAGGUUGGAUUUGUAUACAGUAUUUGAUGGUGCAAUCCAGGAGGACAUGAAUUUACUAAGGAAGAAUCCUGAGAAAUCAAGGAUAGAUCUGCCAUAUUAUAAUGAAUGAAAGUUUCAUGAUAACAUUAACAUUAUUGCCGACCACAGAAUGCUGCAGAAUACAAAAUAGAAAACCAAGGAUGGAGCUCAUUCACGUAGAAACUUGACCUCCAUACAUGGUCCCAGUACUUGAUUGUGCGAUUUUUUGUUUAGAGGAGGUCUGAUACUCCAUAACGAAGAAUUCAAGAAUGAAGAAACAACCAAACAACACCUUUAAGUUCAAGAUCUAAGGCAAGCAGCGUUUUUGUCUGGGCUUAAAAGCAUUAAAUUAAACCUGCAUUUCAGUUAAGAAUUUUACAAGUGAAAUUUCAUGCCAGAAACCUUUCCUGACAUUAAAAAUAUUUUCUACAAUGAUGACAUCAAAUUGAAGUACAACUAGUAAUGAAGCCAGGUGUAUAGCAAAGAUAAGAUUCAGGGAAGUAUGCCAGUCACAUGCAGUGGUGAUUGUUUUCCUUCUUAUUUUUUAUCCUAUCAAACGACAAUAAAAAUCUGUUUAAAGAGAAGCAAGAUCAAUGGUUGAAAACACAUUCUACAAUUCGACAUAACAGACCUGAAUAUAUAUGUUGAAAAUGCGCCUUCCAAGACUCCUCCAGGAUGGAGGAUUUUGAAUUUCUGUCUCUCCAAACUGGAGGGUCACAGUGUAAUUACCAUUCUCCAGGCCCAAGCCAUAGUAUCUAAGUGAUCCAGCAGAAAUCCGUGCACUCUGGAACAGCUCCAGGUCCCUUGUAUUUGGGAAAAAGGGAACAACGUUCGUUAUAUAUCGUGGAUUGUUGCUUCCAGAAGGCAGACCAACAUUACUAACUGCCCAUCUGCGUUCCCUGGUCACAUAAUAUGUUGCUGGACCAACAGUCUCAUAACUAUUGUCUGCCUCGUACACAAUCCCCGUAGCAGAACUCAUUUGUGGACCGCCACAAUUAAUUGCAAAGCUGGAAUCUGCAAACCAUCCCCAAGAGUAAUUUGUGAAUUGUCAAUACAAAAAAUAACAAAUAGCAGAUACUGAAAUAAUUUUCUGACAAUAAUCACGUUGGUAAAAUGACUGCACAUAUAGUUGCAGAGCGAAACUAUAAAAUGAAGAUUAGAAGAUUUACAAAAUUAAUGUGGCUUUAAUAUUCAGCCUUCAAGUUUAUAUACGGUAACGGGUUAAUUUCACAAACGGUCACUAAACUUAGGCGAAAAUUACAAAACCGUCACUGAAAUUUAAAACUUUUAGUAACGGUCGGGACACUUUAAAAGGGUCACUGGAAUUUAAAAACUUGUAGAAACGGUCACUGAAAUUUAAAAACACUUUUUUAGUUUUUUGGACUACUUUUGCGAUAACUUUUCAGCGACUCCCGACCACCGAUACCGUAGAAUUUUGAUACAACUGGAAAGCUCAUAAUGUCCUCUUCAAUUAACACCAAAACUUUCUAGCAACUCUAAGGGAUUCGACAGGAAAAUCACCGCAAAAGUUGCCCAAAUAUCUGAAAAUCUGCCUAGAUUUUCAGAUUUUUGGGGUGAUUUCCCAGCGACUUCCGACCACCCACACGCCGGAAUUUGAUGCCAUUGGAAAGCUUACAAUGUCCUUUUCGGUUAACACCAAAAAUCUCCCCAAAAAUCCAAAGGAUUCGCCCGGAAUAAACCCACAAAGUUGGCUAUCCGAAAAGGCAAAAAUUUGGACAGAUUUUUUAAAUUUUUGGUUGACUUUUGCAGCAACUUUUCGGCAACAUCUGACUACAAAGACCGUCGGAUUUUGAUACCAUUGGAAAGCCCACAAUCUCCUCUUCAAUUACUAUCCAAAAUCUCCCCAUAACUCUAAAGGAUUCAUCUGGAAUAAACCCACAAAAUCAGCAUCUUGAAUCUGGACAGAUUUUUACCUUUUUGGGUAACUGAAUUUGUGGAUUUAUUCCAACCGAAUCCCUUGGACUUUGGGUUAGAUUUUGAAAGGCAAUUGAAGAUGAUAUUGUGGGCUUUCCAACGGUAUCAAAAUUCGACGGUCUUGGUGGUCGGAAGUUGCCAGAAAAUCGCCACAAAAGUCGCCCAAAAAAUCUGAAAAUCUGCCCGUCACACAAAAAAUCUGAAAAUCUAGGAAGAUUUUCAGAUUUUUUGGGCUACUUUUACUACAAUUUUCGAUCGAAUCCCUUGAAAUUAUGGGGAGAUUUUGGAUAGUAAUUGAAGAAGACAUUGUGGACUUUCUAAUGACAUCAAAAUUCUACGGCAUUGGUGGUCGGAAGUGGCCGAAAAGUUGCCAAAAAAACUGAAAAAGUGUUUUUAAACUCCGGUGACCAUUUCUGAAAGUUUUUAAACUUUAGUGACCGUUUUUGCAAGUUUUUAAAUUUCACGACCGUUUUUGAAAGUGCCCCGAAACUUAAGUGACUGUUAUUGAAAUUUUUAAAGUUCAGUGACUGUUUUGUAAUUUUCACCUAAGUUUAGUGACCGUUUGUGAAAUUAACCCAUACGGUAACAUAUAAAAUAGACGGGAUAAUUUAGAAUCAUUCAAGGAUUUGUAAAUUUCAACUUGGAUUCUCAACAAUAACCACACUAAACUUGUAUCAGUCAACAAAAUGUCCAAGCGAGCCUAGGCAAUAAGCCUUCUCCAGAGCGUAGGACAGUAGUUGACAAAGCAGUCCCCAGGGCGUUGCUUUAUAGCAAAGGAAAAAAUUAAAUGAUAAAGAAAUAAUUACCACCUAUUAUUGUUAACAGACUCCCUUCUCUCUAUUCUACAUUUUUCUCUAUUUCACCAUUCAUUUAUAUUUUUGUAUAUUUUGUAUCUUUCUUGGUAGAUUCAUAUUUGUAUGCCUAGGUUUCAACUGUAUUUUAUAACCUUGAAAAGAGUACAAAAAUAUCUAAGAAAGUAGCAAAUCACGUAGGCUCCCCAGAAAGCAACCAUCACAACUACGGAUAUAGUAAACAUGUUCAAAUCCUGUAUGUAGAUUUCAAAGACUUCACAUUUUGAUUCCUUCUUAUUUUUUUCCUACUCCAGGUCAUAGCAAAUCAUUGCUGUCCUUUGUGACAAUUCCAUACCUACACUUUUAAAUAAAUGUAAACCGUGUGGUUCAAGCCCAACUAAGUACUGCUGUAUCCAUAUGGAGUGUAUUUUAUUCACAUUCACACAUUCAACAUAGUGCAUUUAUUUUUCGAAAUUAUGAUAUUACAGUUGUCUCUAUCACAUCUCAAAGUUAAAAAUCGGGAAAUUAUUCUGGCCAUUCACACAAGUCAGAAUUAGCAUUUUGUACACAUUCCAGUGUGAGAAAGAGAAACUGCAUUUACAAUUAGAUUUUUGACCUUUUGGUAGCACAAUAAUGUAUUGAAAGAAAGUAUAUCACUCACACUGGGGGUCUCCUCGAUUGCAAGAGAAAUUUCUUUGAAGACAAUUCAAUCCUGAACUGAAAUUGAAAAAAGAAUCUAUAGCUAAUUAGGAAAGGUAUCAUGUCAACUGCUUUGACAUAGUGUAUUAUGGCACUCAGAGCAUGAAGCAAUCUCAUUCAUGAGUGGAUUUGAAUAUAAACAUAAUUUAUUCCAUAGUGGAUUGACAUAUUGACUUAUGUACUCUUUUGUGGGCAUGGUUAUAAACUAAUGUACAUUCUUCACCAGUGGGAAAUGUUAAUAAGAUGUCCUUGAUUAUUCUGUGAUUAGGAUAGUAAUGAACAGAAUAAUAAUUAAUAAGAUAUUACAACUUAGAAACAUCCAUACAAGAAGCUACAGAACAUUUUCUAGUUUUGAUGUAUUCAAAUGAAUAUAAAUUAAAAAUUUGGAAGCCUAAUGUACUGAUCAAGAGUGUAUGGUUUCAGAUAUGUACCUGCUGUUUUGCAAGACAAAGUUGUUGGCGACCAAAUUACUGCAGAGAAAUUUUUAUUAAUUUUGGGGUAUGCCAGCCUUUAGAUACGAGACAAUAUCCCAAAGAAAAGAAGACGAGAGUUCUGAACUAUAACAUAUAAAUCAUGCUACUUUCUAAUUUGAAAUUGUUCAUACAGUUGCAUAUUUUCCUGGCUUGCCCAAGAAGGGAGGUUCCCGGAUAAUUCGUUGUAUGACAAAUCUCUGCAAGCAAAUAAGAUAUAGAUGUUAAGAGUAGGAUACUUGAUAGAAUUAUUGAACACUAAGAGGAAGAAAAGACACUUUUUGAUAGAAAAUAUUCAGCACUCUUCAAGUAAUACACGGCUGGAACCAUAGUAUUUAACAAAAGAAAUUCUAGCCAACUUUUAGUCAACAACUUCUACCUACUGCACCUUACUUCUUUGACAGCAUACCAGACCCUUAUUACAAGACCAUACUUGACAGAUUUUUCAUUACAUAAAGGCCAUAACUUAGACUAGAAAUAGGUACUACAAAAAUACUAGACUUUGGACCACAAAAAUGUCAAUUUAAUAUCAAUACUCCUUCUUGAAACUUUUGCCGGAAACACCAAGGCAUUUCCUUAAUGUUUCAAACCUUCAUUUAGACAAAGAUUUUGUUAGGAUAUCAGCAUAUUGGUCUUCUGAAUUGCAAUGCACCAACUUCACAUCCUGCCUUUCUUGUGCUUCCCUAAUUGAGUGAUACUUGAUCUUGAUGUGUUUUGUUCUUCCAUGAAACACCGGGUUCUUUACCAUUGCAACGGCUGACUGGUUAUCACAAUAAAUGACAGUUGCAUCAGAUUGCUUGUGAUUAAGAUCUUCCAAUACUUUCCUCAACCAAAUUGCUUGAUUUGUAGCUUCUGAUGCAGCUAUGUACUCUGCCUCUGCUGUCGAUUGAGCCACUAUUUUUUGCUUCAUUGAGUUCCAACACACAACACUUGAACCAGCAUAAAAUACUUAACCAGAGGUACUCUUCAUAUCAUCAAUAGAUCCGACCCAAUCACUAUCAGUAAAGCCGGUUAAAAUCAGAUUUUCUGACUUCUUAUACCAGAUUCCCAGCUCUACAUUUUCUUUUAUGUAUCUUAGCACCCUUUUUGCAGCUUGAAAAUGGAUUUCACUUGGCUCUUGUCUAAAUCUAGAGAGUAUAUUCGCAACAUAUGUAACAUCAGGCCUUGUGAUGGUUAGAUAUAACAAACGUCCAACCAAACUUCUAUAGAUUUUUUCAUCAGAUUUCUGGGCUCCAUCUUCCUUUAUCAACGUUGAAUUUUGCACCAAAGGAGUGCUAACUGAUUUACAAUUCUCCAUACUGAAUUUCUUCAAUACUUCCAUAGCAUACCUCUUUUGGUAAACAAAAAUCCCUUCUUGUGUUUGAUCAAUCUCCAUGCCAAGAAAAUAUUGCAUCUUCCCCAGAUCAGUCAUGUCAAUGCCUUCUUCAAUUCUUCUUUCACAACUCCAAUUAAUGUUUGAUUACUAGCUGUUAUCAAGAGAUCAUCAACGUACAGGGAAAUAAUGAUCAUUUCUUCCUCCACUUGCUUUACAUAAAGUGUUUGCUCAUUCAUACUUUUGAUGAAACCGAGGCUCCCUAAGUGAUCAUCAAUCCUGCUACACCAGGCCCUUGGAGCCUGUUUUAAACCGUACAAGGCUUUCUUCAAUAAAUACACCUUGCCUUCAUUUCCUUCCACCAAGAAACCUUUAGGUUGCUUAAUGAAAAUUUCUUCAUUUAGGUAGCCAUUUAGGAAGGCCGACUUCACAUCCAACUGGUGUAUUUUCCAUCCUCUUUGAGCAGUAAUAGCAAACAGCAAUCUUAUGGUUUGAUAUCUGGCAAUUGGAGCAAAUGUAUCAGAAAAAUCAACUCUAUAUUGUUGAGCAUAGCCUUUCACAACCAAUCUGGCUUUGAGUUUGUUAAUUGAACCAUCAGGAUUUAAUUUAGUUUUGAACACCCAUUUAACUCCAAUCACAUUUUUAUCCUUUGGUCUAUCAACCAGCACCCAAGUUUCAUUCUUUUCAAUUAUAUUCAGCUCCUCCUUUAUUGCAGCCAUCUACCCUUUUGAAUUUGCAGCUUCAUGGUAGUUCGAAGGCUACAACACAGCUGAAUUGCAACUAGCAUAAAUAUCAGCAAGUGAUCUGGUUUUUAACACGGCAUUUUCUGAAUCUGAACCACUAUCAAAUUCUACUCCUUCUUCGUUAAUGAUAGCAUCAUUUUCUUGUGGAACCAACCUUUGUAUUUGCAACUUAUUCAAGGUACUUGUUUCCCAAUUCCAUAAAGAGUCUUCAUCAACUUUGAUAUCCUUGCUGGAUAUCAUUUUUCUAGCUUGCGGAUUGUAGACUCUAUAGCCUUUAGCAUUGCCACAAUAUCCAAUCAAAACACCAAUCUCUGCCUUUUGACUCAGCUUAUCCCUCUUUGCAUCAGGUAUGUGAGUAUAACAAAUGCUUCCAAACACUUUUAGAUGAGCAACAUCAGGCUCGACUCCAUACAGGCUUCAAAAGGGGUUUUCUUGUCCAAUGCUUUUGUAGGUAGUCUGUUGAGAAGGUAUAUAGCUGUAUUUAUAGCUUCGGCCCAAAAAUCAUUUGGAACAUUCUUCUCAAUCAUUAAACACCUAGCCAUCUCCAUUACCGUCCUAUUCUUCCUCUCACACACUCCAUUUUGUUGAGGAGAAUAUGGAAUGGUCAGCUGAUGUUUAAUCUCCAUAGCAUCACAAAAUUUAUCAAACUGAUCACAUUUGUAUGCAGUCCCAUUGUCUGUUUUGAUGGCCUUAAUCUUGCAAUCACUUUCAUUUUCCACCGGAUUGUCAAACCUUUGAAAUACAACUGCUACCUCUGAUUUGGAUUUUAAGAAAUAAACCCAACACAUCCUUGUCAAGUCAUCAAUAAAUAGCACAACAUAUCUGCUACCAUUUAAAGUGGUUGUUCUCAUUGGACCACAAACAUCUAAAUGAAUUAGUUCCAGCUUCUUUGAAGCUCUUUUGGACUGAUUUUUAGGGAAUGACAUUCUUGUUUGCUUUCCACGUUGACAAACACCACAUACAUAGGUUUCAUCACAUAUGUCAGGCAUAUUUUCAACAAGCUCUAGUUUGUGCAAAUGCUCGAAUGAAGUGUAAUUUGCAUGACCAAAUCGUUUGUGCCAAAGUGAGGACUCCACAACAAUACUAGAAUAAGCAUGACUGAUCACAUUUUUCCAUUCUAAAGGAAAACUUCUUUGCUUCAUCUCAAUUGACAUUAACUCAUGGUUAUUUGAAUCUAAUAUAGUGCAACCAUUGCCUUUAAAAAUCAAUGUAUAAUUCUUCUCAAUCAAUUGGCCUACACUAAUUAAAUUCUGGUCUAUAUCCGGCACAUAGAGAACAUCAGUAAUAAGCUUAGUACCUGAUGGAGUUUGCAUUGAAAUCACACCAAUUCCUUCCACUUUCACAUACUCUCCAUUGCCAACCUUUACUUUUGAUUUGUAUGUGCUAUUUAAUUCAACAAAGAUGCUAGAGUUUGAAAUCAUGUGAUGAGUACGUCCACUGUCCAGCAACCAACUUCCAACAUUGCUACACAUUUUAUAAUUUUCAGUUGUGAACAGAUGCUCCUCCCAUUGUUGUUGCUGAUUUUCAGCAACUUGUGCUUAUUGUUGUGUUUGUUUCUCUUUCCAGCUUUUAUAAACCUUUUGAAAAUGCCCAAAUUGCUUACAAGAUCUGCAUUGAACCCCUGGUCUAUACCAACACCAUUUUGGAGAAUGACCAGAUUUUUUGCAGUGAGGACAGGGAGGAUAACUUCCACUUUUGCCAGCACUUUUGUUGAUAUCAGCCUUCUUCUUUUCAUCUUGUUGUUUCUUCACUCCAAAGCUUGUUUGAGGUUUAUGUUUUACUUUGAUAAAUAAAGCUCCUUCUACUUAUUCUUCUUGUCUAAUCAGCCUCCUCUGCUCAGUAGCUCGGAGUGCAUUGACAAGCUUAGACAAUGUUAUGGUAGACAAGUCUCAAGAGUCUUCAAAAGAUGAGAUUUUUGCCUCAAAAUUUUCAGGUAAACAGAUCAAUACUUUUUCCACAACUCUCUUGUCAGGUAGAUCAUCUCCCAACAACCUUAUUUGAUUUACAACUUUCAUCAGCCUAUCAGAAAAUUCUUUCACAUUUUUUGAUUCUUUCAUCUUCAAGGUCUCAUACUCCCUUUUAAGGUUUAAAACUUGCAUCUGCCUUGCUCUUCCAUUGCCUCGGAACUCCUCUUUUAAUCUAUCCCAGGCCUCCUUUACAGUCUCACAAGUAAUAAUUCUGGUGAAGAUUGCAGACACGACAGAUUGAAUGCAAGAAAGAGCCUUGAAUUUUUUUGCAACCUCCUCACUAUGUUGCUUCAGUUGAGCAAUAGUAGGAUUUGCUCUAAAAGGUGGUGGUUCAUUACCUGUUUCAGUGAUUUCCCAUGGUCAUAAGCCUUCAAAUGAGCUUUCAUUUUUGCAGCCCAAACAUCAUAAUUUUCUCCUUUGAAUACAGAAGGUAUUGGAGCUAAAAAACCACUUGAAGCCAUCACUCAAACUAACAAAAUCACUCGGCUGGUUUUGAUGAAAGGAAGCUGGCUGAUUUUCUCUCAAGAACUUGUCUCACAGUUUUUUUAGCUUCUUCAAAGAUCAGGUGGCUCUGAUACCAUUGAUAGAAUUAUUGAACACUAAGAGGAAGAAAAGACACACUUUUUGAUAGAAAAUAUUCACCACUCUUCAAGUCAUACACGGCUAGAACCAUAGUAUUUAACAAAAGAAAAUCUAGCCAACUUUUAGUCAACAACUUCUGUCUACUGCACCUUACUUCUUUGACAGCAUACCAGACCCUUAUUACAAGACCAUAUUUGACAGAUUUUUCAUUACAUAAAGGCCAUAACUUAGACUAGAAAUAAGUACUACAAAAAUACUAGACUUUUGACCACAGAAGUGUCAAUUUAAUAUCAAUAAUACUAUUCCACAUGUCAAAUAGCAUUCUAUUCUACAGGCCACUUUACAAUUGUGUUAAAACACAGAUCAAUUUCCUCAUAGAAUUACAAAAUAAAAGUACUACUGUAGUUUAUCCCAUUAUAAUAUUUUUUAAGCUUAAACGCUUAAUGCGCAAACACACGUAGCCAUUUAAAUGAUUUUUCAUUUACUAAUUAUAUUAUACAAACUCAAGCUCUUUGAGGGGGUACAAUUCACAAACACCAUAAAAAAGCAUUAGUACAGAUUAAAACAGUCAAUCAAACGAAUAACUUCUUAAAUGAUGUGUAAAACAAGAUAUUUUGUUCAUAAUUUUCGAGCAAGACAAAAUUUCUCUAUUGUGUUGUAAUGGGUUCACAAAAAUUUUAAUCGAAUGUCUUUCUCCAGGAACUCAAGAUUAUUACUUCACAUAUAGCAUGAUUAACGCCUUUCCCCACAUAAUUUUUGUGCAUUAAGACUAUAACUAAGCAAUCCAAUGCCUUGCAUGUAUGACUGUACAUAAAAUUAAAACAUUGAUUAGCGGUUGUAUCAUCUAAAUCAGGCUCGAGAUACUUAAAAAGAUUGAAAGUCGUAGUAUUUGUAUUCCAUCCUUGGGGCUGUGCAAACAAAAGAACCUUGACUGAAGCCUUAAUAAACAGCAUUUAACAUUUGAAAAGCAGCAAAAUGUGUUACAUCACUCACAUAUUCUCGAGAUAUCUUGUCUUUUGGGCUGGCAGGACACCAGUCAACCUGUUAUUUCCAAGAAACCUGAACACGUAGAAAGGUAUUACCUAAAAAGAUAUUCUUCUUUUUGCUUUUUUGUUAUUUUUUUCAUGUUGGGUGGCAGAUAUUAUGAGCUCUCAACCAUAAGAAAGAAUAACAUAAUUUAUUACAAGUGAGUGAGUGAUGUCAGAUCGAACAGUGAAUCUGGAAUCCAUCCACUGAAAUUGUUGAAGCUCAAGUCCCUGAAAUAUGAGAUAAAAGAUUUUGUUAAUUGUUGUCUCAAUGUUUGUCUAACGGACUUGAGAUCAAUUGGUUGUUUUUACACUUGGAACAACAAUUCUGUUUGGACUAAACUGGAUAGAGCAAUGGUGAAUGAUUUUUGGAUGCAUAUGGAUUUUUCUAGUAUUGCGGAAUUCUUACCAUCAGGAUGCCUAUCUGAUCACUCACCUUGUAUUGUUUCUAUUUUUACAUUUGAUGAGGUCAAGAAGAAACCGUUUAAAUUCUUCAAUAUGUGGACUAAGCAUGAGAAGUUCCACGAAACCGUGCUAAGCACUUGGAAUCUAUAUAUUCAGGGCACUAAGCAAUUCUCUCUUUGCAAGAAGUUGCAACGUCUCAAAGGAGUACUUAAAGAGUUAAAUGUUAAACACUUUGGUCAUAUUUCAUCAAGGGCUGAGGUAGCAAAAAAGGGCUUGGUGGAAUCCCAGCUUGUCCUGCAUGAUGAUCCCAACAAUUUACAUCUACAAAAUGAGGUUGCUCGAUUGAGGAAAGAGGCCAUAAAUCUUAGUGAAGCGGAAAGAAGUUUCUACUUCCAACAAGCAAAGUGUGCAUACUUGAAGAAUAGUGAUAAAUGCACAAAGUUUUUCCACUCAAUUGUGAAGAGAAACACUAAAAGGAACUUCAUUGCAGCUGUUCUUAAAAGGGAUGGUUCCUAUACCUCUUCGCAAAAACAGGUGGCUGAUGAAUUUGUUCAUGCCUAAAGUGAAUUGCUUGGACAGGACAGUAAUGGACUGUUUUUUUGGCUGAAAAUCUUCAGUUUGGUCCUACUUUAGAUGAGGAGCACGCCACUUCACUUACUAGGGAUGGUUCUGAACAAGAAAUUAAGGAUACUCUCUUUAGCAUUGGAGAUGAUAAAUCGCCCGUACCGGAUGGUUAUACAUCUUGUUUCUUCAAGGAGGCAUGGGAUAUUGUUGGUAAUGAUUUUAUGGAAGCAAUUCAUGAAUUUUUUGCUCUAGAUCUCUCCUUAAGCAAACGAACCAUACCAUUAUUGCCUUGAUUCCUAAGGCUAACCAUGCUACUUCAGUGAAUGACUAUCGGCUGAUCGCUUGUUGUAAUAUUUUCUACAAAGUGAUCACUAAGAUAUUGGCCUGCCUUUGUAGAAGAUAGAAGCAUGGUAGAGAAUAUUCAUCUUGUUCAAGAGUUUUUGAGGAAAUAUAAUCGGAAGAGGGUAUCACCAAGAUGCCUACUCAAAAUUGAUUUGAAAAAGGCGUAUGACUCAGUGAAUUGGGAUUUUCUUAAGAAUGUUCUUGAGGGUUUGAAGUUCCCAACUAAAUUCAUAGAUUGGGUUAUGGAAUGCAUUACUACGCCUACAUACUCUAUUACUCUUAAUGGGUGCCUUCAUGGGUUCAUAAAAGGGAGGAAAGGUCUUCGUCAAGGUGACCCUCUUUCUCCAUUUUUAUUUGUUUUGUGCCUUGAGUACUUUUCUAGAAUGGUGAAGGAAGCCACCAAUAAUAGUGAGUUCAAUUACCAUCCUAAAUGUGCUCCUCUAAAGAUUACACACUUGGCCUUUGCCGAUGAUUUGAUGCUAUUUGCUACAGGUGAUACUACUUCGGUUCGGAUCUUGAUGAAUUGCCUACCAAAUUUUGGCGACAUGUCGGGACUAACUUGUAUAUGGCGGGAGUUCAAGGGCAAGAAAGGGAUGAUAUUAUUGAGAUUGCAAAUAUCCCCCAAGGAUCUUUGCCUUUUCGCUACUUGGGGGUUCCUCUUGCGGUGGGAAAGUUGAAAACCAGCUCUUAUGAUGUACUUAUUAACAAAAUCAUAGCCUAUAUUGGGGCUUGGUCUAGGGCAUCAUUAUCAUAUACGGGAAGACUAGAGCUUGUGAGAGCCGUACUCCAAGGGGUUGAAUGUUUUUGGUUAUCUAUUUUACCCAUCCCGGCUAUGGUUACUUCUAGAGUCAUAUCUCUUUGCCGUAACUUUCUUUGGGGAUCAAAGAAACCAUUGGUUGCAUGGAGCAAUAUUUGCUUACCGAAGGUUGAGGGUGGACUUGGGAUCCGAGACAUCAAAAGAUGGAACUUAGCACUUCUUUCCAAAACACUUCGGAACAUUCAUUGUAAGAAAGAUACUAUGUGGAUUAAAUGGGUAAACCAAGUAUACCUACAUGGGAGUAACAUUUGGGUAUAUAUGCUGGGAAAAGAGGACUCCCCUCUUAUUAAAAAGCUGGUGGAAAUCAGAAACUACAUUAUUGGGGUUGAAAAUUCUGCCCAGGCAGCUAUUCAUAAACUGGCCAAGUGGAGUAACAUUGGCAGAUUUAGCAUAGCAGAUGCAUAAGAGUUUUUUAGGCCAAGGGGAGUCAAAGUAAGCUGGGCUAACCUUGUUUGGAAUGCAUAUGUCACUCCGAAGCAUGCCUUUAUCACAUGGUUGGCAGUUAAAAUGAAAUUGUUAACUAUGGACAGAUUGCAUUUCUUAGAGAUCGACGUUAAAUGCUGUUUAUGUGCAAAGAUGGAUGAGUGUAAGGAGCACCUGUUUUUCAGUUGCUCCUUUAGUCGAUCAGUCUGGGAAAGAAUACGUGCAUGGAUGGGUCUCAGGUGAUCUAUGUCAACACUUCCCAGCGCAAUGAAAUGGAUAAAGAAGGAAAGUAGGGGUACUUCUUGGCAUAGCAAGGUGAAGCGUAUUGCACUUGUUAGUACUGUUUACCACAUUUGGAUGGCAAGGAAUAAGAUGAUUUUUGAAGACCUUAUUCCACAUGUUGAUAGUAUUAUUUGACGAAUCAAAACACACGUAUACAAAGUUAUGUUCUCUUUGUAUUCGAAUGUUUUGUUUCAAUAUGAGUCCUUAGCUUUAGGUCUCUAAGUCGUACAGGAUGUGUUAUUUUGCCCGAGUUUGCCUGGUAUAGUUGUAUCAAGUCCCUGAAAAUUUAAAUUAUGACAAGAUUGCGGAAUAAGCACCGAAUAUUAACCUCCUGAUCACCAUAAAAACUUUAAAGAAAUAUUUAAAAUUUAAUGAAUUAACAAGUUGUUACAAGGUUAAACCUUAUGCAGUAGGGCAGAAAAGUCAAGGAGACUUACAAUAGUGACAAACUCUGGUAUUCUUCAAAUUUUGAAGGUAGGGACCCAGAAAUGUUAUUAUUUCGCAAAAUUCUGCCAGAGAAGUGAAUCGAUUGAAUUAGAAUUGGCAUCCAAAAAACUGGGAAUGGAAUAAAGAAGAUCGUGUUGCUGCAUAUUUAGAAGCUCGAUUAUAUUUCGUUACAGUGUUCUUAGAGACUUCAUAUCUCUGAGGAAGUCCAGUGGAGAGCUUCCAUUAGACAGAUCACAUAUUCUCCUAGGCAUCAAAUUUCACCAAAAACUUUAGCUACUGCAGAGCACGCAUGAAGAGAAAAUACUGAAAACUGAAACAAAAACGUGAGGUGCUUAAGACUCACAAGUCUAUCAAAGAGGUUAAGUUAGCAAAUGUUGAUGGUAUUGGACCUUCAAACGAGUUUCCUUCGAGCCUUCUGCAAAUGUAUGUUAAUAUAGCAGAUUAUAAACUAAGCCUAUAAACUGUGCAAGAGAAAAUUCAAAUAAAUUUAGUGGUAAAAAUAUAUUUCACUACAUAGGAUAAACUAAACUUGCGGAUUGAAGCACAAAAAAUUCAAUAAAAAUGAGAGCACGCAUGAAGAGAAAAUACUGAAAACUGAAACAAAAACGUGAGGUGCUUAAGACUCACAAGUCUAUCAAAGAGGUUAAGUUAGCAAAUGUUGAUGGUAUUGGACCUUCAAACGAGUUUCCUUCGAGCCUUCUGCAAAUGUAUGUUAAUAUAGCAGAUUAUAAACUAAGCCUAUAAACUGUGCAAGAGAAAAUUCAAAUAAAUUUAGUGGUAAAAAUAUAUUUCACUACAUAGGAUAAACUAAACUUGCGGAUUGAAGCACAAAAAAUUCAAUAAAAAUGAGAAGACACAUUAAUUAUCUCACAGGUAAGCAAGCUUCGACCAUCCCCCAAUGAAGUUUGGAAUCGGGCCAGUGAGUUCAUUGUCAGAAGCAAACCUGAAAUCCCCAGCAAUUUUUUACCAGUGAUUUUGAUUGCAGAAUAAUUAAUUAAUUAAACGAAAAUUCUUCUUGUUGAAAUAAAAAGGACAACUUGUCCUUGAGGUCUUACACAUUCGUCAAGUUCUGCAGAUCAGCAAAUGUAGAAGGUAUCGGACCACUAACUCCAGUGCUAUCAAAGUAACUGGCAAGGUGAACAUCAUAACGAAAUUUGACAUUUUUUUGUACUAUAAAAUAAAAAUCAUAAUGAUUUUUGUGUUUUUCCUAAGAGAAUUAGUCAAGAAUCAUCAAGCUUCAAGAUGAGGACAAGAAACGACUAAACAUUAAAUUAAGCCAUUUCGGCUGAAUGCAUCCUUCUUCAACAGUGACAAGAAAAGAUUUCUAGAGAAAAUUAAAUUGUCAAAAAUUUAAUAACGAGUUCCUAAGAUCAUUAUUACACAAAAGACCAAAACUUGUAUGUAAUAAAAACGAAGAUUACAACACAGUGAACCAAGAAAUUGAAUGAUUAAAGCAAGAAAGACCAAAUGUCAGAGUAGUUAUGAGAAGAUUAAUGUAACAAUUGAGAAAAGGAAAGGGAUGCAAGAGAAUAGAAAAGGUAAAGGUUCUAGAUGAGCCUAAAUCUAUCAAAGAGAGAUCAAGAAAUCCUCAAAGAUAGUGCAGUUUGCAGGACAGGACAUGCUUCAAUAUUACAGACAUGACCAUUUCCUGAGUUUAUUGUCGAAUUCCAUUUGUAGCCAAACAUAAAAGUAUCAAAUUUUGUACUCGAUGCCACAUCAUUAUGCAGUCACUGAGACUUACAAUUGUUCUAAUUUUGUAAGCUGUCCAAGCUCAGAUGGUAAAGGACCAGAAAAGUUGUUUGUGCCUAUAGCCCUGCACAUGAGCAACAAAACAUGUAUGCAUUUUGUUUUCUUCAAAAUGAAAAAUUUCUGUAUAUAUAGUUGUGGACAAGCAUAUCACAAGAUCCUUGAAAUCAGUAAGGCAUUAAAGAAGUUAAUGUAUUGAACGUAAACUAACGAGGUCUUACAGCAUUCUUAAGUCAGUCAGCUUGCCAAGUUCCUUCGGAAGCUCCCCGGAUAAAGCAUUAUGACUAAAACUCCUAAUGGCAUUAAAUUCAGAGAUUGAAAACAUUUUAAACACGCCAACCCUGAUACUAUGAGCCACAAAUCUUUACAAAGGGGUGGCUUACAGAUACUGCAUACGAGUGAGGUCGCCUAUGGAUGGAGGCAGGGAACCCGUCAAAUAAUUUAGGGCCAAAUUUCUGCAAUAAAUGCUGUAUUAGUGAUAAAAAAAACAAUAGGAUAUACGUGAAGAAAUCAACCAGUACAAAAUUAACCAUACAAAUCAGUGAGGAACGUUAAAUUCCAAAGCUCGUCUGGUAGUGGACUCACAACAUUCCAUGUAUUUACUCUCCUGUGGUACAAAAUUAAACGAUAUGAAUCCAAGUCAUUGUUGGAAAAAUUGGAUGUGCAAUAUUAAAUAACAUACAUUUUAUGUGCAUAAAAUCGCCGGAAUUUUAACUUACGAAAAUUGAAUACAUAAAGUAGAAAUGAGAAAUGUAUGAAUAUGAAUUUAGUUAAGGCAAGAGUUCGACCCUUUCUAUUUAAGACGAUAAUACCCCCACACAGGUGCUAACGGUUUCUUGACAUUCAUCUUCCAAAAUACAAUGACCAUAUCUCGCAAUAGGAGUACUCCAAAUUGCAUAGAUCAACGAAUUUACUUAUAUUUUAAACCCUUUUUAUAUGAAACUUGACUCCAAAUAAAUGCAGAAUUUUGAAGUGAAUAUGCAUUAGUUUAAUAAUGCAAUCAUGAAGUGAAUGAAUGAAACUUCCAUGCAUGUGGUCUAUAUAUAGAUGUUAAAAAUAUUUGUCUCAAAAGACACAACCUAUGAAAGAGACACAACUAUCGAAAUCAAUCUCUAUAUUUGAAGAAACACGUCUCUUGAAAAAUGAUAAUGACAAAAGUCACAAUCAUUCAUAUCGAAAGACACGUUUUCAGUCAAAUAAUUUCUGGAAUAUUUCACAAUAUUCUAAGUAAUUUUUCAAUAAUUCAUGUAUUUAAAUGAUUUAAAUUUAGCUUAAUUUUCCAUUCACCAUAUAUCAACUUCCACUUAAAUAAUUGAGAAUUGGUCAAAACCAAUUUCAUAUACAAAUUUGCAACAGUCCCCCACAUGAAUAAAAAUUAAUGCAAAUAAUUAUUCAGAUGCUAAAGAGAGCUCGAGCGACAACCUAUUGCAUCUAGAUAGGUACCUUAUAUGUUUGAACCUUCCAUAAUGAAAUACUAUUGGAUUUAAUUAGCUAAUCAGUGAACGCGAUAUCUUAAAUUGUCAACCAUUGAUUUAAACAAAGACAAUCGUAUUCGCACAAUAACCUCCCUAACACUUUCGAGUUCUCACCGGGUGUUUAUUUUGGCCUUGAACAACUCUUGGGUUUCAGAAGUACUUUAAAAAAUUCAAACCUUGAAACAUUCUCAUAAAAACGGCCCAUUUUACACUUCUAUAGGCAAUCUCCUAUUAAGAGUACUUGUCAUACUCUACUUGGUUUGUCUAAGAUACAUUAAUCAUUAAAAGUAUAACUUAACCUAAAACUUUCUACAAAUAGCACUUUCUUAUCAUAGGAAAGGCUAGGAAUUAAUUCCAAGUACUCAUUAAAUCUUCAUAUCUUAGUUAUCUCAUUGAACCAAGAUCUUGGGAUCUCCAGUCAUCAAUGUUAGGUUACCAUUACAAAAAUUCUUAUGCAGUAGGCUUUAAGAUUAUUCCUCUUGAUAUGCAGUAUACUUGAUCUUUUGGUAAAUCUUUUCUUAGUGGAUCCACUAGUUUAUCCAUUUGAGAUCAGCUGCUUUAUGGUAUUAUGCCUAUGACGUAUAUGUCUAGAUUUACCAUUUGAUAGAUUCUAUAUCUCAUUAAAUAUGGUUAGCUAUCACAAUAAUGCAUUUAAUAGAUACAAAUAGUCACCAACUAAGAAAUCCUUUCGUAAAGGCAUGAACCUACAUGCUUUUAUCUAACUUUUAUCUAAAGCUAUAUCUUAUUCAAUCCACAAUUUAUUUGGAGGAUUUGUAGCAUAUAUCACCGCAUUGGCCCUAGUAAACAAAUUUGCUAGUGAAUUUUGACUCGUUUUAUAAUAGGUACAUCAUUUAACCUUUAUCAACUACAAUGCACUUCAACUUAUGAAUAUUCUCAAAAUAUUCUAGUGCCGUUAUUGCAUAUCAAAUACAAAUGCAAUAAUCAACUUUCCAAUGCUUUUUGUUUGGGGCGCUUCAUUUUUAUGAAUCAUCCUUUUACUUCUAAAAUUAGUAUAAGGGCUUUCUACCUUCUUAUAUUUAUAGAAAAAAUUCUAUUACUUAUAAGCUAUGAAGAAUGUAAAUUGUAAAGUACUCACAAUUCCUCAAUUAGGAAUGUAUUCUAGGAGCGGUAUUGCAACCCCCACAAAUCUUAGGUUAGCUUAUAACUUAGAGCUCAUCAACUCUUUUAAAAGUUCGAUUCAUCUAUCAGAUAGACAAUAUUCAUUUCAUAUACCACUUUAAAUCAUACAAAAAUUAUUAGAAAUGUUAAUGCCUUGUGAAAGUCUAUACUUCCACAUUUAAAGAUGUUGCAAUCAUAAUCAACACAAACUAAUUUUCACGAUGCAUAAAAUCGGUUUUCAUGAAUUUACCAACUGCCAUUGUCAAAAUAUGCAUGUCGUGGACACAAAUAAACGACAUUCACAUUUCAUAUUCAAAUUCUCAACCAAUAUUUCUCACAAAUAAAAUUGAAUAGACACAACUAUAUUGUUCGCAUACUUUCAUCCUUGAACGUUAGGCAUUCAUUUGAGAUGAACAUAUUUCCUUCAAACCAUGCAUCAGCACAUUCAUAAUCUUCACCAAAAAUGGAUACAGUAUCCACCGGUGCAACAACCUUUCGUCGUCGGGGAUCCCAAGAUCCACGAUCUCACCGAAAAGGAGAAAUGCAGUUAUUGAAGCCCUCGGCAAUGCCCUUACCAACAGGCAUUUCAAGGAAUCGAUAUUAUGAGGGUAUCGAAUACAUCAACCAAAUAGAAGUUCUCACCUGUUCCUGCGCUCUACAGUCUUACCGCCUCGAUCCCACUAAGUAGGGUGUCAAUGUACAGCCCUACAGUGGUUCUCAGGCAAAUUUCGCUGCCUAAACAGCAGUGCUCCACCCACAUGAUAGGAUCAUGGGACUUGAUUUACCUUCCGGGGGGCGGGGAGCAUUUGACACAUGGUUAUCAUACCUUCAGUGGGAAGAGAAACUUAGUUUCUUGUGAAAAGUCUCUAACUUCAUCUUUCAAAACAUCGGUCAUUUGUGCAUUAAAGAAAUCCGGGUAAUGAGUUUUCAUCUCCACUCUAAAAGCUUUUACAAGGAUCAAUGAUAAAACAUUAAAACAUUAGUUUUCUUCUUUUCUAUCCAUUGCCAGAAUCAACAAAUUAGUUUCCUAAUUUUGUUGUUGGGAAAAAAUCUAAUCACCCCUUACCAUCAACCACCAUUUUUAACCAUUAAACCACAGUAAUGUUGAAACUGAAUAUAGAAUUCAACCAUAUGCAAAUGAUUCUAGGUUAUCAUGCUGCUGAAAGUUAUUUCACAAUUAAUUACACUUAAAAAAUUUCUUAUGAAUGACAUAUAUACACAUUUCCUGGACAAGCUAAUGAGUCAUAAUCAUUCACUUUGAUUUGAACAUAAUUGGACUCUUUAAAGACCAACAUAUCCGUUGUUAAUGCAACUAUGAAUCAAACUUCUCCAAGUCACUUUCAUUAGAAGUCAAAUAAAUGUGCAAAUUCGAUAUAAGACAUUAUGGGUAUAUUGGAAAAAGAGUACUAGUAAAAUAGAACAUCAUCUUGAUUUUGGAUUGGUCCCAUAAAACCAUUUUAGCAAGAGAAUGAUGAGGGAAACAAUACUCACUGCUAUGCUGUGAUGUAUAAUGAAUUUCGGCGAUUAGAGUUCGUUUAGGCCUCGAAAGCUGAUUUUUAAAGUUUUGGCGCUAUUUUUGUCAAUUCGUUUAUUUUCCUUUUUUUACAAUUCAAGUUAGAUUAGACUUUGUUUUCAUUACUUUUAGUUGUUUUAAACUACAAUUCCAUGUAAACCCUUAUAAGUAAAGGGUUAGUUUGUUUUUUCCAUUUUAUUCAUUAAUAAAAUUCGUGAAGUUUAUUUCUCUUUAAUUUGGUGGAUUCCAAAUUUCUUGAUCACAAGGUUUUCACUUGAAUUCUUUUCUUUCACUGUCUCAAGCGGUAUCAAAGUAGGCUUUCCCGUCUCGAUAUAUUUUGAUUCAUAACAUGGGUGACGUACCAGUUACUAGAGCAGAUUUAGAUGCAUCGAACCGAUGGCUUGACGAACGGAUUGACAAUCUCACUACUCAGAUUGAAGAAAUUCGUCAAUUGCUUUUACGCAAUGCUGAAAACAAUGGAUAGAAUGAACAAAGGACAAUCAACAAUGAACGGAUGGCUGAACCUAUAGUGCGAAGAGAAAAUAAUAGGAAACGUGUAGUAGAAGAUAGUGUAUCAGAGUUGGAGGAGGAGUUCGAAGUGCCGCCGCAUCAUCCUAAUCGUCAAAAUCGAAAUAUCUUUGAUGAUUAUUAGAUUAAAGCACACAUUCUUCCAUUCUUUGGAAACAUGAAGAUCGAAAACUUCUUGGAUUGGUUGGUAGAGGUGGAGAGAUUCUUUGAAAUUAUGGAUGUUUCAGAGGACAAGAUGGUUAAAAUGGUGGCAUUCCAUUUGAAAUCUGCGGCAGCAGUAUGAUGAGAUCAAUUACAGAAUGCUCGAAGGAGACAGGGAAAGAGUUGGAUUUGAACUUCGAGAAAGAUGAAGCAGUUUUUGAUGGAUCGAUUUUUACCUGCAGAUUAUGAACAUAUUUUAUAUCGUAUGAACCUGGGAUGCACGUAGGGGAAUCGAAUAGUAUCGGCUUACACCAAUGAAUUUAUGUGAUUGGCAGAAUGGAAUAAUCUGUCAGAAUCUGAAAAUCAGAGGGUAGCCAGGUAUACCAGUGGUUUGAAGGUGGCCAUUCAAGAUAGAAUUGAGAUGCGGAAUAUUUGGACUUUACAGGAAGCCAUUAACAUGGCGAUGAAAGCGGAAAUGAUGAAAUCUGAUAAGAGGAUGGUUUCGUAUAGGAGGUCCUUACCUGCCAAAAUAUCAGCAUCCGUCCCUUCAGACAAAGGAAAGGCCCUGCAACAAGCCCAAUCAAUCCUAACAUGAGUAAAGUUAACAACAGUGGUCGGUUGGGAACAAAGGUCAAACUCGAGGCGCACCUCAGAAUGCAAAUCCAUAUGCUAAGCUCACACGAGAAAUUUGCUAUAGAUGCUAAAAUCCUGGACAUCGUUCCAAUAACUGUCCUGAGAGGAAACACGUCAAUUUGGUGAAGUCGGAGGCAAUAGACGAAGAGGAAGAUACUGAAGUUUCGUUUUAUUUCCUUUUUUUUACAAUUCCAGUUAGAUUAGAUUUCGUUUUCAUUACUUUUAGUUGUUUUAAACUACAUUUCCAUAUAAACCCUUAUAAAUAAAGGGUUAGUUUGUUUUUUCCAUUUUAUUCAUUAAUAAAAUUCUUGAAGUUUAUUUCUUUUAAUUUGGUGGAUUCCAAAUUUCUUGAUCACAAGGUUUUCACUUGAAUUCCUUUUAUUCGCUGCGUCAAAAUCUCUUGAGAUUACCUUCAUCAUGUGCACACAAAAUGGGGCUUCGCAAAGGCAAAAUGCCAAACAUAUUAGGAGCAAUAUUUUCAUGACAUAUAGCAUUGUUUGUUUACCAAACAUGGAUGGAAUGCUCACAAAAGAAAUCAUGCAAGGAGAAUUUCUAGAAUUCUUCUACUAAAUGUAUGCACACACCAAGAAGCAUACAUGCACUUAUAGUCGGUGGACAUGACAUUAUGUAAAACAUACAAUCUAUUUUACAGUAAACAACAAGAAGACAAUGAACUUUGCCCUUUCAUUUUAAAUUACCAAAAAGAUGUGAAAAGGAAAAAAAAAAUACUUCAAAGCAACAGUAGCAAAUUAAUUCUAGUCAUCAACAACUAACUGCCUUCAAUGCAAACUUGAACACACGCAAUGCAAAUUCGAUAAACUGCCUUCGAAUGAUUUUAAUGCAUGUAUAUAAAUAUAGAACUAAAGAGAUACUUGCCAUUACAAAUAUAUAUGGGCAACCUCUGAUUAAUUUCAAAUUGUUGUACUCAUAUGAGAAAUACGUGGUCUAUAUAAACUCGUCUUUAGGAAUUUUUCAUGCAAUAUCAUGAUUUCCAUUGUAAAUAUAAUAUAAUAUUCGAAAAAUUAAACGGGCAUAAAUUAUGUUCAAAUAAUAUCCAUUUUAUGUGCAUAAAAUCGGAUAGAACUUUGAUUUACCAAAAUCGAAUACGUAGAGUAAAAAUGAGAAAUUCAUGAAUAUGAAUUUGGUCGAGACAUGAGUUCAACUCUUUUUCUUUAAGACGAUAAUACCCCGCAUGGGUACUAACGGUUUUUCGGUAUACGUUUUGUUAUGUCCAUAAUUACAUGGCAUACGUAUGACGGAGGGGGUCCCACAUUAGUUGACCGGACAUCAUAUAUUUGACAGUUCAUAUUUCAAGUCGGACCCGCAUAUAAAUAUACGACUCAGACUUGGGGAACUAUUGUUAUUUAAUCACUUCACAUUGGGCCUUUCUUUUGAACUUGGCCCAUGACCUGCUUGGCCCAUUUCAUUUAUUUGUUUAUAUAAAUGUGGUUUACUUCACAAUUAAGGUAUGUAUUCUAAACCCGAACCAAAUCCCCUCUCCCUUCUCCUGCACUCAUUUAUUUUCUUUUUGUCUAGCCGUUGACUUGACUGUCGGAGUACAAACAGUCGUCGAAAACGGGGUGCUCCAUGUGUAGGUGUGGAGGGGACGAGGCGGGAUUCUGUUGGCAACAUUUUUUGAGGUCAACAGAUUGACGCCGUAUGUAGGAACCGGUACGUUAACCAUGUUAUAUCACGUAUUAAAAGGUCACUGGAAAUUGGAAAAUUUCUGGGCUGUUUCUCUACCAUAGAAAGCAAAGGCAGCAACCGGAAAACGAAGAAGUUUCGGAUCAGUUUUCUCUAUCAAGAGCAAAGGCAGUGAUCAAAGAACGAAGAACGAAAUUAUCUACCGGGGAGAAAACAUUUUUUUUGGCAAACACAAGGACUUCAUGGCAGCAGUUUCUUCACCCAAAAAAUAAAAUAAAAUAAAAGAGGUCAGCAACAACAGUCAACAAAGAAAGGAGAUGAGGGGGAGAAGAUUUUUGGGGAAGCCAUUUGGUUAUCUUUUUUAUUCGAUGUCCCAGCCAAGGAAAAGAAAUCAAACACGAGAUCUACAAAUCCAACAGAAAGAAGGAAAAGUUAAAUUAGCAAAGAGGUGGUGGUUUUUGCUUCUCCCGAUUUCGGCUGUAGACAGCGGCCAAGGAAAAUUCCCAUCACAAAACAUAUUGCCAUUGCUUUGAAACACAAAAUUCACAAGUCAAAUGAGAUCAAAAUGAAGCAUUUGCAUACUCCAUGUAAGGAAUUUUUAAACAAUCGUGUGGGCUUAUAUGUGUAAAUUAUUGUGUAUUAAAUUAAAGGCUAUCGAAUUCGGUUGAUCCCAAUUAAAGUGAUCUAAUAAGACUUCGAUUUUUGGGCUUUAAUGUAUCCAAUUAAAGUGUGGGUUUACUUAUAUGUAGAGGCUGGGCCUAAGUCCUAAUUCUAUGAUGGGCCGAAUUAGGUCAAAAGGCGUUGCUAUAUAAAUACGGUUAUGGUCCCCAAAUCAUACGUACAUAUUAUUCAUUCUCUACUGUAUCCCAUCACAAAGAGGAAAAGGAGACUGCGUGUAGAUUUGGAAAAUUAUAUCGUGAAAUUCAUUAUUGCAUUAAUCAUGUCUGAUUCAGGUACGCUUCCACUUUAAUUCUUGUAUUUCUUGAUAAUUUAACAUGAAAGAUUCGGUGAUUUAAAGCAUUAAAUUCUCAUACGCUCCACACAUCCAAACAUUUACUUUAACUACUCCAAAAAUUUUAUACAUAUAUUUUCCACAAAACCCAUCUGCCAAAACUUCCAAAAUUGAAUUACCACGAAAAUGUUCGAUUCUUGGCAUUACAUCUUUGAGAAAAGGAAAGAAAAUGAAGAAAUUGGAGAGGUGAACACCGAAAAUGAAAGAAAACUUGUUCUAGUAUAUGCAGCAACUUCGGAAAUUCAACUUUGGCCACCAAUUGUUCGAUGAAUGCCCAUAUAAAAAUUUGUCAAUAUGAGGAUGGAGUUUUCAUAGAUGUAUAAUUUAUCCUCUGUUAGCCACCAUAGAGCAGCCACUACGUUUCAUGGAACUCGGUGACCCCCGCUUCGGCGACAAUUAUAGCGGCAAGCAUUUGACAAUCAAGGCAACCUCCGGCACAGGAAACAACACUCGGCAGCACACAAUGACCGCCAGUUCUUUGGCUUAGCUCUGGUCCAAAAUGUAUUGACAAUUAAUGUUGAUGGGAUUAUGACCUUGAUGGUAGCGUGUAUUUCAGACCAACAUGGCAGCAUACUUUUUCUGGGGCUGUAGUCCCUUGCAGGCAAGGAUUAGGAGGAUGCUACGUGUGGAUGCCAUACCCGACACCCCUCCAAUAGGGGGGUGCCACUUGUACAUUAUGGCACCCAUUAUGAAUGCCAUAAUCUACAAGUAGAUAAAUCCCAAGGAUUAAUCUUGAUGUGUACAAAAAAUUAUGUACAUGUACUGUUGGUCUCAGGAUUAUUAUUUCACUUAAAAACGAUUGCAGCAAACAAUAAAGAAUGACAGGAUUGUAAAGAACACAAGAAUUUUUUGCCCCUAAGGGCCCGGAUGUUCAGCCAAAAGGCCUACUCACCCGUUGAGCAUCUACAAAAGUAGAUUAGGCUCGAAUCCACUAAGAAUCACAAAGAAUCGAUACAAGAAUGUAUGAAGAAACGACAGUUCCUUCAAUUUCAGUUUUCUUUCGUCUCUCUUUAACACAAUACUCAGUUUUCCACAAUCUCACAGAUCAUAUACCAAAUACAACCCUAACAUCACUUAGAUUAGAUAUUGCUUUCAGAAAAUUGCAAGAAUAGAAGAGUCCAGAAACCAUCGGAGAGAAGACGAAGAAAACCCUAGAACCGUUCAAUCAGAUUAGGGCGAAAGUGAAGGGUCAUAAGACUUUUAACAGUCCAGCAAAAAUCAAGGAUCCAACGAUCACAAGGAUGUCAAGUGUAAGGUCCACAACAGUUGCCCAUUAUAAAGGAAAAAUGCGUUUCCAAAAAACGUUUUUCAUUUCCAAACCAAUUUCAACUCGUUGAAUCAACCAACCCAACAAGGCCCAAUAUUACUAAGAUUGGGCCAGCCAAGAAUAGAGAGGCAGCCCAAUCAACAAUCUCCACCUUGCUGAUCUAUUCUUUGUAUUCUUUUGUGAAUUCAAACUUUUGUGAAUUCAAACUUGGUCUAAUUUUUGUUUCAUUUGCUCUAUAAAACUUGUAAAAAAGAAAAUGAAAAAUAGUCAGUUGAUUUUCAAAAAUAACAAGUAAAAUUCAAAUAUCAAAUUGAAUUUAUUACCUUCAAAGUAUGUUCAGAAUUUUUAGACAAUUUCUGAACUUGUUUAGAGGUAAAACCUUAGUACCAAUAUCAGAAUAAUUAAAUUCGGUUGGGAUUUUAACCAAGUUAAUUAAUCCCUUUUCAACCAUAUUUCUAACAAAAUGAAAUUUAAUAUCAACAUGCUUAGUUCUAUCAUGAUAUACAGGAUUUUUACUCAAAUGAAUUGCACUUUGGUUAUCAGUACAGAUUCUAACCGUUUCAUUCAUGAAACCAAUUUACCACAAGCCUUCUUUAACAGCAUCACAUGCUGUAAUAUACUCAGCUUCAGUGGAAGAUAGAGCUACAAGUUUUUGUAGUUGGGACUUCCAACUAACACAACCAUCACAAAUGGUAAACACAUAGGAAGAGGUUGAUCUUCUUUUAUCUAAAUCUCCUGCAAAGUCAGAAACUGUAUAUCCUUUCAGGAUAAUGCCUUCAUUACACCUUUGGAAUUUUAAUCCUAGUUCAAUUGAGCCCUUUAGAUAUCUUAACAUCCAUUUGAUUGCUAACCAAUGUGUUUCACCUGGAUUGGCCAUAAAUCUACUAAGCAAGCUUAUACCAUGAGCUAACUCAGAUCUUGUACAUAUCAUAAGGUACGUAAUAGAACCAACAACAUUUGCAUAAGGUAUUUUACUCAUUCUAUCAUAUUCUUCAUCAGUUUUAGGUGACCGUUCACUAGAAAGUUUGAAGUGAUUUGAAAUGGGUAAAGUUACAGGUUUACACUCAGUCAUAGCAAACUUCUCAAGUAUCUUAUUCACAUAAGAAUUUUGAUUUACAUACAGAACACAAUUCUUUCUAUCUCUAUUGAUUUCCAUGUCUAAAAUUCUCUUUGUUUGUCCUAAAUCUUUCAUUUCAAAUUCAGAUUUAAGUUUUUCUUUAACAGAAAUAAUUUCAGAUUUAUCAUGGCAGGCAAGUAAGAUUCUAAUAGAGGUGUAUUUAGCAACAUGUGCAAAAAUUUCAUUAUAGUCAAUACCCUCUCUUUGUGUAAAACCUUUUGCCACAAGUCUGACUUUAUAUCUAAUGCCCCCAAAAUUAGGUUCACCUUCUUUAAUUUUAUAAACUCAUUUGCAAUCAACAGUCUUCUGAUUUUUAGGCCUAUUGACAAGGAUCCAUGUAUUAUUUUUAGUUAGAGUCCAUUUCUUCUUGCAUGGCUUUCAGCCAAAGUUUGGAUUCCUUACAAUUUUUAGCUUCUUCAAAGGUUGUUGGUUCAGAAUUAACAAAUUCAAGUUCAGUGUAAAAUGUUACAAGUUCAUCUGCAUUAAUUCUUGUAGAAGGGAACCUAUUUCUUUUAGUUCUGUCUCUGAUCAACUGAUAAUUUUCAAGGGCAGUAUUCUGAGAUUGAUUUUCAAGAUAAGAUUCAUUUUGAGGUUGAUCUAUAUCAGAUUGAAUAGACUCCACCUCAAUCAAAUUAUCAGGUUCAUUAGAAUUAUCUUCUAGACUAUCCAGGACAGUUUCUUUAACAUGAAAGGUCAAAUCUGUAUUUCGUGUUGAAGGGAUCUUACAAGGGAAUUUACUUUCAUCAAAAAUCACAUUUCUACUGAUGACGACCCUGAACCCACCUUUUUCUCUCUCCCAUAAUCUAUAACCCUUUGUUUCUUCACCAUAGCCUAGAAAAAUACAUUUUUGAGAUCUAGGUUCAAGUUUGCCUACAUUUUGAUUAGAGCAAGCUGCACAGCCAAAGACCCUUAAUUUAAGGUAAUCUGGAGAAUUUCUAGACCAUAAGUGUUCAAGGAUUUGAAAAUCAAUCGCACUUGAAGGUAUUCUAUUUAUCAGAUAAGUGGCAGUUUUCAGGGCCUCUCCCCAAAAGAUCAUUGGAAGACCAAAACUGAGCAACAUAUACUUAACCUUUUCCAAUAAGGUUCUAUUCAUCCUUUCUGCAAUACCAUUUUGCUGAGGAGUGUGUGUUACUGUUCUGUGCCCCAAGAUUCCAGAUUCUUUACAAAGAAGAUCAAAUUCAAAAUUACAAAAUUCAAGACCAUUAUCUGUUCUAAGUGCUUUUACCUUUUUGUUUGUUUGAUUUUCAAUCAUCAGUUUCCAUUGUUUAAAAUUUUGGAAAGUGUCUGAUUUAUGUUUUUAAAAAAAAGUCCAAAUUUUUCUUGAAAAAUCAUCUACAAUUAGCAAAUAAAAUCUGAACCCACUUAAAGUAUUUAUAGAUGCUGGACCCCAUAGGUCAGCAUGUAAAUACUCUAGUAUAGAAUUUGAUUUGUGAAUUCUAGUUUUAAAAGGUAGUUUAUUUUGUUUUCCAAUAACACAAUCUUCACAAAAUUCUAAAUUUUCAAUAUUGCCCUUUCCAAAAAUAUUUUAAUUUGUUUAAAAUUGUUAAUCCUUUUUCAUUAAUAUGGCCAAGUCUCCUGUGCCAAAUCAGGGUCUUAUUGUCAUGUGAUUUAUUGUCAUGUGAUUUUACAACUGCAGAGCUAUUUCCAACUAAUGAUUUAGCUUGCAAUGUAAAGAUUACAUUAGAUUUAGGAGAAGAGAUUAUCUCUAUACAGUUAAAACUAAUUACAGUUUGUCCUUUAUGAAUCCUAAUUUCAUAUUCAUCAUCCAAUUGCCCCAAAGAAAUCAAGUUUCUUUGAAGAUCAUGCACAUAUCUGAUUCGAGACAAUUCAAGAAUAUUGUUGUUUUCCAUUAACAACUUAAGGUUUCCAAUACCUCUUAUUUGACAGGUCAUAUUAUUCCCCAUCUGAACUUGACCCCCACUAUUCAGGUUAGUAUAAUCAGUGAACCACUCUUUAAUGGGACACAUGUGGAAUGAACACCCAGAGUCAAGAAUCCAUUCAUUUUGGUUUCUUUUGGUUGUGGUAACAAAAACAACUCCCUGUAUAUCAGGUUCAUUAUUGUAGACAACAGCUGCAGACCCAUCUAUAUUUGGUUUACCUUUCAUGUCAGAUAUUUUCUUAAAACAGUCCUUUAUGAGAUGUCCUGUUUUACCACAGUAAUAACAUUUUCUGGCUGGCAACUUAGGUUUUGAUUGAUUUCUGUUUUGAUUUCUGAAUUUAGGAAAUUGAGGCUUUCCCUUCUUGUGUGAAUUAAAGUUACAUUGAUUAUUCUGUUCGUCCUGAUUUACUUUCUCUCUUACAUUCAAACCUUCCCCAAACUUAAAAUCUUUGGAUUCUGUUUUAAGUACUUAAAAUCUUUGGAUUCUGUUUUAAGUUCAAGUUCUUUAUUUCUUAGGCAGUAAGGUCAGUUCUCCCAUACUCUAAAGCAUUUCUCAGUUCUCUGUAUUUAUCACCUAGUGCAUUUAACAGAGCAACAACUUGUUGAUCUUCAGAUAAUUCCUCUUCACAGCCAGUCAAUUCUUGAAUCAAUCUAGUGAAUUUAUCAAAAUUAUCUUCUAGACUUAAGGAGGGAUCAAAUCUAAAAUUAUGCAAUUGCCUAAGAAGACUACAUUUGUUGGGCAUAGAUUUAGUCAAGUAGAGGGAUUCAAGUUUGGUCAUAAGGCUUGAGUAGUAGUUUUUUCCCCAACAUUUCUUACUACACUAUUCGACAGAUGUAAGAAAAUUGAGAGGCUGUUUGGGAGUGAUUUUGAAAAUUGAUUUUUUGACCGUUAGAAGAAAAGUGGGGUCCACCCGUGAGAGAAGAAGUCAAAUAUGACGGCUGAAAUAGUAAAAUAACGGUCAAAAAAUCAAUUUUUUGGAUGAAAAAAUCGGGCCCAAACAACCCCUGAACUCCAAGCAAUCUCAUCUAACUCCUGUCUCCUAUAUGCACUCAUCUCAGCAGGCCAUACCCCAUUAAUGGCCCCAGCACACCUCUGUUGUAAUAACAGAUCCCUUAUUUUCUGGCGCCACAAACUAAAAUCUCCAAUCCCUCUCCAAAUUUCUACUUCAAAUUUUUGUGCAGUAGUCAUAAUCACAGAUAAAUUCACAGAUUCAAGUUUAUAUAUUUAUAUAUAUCACACAGGAUAUAGUAUGUACAGACAGUGAGAGUAAACAAUAAAGAUUUCAAUAUGGGAAUCUUAUAUUAAAAUGUGCAGAUAUUCAACAGGAGUAUGUAAAGAUAAUGAUACCAACUAGAAAGAGGGUCUAAGGAGUGAUGACCUAUUCAACCCACUACCCCCUCAGAUUCCCAGGAGAUCUUGGACAAAGAAAGGUAGCAGAAGACCAAUUACCUCAAUGACCAACUCGUAUAGUAUAUUAUCUAAACAGUUAAUUGAGAAAUUAAGAAAGUAAGAAACUUAUACCAAAGAUUGAAAAAACAUAGUAUUACAGAAUGAAGGAGGUAAUUAAAAGAAUUUUAGAACUGGUUGCACAAUCCAAGGUAUCACACAAGAAGCCAACGAGUCACAGCAACUCAGCAUGACUCAAUAGUGAGUCACAAGUGAUAAGUGUGUUUUUACACACUUUUAGCACUUUUUGGGACUUUAUUAUUGAUAAAAUUGAGUAUAUUUCUAUUUAUAAUUGUAUAAUUGUUACUUUUGUAGGCUAAAACCCCGGAAAGAAGUGUAACAAGCGAAAAGAGAAGGAAAAGUACUUAAAUUGAACAAAAUUGUGAAGCUAAGGACUUGAAGUGCAAUUAUGGAAGGGCCUAAAUGUAAUAAAAGUCAAAUUUCGAGGACCAAACUGCACUAAAUGAAAGUUGAAGGACCUAAUCUGCAAUUUCGAGAUUUUUUUGUCAACCUUUUUAUUAUUUUAUCCUUAUUUUAUGCUAGAUAUUUUUAGGAUAUUUAUGUUAUGUCUAAUAAUAUCUUUUUUUUUAUAUUAUAUUUUAUACAUAUUCCAUAUUUAUACUAAUAUAAUUUGGUAGGUAAAAAAUUUUCCCAACUCUUUCACUUUUCUCUCUAUCUCUCUCUCUCUUUUUCUUGAUUUUUUUUCUUUUAGUUUUAUUUUCUUUUGUUAAUUUUAGUUUUAUUUUGGGAAUCAAGUGGAUAUAGCAAGGAGAUCAUUAAGGAAAGCUUGAAGAAUACAUUGAAGGAAUUACAAUUCGUAUUUAAAAGUGUUUUAUCUCAACUUUUGUAUUCCUUUCAUUUAGUUCUUCAUGUUUGUAAUGAUAUGUUUAUAAGAAUCUUUUUGUUAUUUUGUUAGAAUGAUGAACUAAACAAGUUUAUGUUGGAAUUUAUGUAUUAGCUUAACCUAUUUUCAUUAAUAUCGUGUUAUAUGUUGUUAGAUAUGCAUUUGUUAUCAAAAUAUUGGUGUAUUAAUUAUCAUGUUUAAGAUUACUACAUUUAUUUGACGUCAAUAGAUAUUGUGGUUAGGUAGUUGUAUAAUUAUUGAAAAAUAGUUACACAUAAUAGACCGAAAUAAUUAAUACCAUAGGUUUGUAUGGUUUCGACUAUACGCUAUCCAGACACGUAUACUUACCCUAUGUGACCCGUUGAGUUAUUUUCACAAAAAUUAAAUGCAGUUGUUUGGUUUAGAACGACAUAGAAAUAUGUUAAUGCCAAGCAAUUAGGGUUGAUAUCUCUCAACAAAGGUUAUUGACUAAUUUUGAAAAAUCGGGUCUAACCACAUAUUUUGGUAAUUUGCAUCGACGCAUAAUUGGCUUGAAAAGGGUUAAGCGAAAUCAUAAAUUCCAACAUCUUUUAAAAUCAAACUUUUCCACUUUUUAAAUAUUAUUUAAAUAUUUUAAAUCAAAAUCGAGUUUUCACCUUUUUAUAGUUUUUAAAAAUCGAACUUUUAAAUGUGUGCAUCUUUUUCAUUAAUUUGAAAAAAAUACACUCGUAAUUGAAAACAACACUCUCUGAGGGAUCGACUGGGACUUAAAAGGUCCAUUAUACUACUUGAUCGCGACCUGUGCACUUGCAGCGUGCCAUUUAAUACCGAUCAACAAGAAAUCAGCAGGAAUCGGAAUGAGUCGAGUAGACUCACUAUUACUCAGUAUGAAUCUUUAUGAAACAUCACUCAAAGAUUCAGAAGCCUCAAAAAAAUAAGAAAAAUACAAUAAUCAUCAUAAAUAAUAUCACAAAGAAGUAUCACAAAGUUCGUAGUUGAAAAAGAUCCAACAAAAAUUGAACCGAAGGUAAAUCUUGUAAGAGAUUUUUACAAAGUGUACUCGAUUUAAGAUUUAACCAAAAAAUCUAAGAUCUAGGGUUUUUAAAAAAAAUUUAAAAAGAAAAUUCAAAGAAAAAACCCUAACCCUUCGUAAACUGCUCUGAUACCACUUGUUGGUCUCAGAAUUAUUAUUUCACUUAAAAACGAUUGUAGCACACAAUAAAGAAUUACAGAAUCGUAAAGAACACAAGAAUUUUUCGCCCCUAAGGGGACGAAUGUCCAGCCAAAAGGCCUACUCACCCUUGAGCAUCUACAAAAGUAAAUUAGGCUCAAAUCCACUAAGAAUCACAAAGAAUCGAUACAAGAAUGUAUGAAGAAACAACAGUUCCUUCAAUUUCAGUUUUCUUUCGCCUCUCUUUAACACAACACUCCGUUUUCUACAAUCUCACAUAUCAUAUACCAAAUACAACCCUAACAUCACUCAAAUUAGAUAUUGCUUUCAGAAAAUUGCAAGAACAGAAGAGUCCAAAGACCCUCAGAGAGGACGAAGAAAACCCUAGAACCGUUCACUCAGAUUAGGGCGAAAGUGAAAGGUCAGAAGACUUUUAACAGUCCAGUAAAAAUCAAGGAUCCAACGAUCACAAGGAUGCCAAGUGUAAGGUCCACAACAGUUGCCCAUUAUAAAGGAAAAACGCGUUUCCAAGAAACGCUUUUAAUUUCCAAACCAAUUUCAACCCGUGGAAUCAACCAACCUGGCAAGGCUCAAUAUUACUAAGAUUGGGCCAGCUAAGAAUAGAGAGGCAGCCCAAUCAACAUGUACCAACCUCCGACAGGCAAUCUUGUCUUUCUUCCAGCUGUUCUGCAGACUCAAAUCUUCUCCAGACUUUAGCUGGAUCACGUGCCAUUUAAUGCCAUCUUGUUGGGCCGGGUUGUCCCAUAAAGUGAUGGGGCUUUAUUUUUUCAAAAUUUGGUUCAACGAGUUUACAAAAAAAAAAAGGGCUUGGAGACCUCUUAUGGAGAUCCACUAAACGGGUAUGUAUAAUUGGGCCUGUGAAUUUAUUUCCCAUGUUUUUUUGAACUUGAAUGGAUAAUUAUUGGGCCACCUAAAUUUUAUUCCCAUUCCUACAUAAAUAAUAAUUGGGCCAAUUAAUUUUACUUCCCUUAGGAAAGAGGCCCACUUUCCUUUAUAAAGCUCUAGUUAUGUUCUUUAAUUUCUUUAAUGGGCCGUUAUUUUGCCUUCUUGGGCCCAAGGAUUUAUUUUACUUGGGCCUCAUGACACUUCCUUUUUGUCAAAGAGAUUGGGCUGCCAUUUAUUAUGAACAAUUGGGCAUUGAGACUUAUUUCUUUUGGGCCAUAAUUUGUUAGCCAUUGGGUCUUUCUAGUUUACCCAAGAGACAUACACUACGGCUGGGAGCUAUGGUCACACUACUUCAGCUUCGUUCUUGUAUAAAUUUUAUUGGCUGGGUGUCCUCUCUUGCUUCCAUUUUGGCCUGCCGUUUAUUCUAAAUCACAUGGAAAAAGAACAGAAAUAUUUGACUUGGAGAAUUAGAAAUAAGCUAGUAGAAAAAGAAUAUUCCAAGUCUUUGAUCAUCAGGCCACCAUUUCUACUUGUUCAGCUUGGUCUAUCUCGUUCAGAAAAAGGUGACAAAAUAUGUGAGAGAUGAUUUUCUUCCAUUGUUAAUAUUUCUUCAAGGGUAGAGCAUGGCAGGAAACUUGAGGUUUUUAUUACAGGCUCAUUUGAAAAUUUCCACUCAUGUGAAAAUUAUUAUCUGAUAGUCAAAUUCUAACUACCUCAUUUUCGUAUGAUUUGUUUGGUAAUUAAAUAACAAAUCUUAACUCGACAAACUGGGAAUUAAUGGAGUUUCAUGGUUAUUGGGCGCUAAUUAAACUGGAUAUGAUUUGAUAGACAUGCUUGGGAGCCCAUUGAUGUGAAUAUUCAGAUCUAUUAUUUUCUUCUUAUCAUAUGCAAUGUUUUGGAGACCUCGUUCUUUGAAUAAAGGAAGAAGCUGAUGGUCAGAUGUGUUUGCCCUUGAAAAAAAGGGCAUUUCCUGGUUUCGCGAGAUGGUUUUUCCUCGCCUCUCACUAUUGUUGAGCUUAGCUAUAAGACCUCGUUUGUUUGAGGCCGCUUACAAAACUCCGAUAGUUUGAGAGUGAUUCGUGGGAUGUCCAUUCCCCAUUUCGUCAGAUGUUUAUACUUGGCUUCGCAAGAUUGUUUUUCCUUUCAUCUCACUAUCGUUGAGCUUAGCUGUAAGACCUCGUUUGUCCGAGGCCGCUUAUAAGACUCCAAUAGUUUGAGAGUGAUUCGUGGGAUGUCCAUUCCUCGCUUUGCCAGAUGUUUAUACCUGGCUUCGCGAGAUGUUUAUUUCUCGCAUCUCACUAUCGUUGAGUUUAGCUGUAAGACCUCGUUUGUCCAAAGCCGCUUAUAUGACUCCGAUAGUUUGAGAGUGAUUCGCGGGAUGUCCAUUCCCCACUUCGCUAGAUCUAGCUUCGUGAGAUGUUUAUUCCUCGCCUCUAAUUAUCGUUGAGCUUAGCUAUAAGAUCUCGUUUGUUCGAGGUCGCUUAUAAGACUCCGAUAGUUUGAGAGUGAUUCACGGGAUGUCCAUUCCUCGUUUCACCUGAUGUUUAUACCUGAUUUCGCGAGAUGUUUAUUCCUCGCAUCUCACUAUUGUUGAGCUUAGCUGUAAGACCUCGUUUGUUCGAGGCCGCUUAUAAGACUCCGAUAGUUUGAGAGUGAUUCGGGGGAUGUACAUUCCCCGCUUCGCCAGAUGUUUACACCUGAUUUCGCAAGAUGUUUAUUCCUUGAUCUCACUAUCGUUGAGCUUAGUUGUAAAAGCUCGUUUAUUCGAUGCCGCUUAUAAGACUCCGAUAGUUUGAGAGUGAUUCGCAAGAUGUCCAUUUCCCACUUCGCCACCUGGCUUCGCAAGAUGUUUAUUCCUCGUCUCUCACUAUCGUUGAGCUUAACUGUAAGACCUCAUUUGUUCGAGACUGCUUAUAAGACUCCGAUAGUUUGAGAGUGAUUCGCGGGAUGUCCAUUCCUCGCUUCGCCAGAUGUUUAUACCUGAAAGGGGCCAAAAAAAACCCACACAAUAAGUUGCAAGAUUCAAUCGAUCUAAAAAACGGAAAUUAAACUUGCAAAAAUAAAGAACACAACAAGAUUUUUUGGCCGAAACCCCAGAGGUUCAGUGUCAAACACCUAAUCCCCUGUUGAGCAUCCAAUCAAAGUGGAUAUUGCUCGAUUACACUAAAACCCCAAAAAUAGGCAAUCGAAGGUUACAAAAUUCAUCAACCAGUAGAAUACACAGAAAAGAGACUUAUCUCUUAAACAGGAAUCACAAAUCUGCUUCAGAUCCUUUUCGAAUCAACAGACCACAAACCCUAACCUCAACACAUGAGGACUCUAAGUAUCACUCAAGAAUAUACACGUAUUCAGUGGUUAAAACCUUCAAUCCUAAUCGAAUGAGACGAUCGAUUACAAAAAUAGGGAAGCAGAAAACCCUCAGAUGAGAGAACACAGAAGAACUCUCUCGAAGCCUCACUCGAAAAGUCACCAAAAAUGAACAGUCCAGCCAAACGAAGAGUUAAGUUCAUAUUUAUAUCACCAAUAUGAAACCCUCCAUCUUACGGUAAGAGUAGAGCCACGUGUCAGCAUCUGGCAGAAUGCCACUUACAAAAGCGUGUUUUCACAACCCGUUUUAUUAGAUGAAAAUAUGGAAGCACCAAUACACGGUUCGAGUCACAACAAUACCUGGCUUCGCGAGAUGUUUCAAGGUUCUAAAAUGCGUAAUGCGUAGCAAUGUGUUUUGGUCGAGCAUCAAGCAUUAUAAGAAUAUGCGUGCUCAUGCGAAGCAUAUACGCUCAGAAGCAUGAACACAUUAUCGGCAAUAAUGUAACUGUGUCCGACACAUGUCGGAGUUGCUUGCAGCGUGUCGGAGGAGAGAAAAGGCAGUUGACUCUAAGAAAUGCAACCAGAAAAUGUGGAAGAAGAAAUGAAGAAGAAAUUAACAGUUUACCUAGAAAGAAAUUCAACGGGCGAAGGAGAAAGUGUCUUGGGAAGCAGCCAUCUGGGAAAGGAAAGAAAAAUGAGAGAGGAGAAAGGGAAGAGAUGUUGGGCUGAAAAGUUGCUGCCGACGAAAGUUUCCUGGGAAAUGAAAGAAAAAAGAGAGAGAAGAAAAGGAAGAAAACUUGGCUGGAUAAGGCUGAAAAGUCAUGGGAAUGGAAAAGGAAAUGAAGAGUCUUCCUUUUAUCGAUGCAUAUUUUAAAUUGUAAGGCCCCACCACCUGCUAACUUUCUCAUUUGGUGAAUGCUUUGUACAUUUUUUUUAAUCCACACGAGCUGUAAACUUCAAUAAAAUAAUAGAAAAAAAUUAUUUGAAUUAAGUUUGUACCAUUUUACCUUUCAACAAAAAAAUCAGCUUAAAUAAGCAAUCUUCUUCAAGAUAUGCUACGAAAAUUGCAAGAAAAAUUCUGAAAAUCCCUUUAAAUUUCUAUUUAUAAUGAUAUAUAUGAUACAAUAAGUAUAAAAAAUUAUUACUAUAAAAUUAAAAUAAAUUUAAAAAAUAUUGUAAUCAACGUGUCAACGACGUAUCGUGUCGGAACUUUUUCACAAAAUUGCGUAUCGACAUGUACGACACGUAUCAUGUCGAACACUCAUGUCCGUGUCGGUGCUUCUUAGCAUAUACGUAAUUAUGCGUUUUCCAAUUUUUAACAUUUUAAACUAAUAAAUAAAUAAAAUAAUGCAUUCUUACAUAUUUUUCGAAUUUUCAAAAAUAAAAAUCGAAAUUAUAACUACUACAAUAAGACAAUAACUUUAAAUUUAUAUAUAUUUUUCAAAAUUUCAACAAAAACAUAUUGUUCAAAAUCAAAAUACAGUUAUUUGUUAAUCAAUUCCUACAAUUAAAUCAAACAAUAAUAUUGACUUAAAAAAUUCUAAAUCUUGUCUAACUCUUUAUUAGAUUCCAAUUCAAUAUCUUCUUUUUCAUCCAAUUCAUUUUUCGUGUUAUCCGAUACAAAAUCAUCUUCAUCGUCCUCCUUAUUUCAAAUCGAGAAUUUCUAUUAUCUCUUGUAAAUGAUAACAUAUUAUUGUCAACUUACUCCUCAUCAUCACAACCAUCAACAAUCCAAAAUAGUGUAUUAAUAGCAUCACUUGUUAAUGAAGUUUCUAAUUUAUCAUUCCUCUUCAUUUUCUUCAUCAACCAUGCAUUAAAUUAGAUGUAAACUAGAAUUUUCAUCCUUGUGGCAUCUAUGCGGUUUCUCUUCUUGGUGUGUAACUAUAAAAGGAAGUUGAAAUUUUUUAGUAUGCUAAUUUAAAUUAUCAAAUAACUACUAAAGUAAUAACUAAAAUGCAUCAGCGUAAUUAUUUAAUUAGUACUUACUCCUUCAAAGACACUCCAAUAUCUCUCACAAUCGGAUGAACUAAUGGUCAAAUCAAGAACUAUUUUUAUGUUAAUGCCCAGAUGAAGAUUUAUGCAAAAGCAAAACAUUAGAGAUUAUUGUAUAUUAUUGAUGGACUAAAGUGAUGUGGGCUAAUUGGAUGUUGGUUGGACUCAAUUUAAUUUUUUAAGUUAUAAAAAUGGGAUGAACUUUGUUAUGCUAAUUAAAACAUAUUUUUUUAAAUAUAAAUGCGUGGGCAUUUUGGAAAAUAUGGGUGCAUAUGCGGUCAACGAAAUGAGUUGACUUCAUUAUCUCGCGCAUACCCCAUAUGCGAUGCGUUUCGAAAAAGCAUCAAGAAUAUGCGUGCAUAUGCGAAGUAUAUGCGUGCAUUUUAGAACACUCACCUCUCAAUAUCGUUGAGCUUAGCUAUAAGAUCUCGUUUCUCCGAGGCCGCUUAUAAGGCUCCGAUAGUUUGAGAGUUAUUGGCGAGAUGUCCAUUCCCCACCUUGUCAGAUGCUUAUUUCUGAUUUCGUGAGAUGAUUAUCCCUCACCUUUCAAUAUCACGAGUCUAGCUAUAAGACCUCGUCUAUUUGAGACUUAUAAGUCUUCGAUAGUUUGAGAUGAGCUUGUUCACCACUUCAUGAGAUGCCUUGUUGUGCGAGUUACUACAUUAUAGCCCCGCUUAUCUUCAGAAGGCUCAUCAUGCCUCCACAUUACAACUACCUAUCUUUCAGAGUUUUGCUUCUGUCCAAGCCUUGCCCCCGCGUAAGCACCAAAGCCCUUUCAAAAGCAGGCAUCUAAGCCUUGCCCUAGCGCAAGCAUCUAAGCCUUGCCCCUGUGCAAGCACCAAAGCCCUGUUAAGAGCAGGCACCUAAGUUUUACCUCACGUAAGCACCAAAGCCCUGUCAAGAGUAGGCACCUAAGCCUUAAGCCUUGCCGCUAUGUAAGCACCAAAGCCCUGUCAAAAGCAGGCACCUAAGCCUUGCCCCCGCGCAAGAACCAAAGCCCUGUUAAAAGCAAGCACCUAAGCCUUACCCCUAUGCAAGCACCAAAGCCCUGUCAAGAGCAGGCACCUAAACCUUGCCCUCGCGCAAGCAUCUAAGCGUCGACCCGUUAGCCUUUGCAUCAUUAUUAGUACAUCUGUUCAAUUCAGAUUCAGCUUCUUCAUCCGUAUUAGUACAGCCGUUCAGUUCAGAGUCAGCUUUUGCAUCUUUAUCAGUACAAGUGUUCUACUCAUAUUUAGCCUCUGCAUCCAUAUUAGUACAGCUGUUUAGUUCAAAGUCAGCCUCUGCAUCGUCAUCAGUACAGGUGUUCAGUUCAUAGUUAGCCUCUGCAUCCGUAUUAGUACAACUGUUCAGUUCAGAAUCAACCUCUGCAUCCGUAUUAGUACAGCUGUCCAGUUUAGAGUCAGCUUCUGCAUCGUUAUCAAUAUAACUGUUCAAUUCAGAGUCAGCCUUUGCAUCUGUAUUAGUACAACUGUUCAGCUUAGAGUCGGCCUCUACAUCAGUAUAAAUACAGUUACUUAUAUUCAGUCUAGAGUCAGCCUCUGCAUUAGUAUCAGUACAGCUACUUAUAUUCAAUCCAGAGCAUCGCCUCAGCUACUGUGCCCAGAGCAUCGCCUUUGCAAUCAGAGCAUUACCUCUGCAUCAAGAUCAUCGCCUCUACAUCACUUUAUCACAGUGACGUAUAUUUCAAGUCCAAUCCGUAUAUAAAUAUUCAACUCAAACUUGGGAGGACUAUUGUGAGACUAUAUCUUUGUAUCACGACAUAUCACUGCUAGCUUGUGCAUUAUAUUAUUGCUUCCAAGCACAAAUGUUAUAUAACUGCUAGCAUGUCAUUCAUUAUUUUCACUACAGCCAGUACGUAUGCCAUUUUAUCAUCAUUUUCAUUUUAUUAUCGACAUCAUGUUACUUGUUUCUCUAUAGCACUACUGAUACAUUGAACAGUGCUAGCAUAUCAAUUGUUAUGAUACAUGAUAGGCAUUCUGCAUAUUAUAUUUUGGAGAAAUGUCAUCACAUUAUUCACUUUAUACUUACAAGUAUUAGAAGGGGUAAAUGGGCCCCAAAUUUAUUUGGUAUAUAGGGUCAGAUUUGGCAGUGGGCUACACUUGGCUGUAGCCCAUUGCCUUUCAAGUCCAAGUCCAAUAAAUAUGGUACAAAUUGAUGAUUUUUUUUUUUAAUUUUAGUGUAUAGCCCACCAACAAAUAUCACUUGGCGAGCCCAACCCAAUUCUUAAAACCAAUUUUUGGUUUUAAUUUUUCGCCCAAUUUUAAUAUCCUUCAUCAAAUCAAAUCACGCCUUAUUUUCUCUUUCCUGUCAAUUCAUCUACGGUAGCCCGUCGCCCAAAGUAAAUCUUCGGCUUUUCCUGUCCGCCCCUGCUCUCCCUCACCGCCAUCGACUCUUCCUGCAAAUGGCGUUCCGCCCAUGUUUGUCCAAAGGAAACAUUUCUAAUUCUUCAAAUCUUAAAACCCCUCUCCCUCUCCCUCACCACAUCUACUAUCCAACUAAUUAGAAGUUUUAAUUUAGAACCUAAGAGCCGAAUUUGAAUUGGCAGGAUUUGAAAUUUUUUGUCCCAAAUUAAUAGGAAAAAGGAAGCACUUGCACGAUCGUUUAACACUUCUACGUAAAAAUUGUGUAUUUGAAGAAUUUUUUGUUAUUCUUCAUAUGAAUGUUAUAUUCUCUCGUACCUGUAUCACUAUUUUCAAUUGUUUCGCUAAAAUCAGAAAUAAAAAUGACCAAAAAUUUUAUUCGUACAUUAGAUUUUUAGAAUUUUUUUGCCCCCCCCCCUAACUUUGAUUCCUAACUCCGCCCCUGUUGGUAUAUAUGCUGUGGAUAUAUUGUAUUAUAUUACGGUUGGUUUAGUCCAUAUUAAAGGAGAGAUGCUGACGAAAUUUUGACAAAAUAUAAGGAGCAUUUAUCUUUUUAAGUAAUUCAUAAGUCCUCGCUCAUUCUGACUCGCACACAAUUUCUGAAGCAGUUUGUAAGUCCUCACAUAUCGGAGUGACUUACAUUCUUGAGGCAAUCAGUAAGACCUUACAUAUUUAGCAGCUUAUAUUUCAAACUUCGACCCGCACAUGAAUGUACGACUCAGACUUGGGGGACUAUUGUUAUGUCCAUAAUUACGUGGCAUACUUAUGAUGGAGAGGGUCCCACAUUAGUUGACCGGGAAUCACAUAUUUGACAGUUCAUAUUUCAAGUCCGACCCGCAUAUAAAUAUACGAUUUGGACUUGGGGGACUAUUGUUAUACAUAUUAAUCAUUUCACAUUGGGCCUUUCUUUUGGCCCAUGACCCGCUUGGCCCAUUUCAUUUCAUUUAUCUAUAUAAAUGUGGCUUCACUUCACAAUUAAUGUAUGUAUUCUAAACUCAAACCAAAUCUCCUCUCCCUUCUCUUGCACUCAUUUAUUUUCUUUUUGUCCGGCCAUUGACUUGACUAUCGGAGUACAAACGGUCGUUGGACUUUUUUCUCAACCGGCGGCCUUUGCCUCUAACGGGGUGCUCCAUGUGUAGGUGUGGAAGGGACGAGGUCGGGAUUCUGUUGGCCACAUUUUUUGGGGUCAACACGUUUCCCAAGAUACAAUGACCACAUCUCGCAAUAGAAGCACUCCAGAUUACAUAGACCAACAAACUACUUAUGCUUUGACCCUCUUUAUAUGAAAUUAGACUUCAAACAAAUGCAGAAUUUUGAAGUGAAUAUAUAUUAGAAUGAUAACGCAAUCAUGAAGUGAAUUAAUGAAACUUUCAUACAUGUGGUCUAUAUAUAAAUGUUGAAAAGGUUUGUCUUAAAAGACACCCCCUUUGGAAGAGACACAACUAUUGAAAUUAGUCUCUAUAUUUGAAAAAACACAUCUUUUGAAUUAUUGGAAAAUGACAUAAAAUAUUAUGGAAUAUCAAAAAUUACAAUCUUUCGUAUAGAAAAACAUCUUUUCAGUCAAAUCAUUUUUAGAAUAUUCCAUAAUAUUUUGUCAUUUUCCAAUAAUUCACAUGUAUAAAUGAUUUAAAUUUGACUUAAUUUUUCAAUCACUAAAUAACAACUUCACUUAAAUAAUUAGGAAUUGGUUAGAACCAAUUUCAUAUACAAAUUUCCAACAAUCAAUACGGCAUACUAAAAUAAAGUAGCAUCAAGAAAAUAUAUUACUUACAGAGCAAUAAUGUGGCAAGUGGUGGCAUUAUUGUAAGAGCAGUUACAUUUAGAACCAAUUUCAUAUACAAAUUUCCAAUAAUCAAUACGGCAUACUAAAAUAACGUAGCAUCAAGAAAAUAUAUUACUUACAGAGCAAUAAUGUGGCAAGUGGUGGCAUUAUUGUAAGAGCAGUUACAUUUGAUCCCCGGAUUGAAGCUCUGGAUGGUGACGCCGUCAUCAAUUGCAAUGCCGGUGCAUAAUUCACCGCUAAUGUUCCAUUGAUCAUUUGCCAUAAUCCUCCAUCGCUCGAACAUGGAGUUUAUAGCUCUCGCUGCAUAUCAUAAUUAUAUUCUUCGCUAAAUUUUCCAUCUUCAUCAAUGGCGAUUCAUGGGUAUAGAUUGUCGUCAGUGGUUAAACAAAAUAGUUGUAGAUUUUUAAAAUAAAAAAAUAAAGUCGUCCUGAUUAAAAAUUUUGAUAAUUUCAUUGACGUGGGUUAACUAUACUAAAAAUAAUCAAUUUUAGGUCGUGUCUUGUGGACCUUACUGAACUUUAUAAUAUUUCUGAAAUAUCACUGAAUUUUGUAAAAAUGCUCUACAUUCAUUACUUGUUGGGAGAAAAUUCAUGUUUUUCUAAGAGAGCGAUUUCAUCAUGUCAAUACAAUUUUUGACAUAUUAGAAAGUUCCUCAAAAAUUGACAGAAAUUGAUAGAACACGUUGCCACGUGGUAAUUCGUAGCCACCUAGAUUUUCGCGCGGGUUAGUCGCUAACAAUUAAAAAGGGAUCAGACGAUUGUGUAAGGAACAAAUCUCUUGAGACAAAGUCCCAAAAAUGGGCAUUUUUUAUUGGCGAUAACUUUACAAUUGGGGAGUAAAAACAGAAUGCCUCCAAGGGGCGCAAGCAUACGAGUUAUUGUAAAAGAAGUGUUUAAAUCUAAACUAAGGAAUUGAAAGUUACAUAUUCUCUGUUUGAGAGUGUUUGAUUCGGGGUCUUUUGCUCUAUGUCUUUUCUUCCUUUUAUACUCCCUGGAUGAUCUCUUUGUGAUCAACCACCUAAAAACUGUUUGAUCGUUCUAUAACUGCCCACUUUCCUCGUAAUGGCCAACUUGUCAUGGAACUGCCUUUUCUAACUACUUCCAUUACUCUUUGUCGUUCAACCGUCUUCAAUUGAAUUCCUUGAAUCGUGGAACGUGAUAAGGCUGCUUAAUAACUGCUUUGAUAACUGCGCUUCUUGAUAACCAUAACACUUCAUGUUUGCUAAGACCUUGGGCGACUCGAAGGUUUGUGCGAGAAUAGAGUAGCAGCUCUGGGCGACUGCAUGGCACUCCAUUCGCUCAGAUCCUGGGCGACUUCCAAGCUUGGGCGAUGUUGUUACCGCGUUCGUGGGCCUUCCUAUUUGGGCCUUCAUCCUGAAUUGUCUGAUUGGGCGUCGUUCUUUGGGCUAUCUGAUUUGGGGAUCCUCCAAUUGGGCUUCAUUCCUUAGGCUGUUCAAUUUUGGCUAAAUUUUUAUGUAUCAACAAUUACCCCCCAAUAAGGCAGAAUUAAUACCAAUUAUUAAUUUUUGUCAUAUUCACUUUAUGUUUCCAGCAACAUUCGAAAUUUCCAAGAAUUUCAAUCAUUAUUUCCUUCCAUAGCUUAAAAAGGUGCGACGUUUUGCAAACCCUUAUAACCCCCAAAUACGUCAUUUCACUGUACCAUUAAAUCACGCCUCACUUUUUUCGCGCUUCUCUCUCACAAUUUUACUGUUCAUCUCUUUGCUUCCCUGUUACGUAACUCUGAAAAACUCCAUUUCGUCCCUAAUGGCUACUUCACAAUCUCAAUCUGGCGACUCCUUCAGUUUUGAAGACUUUCAGAAACUUCUUAAUCGUCCAUACAUAACUCCAAAUUUUCUCGCACCUGCCAAUGUCGAACUCAAUGAGUUCUACUUAGGUCCUUUCUUCAACAAUGCAGAGGCAGUCGAACAAGCGGCGGUGGGUCAGCUGUUUCCUUGUACUCAAGGCCCUCCAUUUCUAAACUCUCUGCCGCUGGGGCCACUUCGCGAAAGAGGUAUUCGUACUUGGCCUAAAUCUGACGUAGUUUUUCGUAGGUGGCAUGCUCGCCUUGUGGACCAUGGUUCUACUAAGGCACUUUUUGAUAAUGCUAGGAUUUCUGAUUUGUUAGAAAUCUCUCUUCAACCCCUGCUUUUGAUUCAGCACUUUUUUCGAUCGCUUUAAGUUUUUGGUCUUUUGAGUAUAAUACCUUUGUUUUCCCCCUUGGCCCCAUGUCUAUUACUUUAAGGGAUGUUGGGGCCAUAGUGAAUCUGCCACCUUUGGGCGAUACCAUUUUUCCUGGUAUCUUGAUUUCUGGUGGCACCCCAAAGUUUGGUAAAAACCUCACCGAGUCUUAUUCAAGCGUGCAAACCCUUCAUAACCAUUCAAGCGCUGAGCCUUCCCAUACUGAGCGAGUGGCCUUUCUUCUGGUUUGGCUUUGUAAAUAUGUUUUGUGUGUGCCAAGCAUAAAACCCUCCCUGAGCUAUUUACCCAUAGCGCACGAAUUGGCGCGUGGUAGGCCUUUGAAUUUAUGUUCUUUCUUUUUGGCUGCCCUCUAUAGAGGCAUGGCUUCUCUUCAAUCUCAAUUGAAAAAUGGUGCAUCUCCCACUGGCAGUGGACCUCUUUGGUUCACUCAAAUGUGGUUGAGAUCCUAUUUUCCAUCGCUUGGUGCUCCAUCAAUUUCUCGUUCUUCUGCUAGCUACUAGGGGCUAGCCAUUGAGCCCCUGGCUCCUGUAAAUAUGUCUAGAAGGGACAUUUUUUCAUUCUUUUAUUCUUUGGAUUCAAUUCCUUCCUUCUUUCCUUUUCCUGCCUUUUUGACUCCAAACUAUGUGCAUCCUCUCUCCACUAUAGACAGCGCGAGCACCUCUCUGCUCAUUUGGAUCCAGUUUUUAACCGGGAGGGAGUUAUUUCAUGACAUUUUGACUGGGACCAAUGCCAAGGCUGGGGUAGAAAUAUAUGCUCCCCAAUUUUUUGCUCGCCAACUUGGUUUCGGCCAAACCUGGCCUGUUCCUCCUUGCUAUUCAAGGAACUUGAUAGACCGCUUCCAUAUCAUUAAUAAAGUGGAGGCAGAGGCUAUAAAUGCUCGCAAUCUUCUUUUAACGAGCCAUUUUUCAUUAGCCCCCUUCAAUUCUAGUCAUGUCAUUCACCCUCUUUUUGAACAACUCUGGCCAUCAGUGAAGCGCAGAUUGUUCGCGACUGAUGCCAAUUGUGCCUUUCAUUCACUGGAUCAACCAAGCAUUUCUUCUCCUCCUCCUGUUUUAGUCACCCCUUUGUUCAUCCGGAGUCCUUCUCCUCCUCGUCGCGCUAAACAUUCUGCUCGUCCAUCUUCUUCUCUCCCUGCCAAGCCUACUGCAGCCAAAAGUGCUCCGAGCCGCAAACGGCCAGCCUCAACAUCUCCCAUUCUGGAAGAUGAUGUUGAUGAUGAUGAUGAUACCCCUCUUAUCAUCAGGAGGAAGGUAAUUAAAUUGGUUUACUUACAGGCAUACUUUUUCAUACUUGAAGCUUUUCUGUGUGCUGAUGUUUUAUUUGGACUUUUCAGAAAAGUUCAGCCUCUCCUUUGAAGGCCUUAGUGUCGGCAGCUCCUGCUCCAUCAUCCUCCGCUGAGGCUGCUUUAUCCAAACCAGUUGAUGAAGGGACUACGCUUAAAGAGACAUCUUCAGUCCCAGAAUCCUCAUCACAACCAAUGGAUGAGCCACCUUCUUCCCAGGGCGUCGACCCCCUAAACAUCGAAGCAGAAGGUAAUUCAGUCUCUUGAUGCUUUACCUUUGCUUGUGCUGUUGGUUUCUGAUUUGUUGCUUUUGAGUUCUACAGAUGCUCCUAUGAGUCUGCCCGCUGUGGCAACAUCUUCUCACUUAGACAAGGGGAAGUCCACAAGAAUAGUGGAGUCACAGGUGGCAGACUUGGCUGGAGAUAUGCCAUCUUCCAAGAUUAUUGAUGAGGUAAUCUUUGCUUCACUUUUACUUUCAUCUUGUUCAUUAUAGUGAGAAUCUUCAUUAUUGGCAAUUUUUUUUGCAGGAUGCUGAUAAGAUUGUGCGUUCCAUCUAUGACUUGUUCGCUUCCUGGGGGCAAGUCAAGACAUCUCGCCCUGCUCCAGCUGGUCGUCCUACUACUUCUUCAGAGGAAAAUAUGAAGUUCCUCAAGCAGUCGAUAUUUGAAUGCGUGUCCUUCAUAGAUAUGGACAUUGGUAAGGCUAGUGCUGCCAGACAUAAAGAUAAACUUGAGCAUUUGAAUGCAAAGUUGGAGCAAGCGCUAACACUUCCGUUGCUCAAUCUUUCUGCUGAUUUUAAAGCGAUGUUGAAAGUUAUCCAUUCCGAGGUCCUUUCCUUGCUGGCCAAGAAUGUUGAACUGAAGGCCAAAAGUACUCAAUAUCUUCGCGCCGUAUCUGAAAAAGAGUCUUUACUUCUGGAGAUCAACAAAGCUGAGGACGAGUUGAAAGAAAUCUCUUCCAAAGUCAUGAUUGAAGACUCUUUGAUGGCUAGUUUGGCUGCUCAGAUGAAGGAACUUCAAGCCAAAAUGGACGACUGCAAGGCGAGAAUGGCUGCUAAAAAGCGUAACGCCUCCCAAGGAAUUGAGCGAACUAAGUCUUUGGUCGAGCAGUACAAGAAGUUGGAAGUUGAUAAUGAUGUUGUGGCCGAAUUGAACAUCACUUCCUCUCGACAGAGCGAGGACUGGGGGAAACUUAGGGAGAGAAUUCGUUCGGUAUGGGGCGGAUUGUAAUUAAGACAUAUAAUGCCUUAACUUUUUCUUUUUGUAAUUUCGCAUUUGACUCUCCCUUUGUAACCUUAUACAUCAUUAAUGAACAUCUAUGUAAACUUCUUGUGCAUUUAUUUGACGUUUGUCUUUUAAUCGCCAAUCUUUCAAGCAUUUAACUGCUUUGUGCUAAAAAUUUUGCACAUUUUCUCUUGAUAUUUCCACCUCUUUUCCCAAGACUUUGGGCUACUUAAUUCCAUUUAUUAGGCAGAAUGUGGCUGUUCAUAUUCUGUCUCUUCAUAUAAAUGCACGUAUGCUUCGCACUUUCCAUCUUCCAUCUUCAUUUUCAUUCUCUUCUUCGAAACCAAUUUGCUGCCAUUUUCUGGCAUUCUGACAAUCAAUCCAAAACCUUCGUCUUCUAUAAAAAUGGAUUGUUUGGUCCGCCCAUUUUACUAUUUGUCUUGAUGUCACCUUUGGUAUGGGAGAUAUAGGAAAUAUUUUUUGGCCAGCAGCGAAGUUUUUCCCAUCAAAGUUCUUCCCAUCGUCUCUUUGUUCUUUACAAGGGGUUCGAUGAUGGAAGGCAAUUUUUGGGAUGCUUGCAGGCCACCUUGCUUGCUAAGAGUGCUUCUCAGCCUCUUUGCCUGCCAUUACAGCGAUGCAUUUAGGAAGGCGGUGCGAGGCCAGUUCACUCUCUUACUCAGCGAUCGACCGGGAAAUUAGCUUACUUUUAAUUGUAGCUUGUAGAGCAUCUAUUAUUUGUAUCUUACAACUUUGUAAUGAACGUUUAAUAAUAAAGGAAUUUAUUUGAACGCAUUUCGCUCUGACCUUUUUAUCCUUAAUCGUUCAACAUGUUUUGAUUACGCUUUUAUCUAUUCACUUUCCCAUAAAGAAGGAACAUAUUUUUUCAAAUAUUUACCGUUGAUGAAUCUUACGUGCUUGGUGUCAUCUAAGUCUUCCAAAUGAUACGUUCCAUUGGGUAACACACUUUUUACUUUGUAUGGUCCUUCCUAAUUGGGCGACCACUUCCCGCACUUUGGAUCCUUGCUAUCCAAAGGGAGUAUUGUCUUCCAAACUAAUUCGCCCAGGCUGAACGACUUGGCUAUGACUUUUUUAUUAUAAAACUUAGCCAUUCUUUGUUUUUGAACUUGCAAUCUAUCUAGGACGUCCAACUUUAAUUCGUCCAACCCCAAUAAAUUUUAAACUAGUGAUUCACACUCAUCAUCAUUUAACUAAUGUUGCAAGCACACUCUAAUCGAUUGCACGUUUAUUUCCAUAGAUAAAACGACCUCCUGUCCACAAGUAAGUUGGAAAGGAGUAAUUUUGGUACUUGACCGAGGUGGUGUUCUAUAAGCCCAUAAGGCCUUAUUCAGACAUUCGUGCCAAUUUCUGGCAUUUUCGUUUAUUAUCUUUCUGAUGAUAUUUUUUAGAAUCUUAUUAGAAGAUUUUGCUUGUCCGUUGGAUUAAGCGUAAUAUGGUGUGGAGUUUACUAAUUUAACCCCAAACUCGCUCAAGAAUUUAUUCACUUGAUCCCCAUUCAAAGAUGUUCCAUGAUCUACUAUCAACGUUCGUGGAAUUCCAAAUCUAUAAAUGACGUGAUCACGGAUAAACUCUAUGACAUUCUUUUGGGUGAUCUCUUUUAAAGGUACCGCCUCUACCCACUUGGUGAAAUAGUCGGUUGCAACUAUAACAAAAGUAUGUUGCUUGGACGAUAGGGGAUAAAUCUUCCCUAUCAGAUAUAUUGCCUAACCCUUGAACGGCCAAGGUUUAAUAAUAGGUGUCAUCUCUCGUGCUGGUGCCCUUUGUAUUGGACCAUACUUUUGGCAUGCUAAACAACUCUUUGCAUACUGAACGCAUAAUUCUCCCAUCUUUGGCCAAAAAUAUUCACUCCUAAUAAUUAACCAUCUCAUCGUUUGGCCAGCUUGAUGAGCUCCACAUAUCCUUUCGUACACCUCAGCCAUGAUCGUCCUGACUUCUUGCAAACUUACACACUUUAGCAAUACACCAUCAGAGCAUUUCUUAAACAACUCUUCAUCUAUUAGUGUAUAGUUCAGCAAACACAGCUUCAUUUUCCUACUAAUCCCUCCAUUAGGUUCUUUAAGGAACCUUUUAAUCUCUGUUCUCCAAUCCAUUUUAUCUUCACCAUGUAUGCAAUGAAAUUCAAUCCUUCUCACCCUUCUUUGGGUCAUGGACAAUAUGGUUCCAUACUCACAAGUAGACUUCCAAUUCAAAACAUUUGAGUACCCUGAGGCCAUUUGGGCCAACUCAUUUGCCACGUCGUUAUAUAUUCUAUUAACACAUUGAAGUUCUACUUGGUCGAAUUCUUCUAACAAUUCUUGGGCGAUCUCAUAUUGACUUAUAAUGGAAUCACUUUGGCAUUUAAAAUCACCAAUCAAUUGGUGAAUUACCAAUUGAGAAUCGUCCCUAAUGAUCACAUUUUUUACUCCCAUAUCUAUCAUUAGUUCUAGGCCUACGAUUAAGGCUUCAUAUUCGGCCUAAUUGUUGGUGCACAUCCUGUCUAAAGUGAACGCGAACUUGCAGCAAAUCCCUAAAGGAUUAAUCAAUGCUACUCCUACUCCUACACCUUUAGAGGUUUUUGACCCAUCGAAAUACAACACCCAAGGUUUUAGCUCGAACGAAUUGAUUUCCAAUUCAAUUUCUUCAGGCAUGUCAAGGCAUGGAUGAUCGGCUAGAAAGUUAGCCAAAGCCUGAUUUUUGACUGCCUUUUGAGGUAUAUAUUAUAUCUCGAAUUCUGAUAAAGCUAAUGUCCAAAGGCCUACCCUUUGGUGUAAAAUAGGGCGAGAGAACGUAUACUUAACUAAAUUUACUUUAGAAAUUAAAUAAAGGGUUACGGGCCGUAAAUAAACCCUUAAUUUUGUACAUGUGAAAUACAAUGCAAGACAUAAUUUUUCGAUAGCAGAGUAAUUAUAUUCACAUUUUGUUAACCGCCUACUUAAGUAGUAAAUUGCCAUUUUUUUACCAAAUUGGUCUUCCUGCGCGACCAUUUCAGCUAUUGAUUCUUUUUCAACCGAUACGUACACUUUUAUUGGCCGUCCUUGGAUUGGUGACACCAACACUGGUGGACUUGAUAAAUAUGUCUUCAGGCUUUCAAAAGUCUUUUGAUGUUCUUCUUUCCAGACGAAUCCGUCCUGAUUUUUCAGCUUUAAGAGCGGCGAAAGGACUUUAGUUCGCCCUGCACAGUUAGAAAUAAAGCGUCUUAAAAAGUUUACUUGGCCUAGAAACCUUUGCAAUUCUUUUUUGUUGCUAGGUGGUUUGGCUUCUAAAAUGGCAUUUGCUUUAUUUUUAUCAAGUUCAAUCCCUCUUUUGUGUACCAAGAAAUCAAGAAAGUUCUCUACAUUAACACCAAAUGUACAUUUCAAGGGAUUCAACUUUAGCUUAUAUUGCUUCAUUCGCUCAAACGAACAUCUUAACUGUUCGAAAUGGCCCUCUUCUUUAAUGGAUUUGACCACUAUAUCACCUACAUACACUUCAACAAAUUUGCCUAUCAUAUCAUGAAAGAUUAAAUUCAUUGCCUUUUGAUAAGUUGCUCCUGCAUUUUUUAGGCCGAAAGGCAUGACCACUCAUUCAAAACAUCCUAGAGACCCAGGUCAUCUAAAAGCAGUUUUGUGUAUGUCUUCUUCAGCUAUAUAAAUUUGAUUGUAUCCUGAAUACACAUCCAUGAAAGAAUACAUGACGUGUCCGGCAGUUGAGUCUACUAAAGAAUCCACCGUGGGCAUUGGAUACUCAUCGGGUGUUGCUAUGUUUAAAUUCCUAAAGCCUAUGCACACCCUUAAUUUACCAUUCUUUUUUAGUACUGGCACGAUAUUGGACAAUUAUUCGACAUACCUGGCUGUUCUAAUAAAGCCUGCUUUCAAUAAUCGCUCUAUCUCUUUCUUAGUCUCAGGGAGUAUAUUAGGGGCAAAACGUUUAGGAAGUUGCCUAAGAGGUUUAAAUUAGGCUUAGUUGGUAACCUAUGUUCCACCAAGUCUCUAUCUAAACCAGGCAUUUGUUCAUAUUCCCAAAUAAAAUAAUCUUUAUACUCUUUUAGCAAAGCGAUUAAUUUAUCACUAACCUCUUGAUCGAGCAUUUGGCUGAUGAAUGUUGGACGAUCUUUUCCUUCAUUACCAAUAUUUACUUUGAUCAGAGGGUCUUGUACUUAAGAGUAUCCAGGUUUGAUGAUCCGCAUCGCUUCGUCGUCCAAUUCCCUUGUAAAUACUUCUUCUUCUAAAUAGUCCACCUUGUUGACUUCUCGACCAAUGCUUUGUUCAAACUCGAAUACUGCCCAUUUGUCUUUCAGCGCUCUUAGGGCUGCCUCUUCUUUCGUUUUGUCCUUGUAUUCUUUAUUGAAAGCCAUUAAUCUGGCUUUGAAGGCCUGGAUAUCGGCCAUUUGCUUUUGUGACUCAGAAUUCAUUCAAGACUCCUUGAUUAUUCUUUUCCCAAUUACUGGCUCUUCUAAAACCACUAUAUUUGGUCUCAUUUGGCUGAACAUUUCAGUGAGUGCGUCCACUGAAAAUGGCUCUUCACUCUGUGCGACGAUCUGAGUUUCUUCCCCAUCUUGGACUACCCUGACAGGUCCAUAGUUUCCUUCGUACAUGAACAUUUCCACUGAGUUCGCUUCUGCGACAAAAGGCCUAUGAUCGGCCUGCACCACCUCUACUUCACCCUUGUUGUUCCAAAAGACCAGGCAUUGAUGGAGUGAUGAGGGUAUGCAACGACUUCCGUGUAUCCAAUCUCUUCCUAGUAACACAUUGUAACUAGUAGGACCAUCUAUUACAAAGAAGACUGUGGUCCUAGUAGUUGUCUUCGUAGUUAUGUCCAAUGGCAUAACUCCCUUAGCUGAAGUUGCUCCUCCAUUGAAACUCGUAAGGAUGACUUCUAUUGGAAUCAUGUCACCCUUUGUCUUUGCAAAUUUCCUCAUCAUCCUAGAUGGAAUGGUGUUUAUAGCUGCUCCAUUGUCGACAAGCACUUUUGCCACAAGGAUGCCGUUAACUAGAGUUUUAACGUACAAUGGCCUCAAGUGUUUAGUCAUUUUCAUGGCUGGCUGUUUAAAAAUAACCUUUUUGGCAGCCUCCAUUUCUACUUCCUGCUUGUUUUCUGUCGAAUUAUCCCUCUGUGAUAAGUCGACGUGCAGCAUAUCGCGCUGAGCCUCUGUCUCCUGAAUUUCCUCCUUACUGUUUUCUAACGCUUCUUCAUCAGUUACCCAACCUGUGGGAGGGGGCAUUAUUCUUGGAGGUGAUCCACACUUUUCAGAGCGAGGCACUCUCUUCUUCCUUUUGGGCGUCCCGUACAGUACGUAGAAAUCGAAAGAAUGCCCAGAUGGUUCUCCCAACAAAUCUACUUCGCGAACUCCCUCUCGAUGUAGUUUCUUCAACAGAGUGUUGUGCGAUACUCCUCUCCUUUCUGCUUUUAGGUUGAUUUCUUCUUCGAUGUCUGUCAUCCCGUCGUCUUUUUCAUCAUUGUAGGCCUCUCUAGAAGUCUGGCCUUCUUCAUAUUCCAGCACGCAAGCCUCUCCUUCGUUGUCCUCCCUUUCUUCUUCUUAUUUUUCUUUAUUCUUGAAUUCAUUGGCCAAUAAGUAAUUAUUAGCCACGACAGAAGGUAACGUACCGAACUGAAUAUUAAGGGGCUGAUCUGGAUCUUCUCCAUCCCUUCUGUCUCGCUCAAACUUUGAUCUCCUAGAAGAAGUUUCUGGCAACUCUUUCAUUGAUUCAUCUGUACCGGUCUCUUCAUUAUCUUUGAGAACAUUUUGAUUAGCUACCUUGAGUAGUUUAAGCGCUUUAGGAUGUGGCACUCCUUGUUGCUGCCUUAUCAUUCGUCCAUAGUUUCGUUAAAAAUGCCUUUGUUCGGUUCUAGUCAUCUCAUCGAAGGGUAUUGCCCUUCCUACAUUAUACUGGAACGAAUGCCAUACAUUUGGCCGGCGAGGUUGCGGCCUGAAUGUUUUCCCAUUAUCUACUGGCCUGAACUGCCUCCCGAAAGGCGGUCCUUUGUAGAACGAUGUACCUUGCCCUCUACCGGGCUGAGCGUUUGGGAGGAGAGUAGGGCGAUGGGGAUGCUGCCAUGUACCUGGUUUCUCCGUAUUCCCACUCACUUCUCUUUUACAUCUUGCACACAGGACGUCUUCGUCCUUUUUUGGCUCCUUCCCCUUGAUUCGUUCAAAAACACUGGGAUGUGGUCCAGGGUCCUCUUCUCCAUCAUCUAUGACCAACUUGAAUUUUGGCAACUUGUUUUUGAAACCAGACGUCACCAUGUUCACUCCAAGUGGCUGUGGAAAAGGAUUUUCAUCCACUGCCAUCUUUUUCUUAUCGUCGAACGUAAUUCGUCCUGAUUCAAUGACAUCCUGCAAUAUAUGGCGAAAAACCAAGCAAUUGUUAGUCAAAUGUGACCAUGUAUUAUGCCACUUACAAUAUUUUUUACCCUUAAUUUGUUCAGGGUUUGGCAAUUUAUACUUAUCGCUCAACUUUAUCUGCUUAUCCCUAUAUAAUUUAUCAAAUAUAAGGUCAGCUUUGGUCACAUCGAACGAGAACGUUCUAGCCUUUAUGUUUCCAUUUUUCAUGGGCUCAUCUUUGCCCUAUGGUCUAGGCUUAGCCAUUAUAGGACAAGUAUACGUGUCUCCUUUGACCAAUUCAACCAAACACAUCUCGGCUUGAUCGUAUGACUGGUCGCUGAUGGUAUGAACGUCAAAAUUUGGGUCUUUGUAAUAAGUCCCUUUACUAGAAUUUUUCAUCUGCUCUUCUUCUCUUAUCAGUCGUUCAUAUCCAAUCACGUUCGCACUCAACUGGAAAAGGUCAGGAAAUUCCUUGUCUUGGAAUUUCUUUUUUAAAUCAAAGCUCAAACAACCCUAAGCGAUUUUGACAAAUUCUUUUUCGGGCAGAGGUACAAAACACUUGCUUUUUGCUGUCUUGAAUCUUUGGAGAAAACUUUCUGCCCAUUCGUUUGGCAUUUGACGUAGAUUCGCCAAAUCAGCCACAGUAACUUCAGACUCAGUUUUAUAAAACUGAGCGUGGAAUAAUUAUUCCAAUUGUUGCCAUGUUUGAACAGAGUUCGCUGGCAAGUUUAUGAACCAGGAGAAAGCUAUUCCUGUUAAUGAACUAGGGAAAAGCCUCAUUUUAUGGUAAUCAGUUACAUCACCACUUUGCAAUGUGAAUCGCCCUAUGUGCUCUAGAGUAAACACCUCCCCUAAACCGGUAAAUAGUGAGAAUUCUGGCACUUUAUACCCUCUAGGCCAUGGAUAUGCUUGGUCUACCCAAUCAGGAUAUGGCUUUGUGUAAGUCGGCCUAAUGACAGGACGCACCCCAAAAGCCAUCUGAUCCUGUACGAUUUCCAUAAUCUGAUUCCUCAACAUGACGUUAAGGUCAUAUGGAAUUCCUACAGGUUGGUUAACCGGUUGAUUUGAAUGAGGCCUGACGUUUGGUCCUUGAUUGGCAACAAAGUUACCAUGAUUUAGGCCAUUACCAUUAGCCUGAACAUCUAUUCCCUCAUUAACACGUAGGGUAUUCUGUUCAUUGUUUAGGACAUUAUCUCUUACAUUUAAAUUACCCCCAAGUUAGGCGUACCACUACUGUUGUUCUGAUUUGGCACUGCACCACCCCCUUGGUUUGAAGUAGAGGGACCAGAAAGUGGUUCUAUCCCUUGAUUCGGAUUUAAGACUGAGGGAUUAUGUACUACAAUUGUCCUACUUUGAAAGUGGUUUGCAGCAGGCAGAACCGGUUGACAUAUUUGGCCUACUAACUUAUUCAUUAUUUCGUUCAAAGUGUUUAGUUGUUUGGCCAUGUUGUCAUAAUGUGUAUUCCCAUUUUAGGUAAAUCUUUCCAUAUUAUGAAUAUUUCGAAGAUUUACCUGUUCAACGAUAUCUUGUGUGAGUUCUCCAAGUAGUGCACGCAUAGUUCGAGGACUCAACUCUGUCAUUGGUUCGUAACGACUGUUACUGCUUUGAUUCUGUCCAUCUGUUCGUGGAGAGGCAUGCUGCUCCUCAUAUCGCUCGAUCACAGACUGGACUCCUCCCUGACUUGCUGCUUCCUUAUCGGAUCUCUGAAGCAUAUUGUUUCACCUUUUGUAUUUUCAAUAUCAAACACCACUGUUCCACUGGGCGUGCCAAAUUGUUUCGCGUGCGUUAGUCGCUAACAAUUAAAAAGAGAUCAGACGAUUGUGUAAGGAACAAACCUCUUGAGAUAAAGUCCUAAAAAAGGGGCGUUUUUUAUUGGCGAUGACUUUACAAUUGGGGAGUAAAAACAGAAUGCCUCCAAGGGGCGCAAGCACACGAGUUACUAUAAAAGAAGUGUUUAAAUCUAAACUAAGGAAUUGAAAGUUACAUAUUCUCUGUUUGAGAGUGUUUGAUUCGGGAUCUUUUGCUCUAUGUCUUUUCUUUCUUUUAUACUCCCUGGAUGGUCUCUUUGUGAUCAACCGCCUAAAAACUGUUUGAUCGUUCUAUAACUGCCCACUUUCCUCGUCAUGGCCAACUUGUCAUGGAACUGCCUUUUCUAACUGCUUCCAUUACUCUUUGUCGUUCAACCGUCUUCAAUUGAAUUCCUUGAAUCGUGGAACGUGAUAGGGCUGCUUAAUAACUGCUUUGAUAACUGCGCUUCUUGAUAACCAUAACACUUCAUGUUUGCUAAGACCUUGGGCGACUCGAAAGUUUGGGCGAGAAUAGAGUAGCAGCUCUGGGCGACUGCAUGGCACUCCAUUCGCUCAGAUCCUGGGCGGCUGCAUAGCACUCCAUUCGCUCAGAUCUUGGGCGACUUGCAAGCUUGGGCGAUGGUGUUACCGCGUUCAUGGGCCUUCAUCCUGAAUUAUUUGAUUGAGCUUCGUUCUUUGGGCUAUCUGAUUUGGGAAUCCUCCAAAUGAAUUUCAUUACUUAGGCCGUCCGAUUUGGACUGAAUUUUUAUGUGUCAACAUAGACAUAUACGUCUAAUGCAACAAAAACAAAGGGAAAUGUAACUACUGGUCAAUGGAGAGAAAUUUUUGAAAGUUGAGUGAUGAUUGAGAAGACUUCCGGGGUACAAUAUAAAAUACAAUAAUUUUUAAAAUAAUCAACUUAGUAUUUGGCAGUGCUUCAAAUUACCUUUUAACAUUUAUAUAUAAUUACCUUCCUCCAAAGAAAUCUUUUGUAGAAAAUUAAUAAAAUACAGAAGGGUCAAAAGAAAAUAAAAUGCACAUAAAUCUGAAAGUAAAAUAAUUAUUGUAAACGAGCUCUUCAUGUUAAUUUAUUUCUUCAUGAUAAUAAUAGAGCAACAAUUGAAUUUAAAAUGUGUCUUUUGACGAGUAUGGGCCUGUUUGGGAGGAAUUUUUUCUUUCAAAAAAUUGAUUUUUUGACUGUUAUUUUACUAUUUCAGUCGUCAUAUUUGACUUCUUCUCUCACAGGUGGACCCCACUUUCCUCCUAACCGUCAAAAAAUCAAUUCUCAAAAUCACUCUCAAGCAGGUUCAAUCUUUUACAACGUUUCUUCAUCGGUUAUUAAACUUUAAAACGUUUUUCACAAGCUAUUGAAUUUAUCAAAUUGUUAAAACAUCCGUCAUUAAAAAAUAGAUGGAAUGGAUAGCAUGAAAACAUAUAUUCAUACAGAGACGGAUACACGGGGGCUGGGUUGGGUUGUAGCCCCCCACCCUAGGUCCAAGAAUUUUUUUUAAGGUAUUUUUUAUUUUUUUGGGUAAAAAAUCAGUUUUUUAUGUGUAAAAAAAUUUUUUCCACGUAGUAGCUCGAUUUGAAAUUUUGUAGCCCGAUCGUGGAUCCAAUCCUGAAUCCGUCCCUGUAUUCAUACGUGUCAACUUUGUAGGAUCAUUUACGCUAAGUUACUGAAGUUCAAUGGCGUUGACAAGUGAAAAUAUUGUGGAAAGUACAUUGGUCAAUGAGAAAAAUUAUGCAAAGCCCAAAAUGAGAUACUUAUUUAAUACAGUAUAUAUCCUCUCUACUAUUUUAUUCUUAUGAAAAUUAAACUUCGUCCAUCUUGAAUUAAUAAAUAAACUAAACUACAAAUAAAGGAUGAAACAAGCAUGUUAUCCUAAAUCUUAAAAAUAACUUAAAGUAAGCUUUUAGUUAUGAACAUGUUUAGCUCCCGUUUGGUCCCCGUUUUGUAGAGUUAAAAAUGGGUGGAAUAAUAUUUUUUUUUUUAAAAUGAGAAGUUAAAAAGAAAGAAAAAGUUUUCGAUUCACAUAUAAUAUUAUUUUAUGAAAAAUUGUGUGGUAGAAAAUACGUGGGAGAAAAAUGUAAUUGAAAUUAAUGGGACGAAACGGAGGCUUAUAGUUUACUUCCGUCAACAUAGUAACAUAAAUUGUGGGUGACGCACUGGUGGGAAGAGAGCAGAGGUGCAUGAACGUACCUUCAGAAGGAUCAGUGGUGGCAUUUCUUCGGGUUUGAGCUUGAGCCCGAGGCACCUCUACCAGAGACAUGGUCAAAAAAAGGCAUAAGCCUAGCAGCAAAUCUAGUUGCCGCCUUGGCGCCACCUUCGCGAGUUUCAUCUCUGUCGGUAUGGACCAGAAGCAUGCGAAUUUCAGAGGUAAAUUCUGUACUGAUAUAUCAAGAAGUGAUCGUCUAUUCUUUGGCUAUAUCUCUCAAUUUUUCUUGGUUGACAGCUAAUCGUAUACUUGUCAUCAACUGCAAUUAACGCGUUUGGUCCCGCUUUAGAACAGAUAAAAAUCAAUUUCUGGGACCGAUGCCUUGUCUUUAACCAUUUGAAAAUUUUAAAGUACUGGCUCUUGUCAGACUUUUCACGUGCACAUGUUAGGGAGUUUUUCUCAUUUUUGCCCUUCAAUUGAUUAGCACAUUGCAAAAAUGAAGGCAUGUGAGGGCAAAAUGGACAAAUACACAUAAUACUUUGUAUUGAAUGAUCAAGUGGGCCCGGUGAGUUGACAGGAAAAGCAAUCCUCCAUUUUGCAAGUAGCACCCAGACAGUAUAUUAAUUUGCUCAAUUAUUAUUGACCAAAAAAAUUGUUCAAGUUUUUAUUUAAAGUCCGUUUGAGCCACAUUACAAUACGAAUGAGAAUGAGAAAUAGAGUCGUUAUGGAUCCCACACUAGAGAUAGAAAUUCAAAAAUGAUGACUUGAUAUGAUAGAUAACGAUCAUAUUUUUCAUUUUAAUGAGGUAAAAAUAGGGCUCAAUCAGGGACUUAAUUUAUAAAAACUUAAAUAUGUGAUGAGAUUAUAGCAUGUUACCAGCUUAAGUUUAUAUUUUGACUUAAAAUGAUAUUUAUAGAGUUAUGAGAAUGUCUCACUUUUUGUCUAUAAUGGUAUGAGGCUAUUAUGUGAGGUAUUUAAUGAUAUGAUCUUGACGUUUGAUUAAAAAUGUUUAAAGGAGAAGUAUGAUUAUUUUUGAAGUCUUCUGACCUAUCAAUUCAUAUUUUUUUAACCCUACAAAAUCAGCAUUAUCCUUACGUGGCACAUGAUCAUUGGUUUCUCAGAUAUUCCUUAGAAGGUUUAAGCUGUUUACAAAGAUUAAUGAUUUGUCCCCCACCCCACACCACACCACACCACCCCACCCCAACCUUUGUUCAACCCCCUUCAUCUUCUCUAUCACCCAUCACUCGUCAGAGACCACGUUCAAUUGCUCAGGCCCACAAGAUUACAAAUUUGAGAAACCAACGGAUCAUGUUAAUUCAUCACCCCUCCCAAUCUUAAAAAAAUAUCCUACAUUUUGGCAAGUUGCUCUAAUGCUCCAGACAACCCCAACGACACCGAACAAGGGGGAAGAAGAGAAGGCUCAGUUUUAAGUUUUACUAGAUUUUGACUUUUUCUGGGUCAAGUCCGAACUCGGUAAAUGGAGUUCCCGUUGGUGUCGCGGGCUCUUAAUCCCCCAGUAACUUGGUUUUGUAAUUAUGAGUUGCCGGUGAGAAUAAUAGAGAUGAAAAAGAAGAAGGGAGUUUUGACAAAUAAUGGGGUGGUGAAAGCGGAGAGGAGUAGUGGUGCUGGUGGAAAAGCGGUGGAGAGAGAAGAAAGAGAGAGUCGGGUAUAUAGGACGGGUUCAGGUAUUGAGGUUAACAAUUUUAAUGAAAGCUUUAAUGAUGCAGAAUUUGCAGUCUGGGAAAAGAUUGGAAUUGAUGUUAGACUAAGUUAAGGAAUUGGUAAGUCUUUUACCUUUAUUAUUAUUAUUUUUUUUUUGGCCAUUCAUUUACGGGAGGAAUAUUAUUUUUGUUAUGAUCUUUGAUCCAAUCCUGAAUCUGUCUCUGUCGGACUCUAGCCUUAGGCUCAACAAGUUUUUUUGUUUCUUUUUCUUAUUCAACUUUGACUUGACUCAUAAAAAUCAUAGAAAAUAUUAGGAGUAGCAUCUUAAAGCCCACGACAUUAGUAAAAGUUUAUUUGGAUCAUUGGUGUAAAAAGUGUAUAUGCUAUUUAAAAUAAAUGUAUAUGUUUAUUUUUUUGGUAAUAUCAUUCAUCAUCUUCUUAAUUUCGUAGAUCAUUAGGUCCAUUACUCAUGGAUGACAUGAAGUUUUUGUUUUCCUUUUCUUUGAGGAUAUUAAUGUCCAAAAAUAAGUCGAUGACCAAGUUGCGUCAAGAGCCAUACAUUCAAGACUGAUCUUGCAAUAUUCCUUUAUCUUAUUGGAAAUUUAAUCAGUGGGAAAAUAUUAAUUUUAUGAAAUGCGAUUGAUGAAUCAAGUGAGAAAAUGUAAAAAUAAAGAUAAAAUUAAUUUUGAAUUAUCAAAUUUAUAACUGUAUCAUCAUUCAUUUAACCAAGCAGAUUAAUACAUUAUUACAAACAUCUCAGUUACAAUCAGCAAAUUACAGACAAACCACAUUUUAUUCCCAAGCCUCAGCAUGAUCUCUUGUCAAUUUAUAGGAUUGAUCAAAAAUUCCUUGAAAUAGUAACCUUCAAACCGUGUUUCAUAUGAAGCACAACGGAGUUACAUGGAGCUAUAGCAUGGCUUUUUACAACUUGAAUACGGAAACUGCUUAUAAUGGAGGCUGCAACUAUUUUCAUUUGAACGAAAGACAUCUCCUUCCCUAAAUAGCUCCUUGGCUCUGCAUUAAAUGCUGUAAAUUUGAAAGAGGGUUCAUGUUUUAUUUGUCCUUGUUCGGGAAUCCACCGUUUUGGCUUAAACUCUAGACAAUCUCCGCCCCCCUCCCAAACCAGGGGCGGAGUCAGGAUAUCAGUUCAGUGUGGGCAAAAAAAAUUCAAUGCCGAAAGUCAAGGUUUUGGUCAUGAAUUUAAUGACGAUAAAAAAAUAAAACAAUAGUACGACACACUAAAAACGACAUAAUUUAUAACAAAUACUGGAAGCAACUCACAAAAUUCAGUGUAAUUCACAAUUUUACAUAAUCAAUUUACAAUGCAUUUCACAAAUUUCACAUAAUUAAUUCACAGUGCAAUUCACAAUUUCACAGGCCAAUAUAUACUAUUUUCAAAAUCCAGUAAGGCAGGAACAGAGUAAGCAACUCACAAUCGCAGACUGCUAGAGGCUAAGGCAACAAUGAACUGGAAGUGCGUCUUUCUCACAGUUAUGUAGAAAAAACAAUUGAAGAGCAACUGUAGGAAGUGCCACUUCGAGCAAUCGAAGAGCAAAGUCGAGAGCAAUAAAGUUAAAAAAAAUAAAAAAUACUGGAGAUAGAAGUACAAAAAGUGCUAAAGAUUGUGGACAAGAGCGGUAAUUUAGCUCUUAUUAAUUGAUAAAUAAAUAAUAUUUUUUACGUCAAAAAUUUUUUUUUAUGAGUUAAAAAAUCAAAGAAUAAAAAAUAGUAACCCGUCCAAUUUGAAAACAAAAUAAUAACAUUACCAUCUUCUGCUUGGCAACUCUAUCCUGGUGGAUUAAUUAUUCAAAAACCCAGAUCUAGAACAAUGAGUGAAUCCCAGCAACAUUUGGUAGAUUUGCAGGAAAAUGGAGGUUUCGGGUCAGAUCCCAACUCGUGGUUAUCCGGCGCCGACAACCACUCGUCUAUCAGCCGAACUUUUUCUUCUCGUUCCAUUGCAUUCGCUGCUGCCACUGGCGAUGUUGACCGCGUUCUCUUCAACGAUCUCGUUAAGAUUGUCCCUCUCGUUCAGUUUGACCAGUGGACUUAGGAGGAAGAGGUUGAGUGACUUGAGUCGGAGAUGUGCACGGCUGAGUGACGUGCGGAAAGCGAAGUGACGAGUGCUACCGGUUGAAAUUGAAUGAAUCAAGGUGCAAUUGCCAAUUAAUUCAAUUGAAUGGUCAUGGAAUUGUAGACGGGUCAUGGGGUUUGAUUGGGCUAACGGGUUAUUGGGCUAGUGGGCUUUUCUGGACUGGACAGGGAAAUGAAAUGAAACUCUUAAAAAAAAAAGGAAAAAAAAAGUUUGGGCCUGGGGUUGGGCCCAAAAGUUCAAUGCGGGCAUGUGCCCACACUGGACUUCAUUGGGCUCCGCCCCUGCCCCCACCACCACCAAUAUGGAUUUCGUUCUUCCUAUUGAAUAGAAGGAUAAAACAGUUUUUGUAUUCGGCUAGAUCUUAUGUCCACUGGGAAGAAUAGUUGGCUUUAUUGGAGCUUUGUACUGUAAAGCCACUGGUGGAAAUAGGCGUAAUGCUUCACAUAGUCCACCAUGUAGAUAAACAAGUUUCUUUAGCUCGUCUUUGUUGGAAAAUUUCCAUUUUCUUGUUUCACCAACUUGUAAAUUUGUCAUGAUUUCUUCUCGAAUCUUGUUUUCUUCGAUCGGAUUUGUUGCUAGAAGCCAAAAAAACCAUGUAAGAGCUGCACUUACGGUGUCUUUACCAGAAGAGAUUAAAUUCAGCACGGUGUCUUUCCAUACAUAUUCUGUUGAAUAUUUGUUCAAAAUCAAUGGAAUGAUAAUGGACUAAUUGUUGGGCUCAAUUAUGGAAUUNNNNNNNNNNNNNNNNNNNNNNNNNNNNNNNNNNNNNNNNNNNNNNNNNNNNNNNNNNNNNNNNNNNNNNNNNNNNNNNNNNNNNNNNNNNNNNNNNNNNNNNNNNNNNNNNNNNNNNNNNNNNNNNNNNNNNNNNNNNNNNNNNNNNNNNNNNNNNNNNNNNNNNNNNNNNNNNNNNNNNNNNNNNNNNNNNNNNNNNNNNNNNNNNNNNNNNNNNNNNNNNNNNNNNNNNNNNNNNNNNNNNNNNNNNNNNNNNNNNNNNNNNNNNNNNNNNNNNNNNNNNNNNNNNNNNNNNNNNNNNNNNNNNNNNNNNNNNNNNNNNNNNNNNNNNNNNNNNNNNNNNNNNNNNNNNNNNNNNNNNNNNNNNNNNNNNNNNNNNNNNNNNNNNNNNNNNNNNNNNNNNNNNNNNNNNNNNNNNNNNNNNNNNNNNNNNNNNNNNNNNNNNNNNNNNNNNNNNNNNNNNNNNNNNNNNNNNNNNNNNNNNNNNNNNNNNNNNNNNNNNNNNNNNNNNNNNNNNNNNNNNNNNNNNNNNNNNNNNNNNNNNNNNNNNNNNNNNNNNNNNNNNNNNNNNNNNNNNNNNNNNNNNNNNNNNNNNNNNNNNNNNNNNNNNNNNNNNNNNNNNNNNNNNNNNNNNNNNNNNNNNNNNNNNNNNNNNNNNNNNNNNNNNNNNNNNNNNNNNNNNNNNNNNNNNNNNNNNNNNNNNNNNNNNNNNNNNNNNNNNNNNNNNNNNNNNNNNNNNNNNNNNNNNNNNNNNNNNNNNNNNNNNNNNNNNNNNNNNNNNNNNNNNNNNNNNNNNNNNNNNNNNNNNNNNNNNNNNNNNNNNNNNNNNNNNNNNNNNNNNNNNNNNNNNNNNNNNNNNNNNNNNNNNNNNNNNNNNNNNNNNNNNNNNNNNNNNNNNNNNNNNNNNNNNNNNNNNNNNNNNNNNNNNNNNNNNNNNNNNNNNNNNNNNNNNNNNNNNNNNNNNNNNNNNNNNNNNNNNNNNNNNNNNNNNNNNNNNNNNNNNNNNNNNNNNNNNNNNNNNNNNNNNNNNNNNNNNNNNNNNNNNNNNNNNNNNNNNNNNNNNNNNNNNNNNNNNNNNNNNNNNNNNNNNNNNNNNNNNNNNNNNNNNNNNNNNNNNNNNNNNNNNNNNNNNNNNNNNNNNNNNNNNNNNNNNNNNNNNNNNNNNNNNNNNNNNNNNNNNNNNNNNNNNNNNNNNNNNNNNNNNNNNNNNNNNNNNNNNNNNNNNNNNNNNNNNNNNNNNNNNNNNNNNNNNNNNNNNNNNNNNNNNNNNNNNNNNNNNNNNNNNNNNNNNNNNNNNNNNNNNNNNNNNNNNNNNNNNNNNNNNNNNNNNNNNNNNNNNNNNNNNNNNNNNNNNNNNNNNNNNNNNNNNNNNNNNNNNNNNNNNNNNNNNNNNNNNNNNNNNNNNNNNNNNNNNNNNNNNNNNNNNNNNNNNNNNNNNNNNNNNNNNNNNNNNNNNNNNNNNNNNNNNNNNNNNNNNNNNNNNNNNNNNNNNNNNNNNNNNNNNNNNNNNNNNNNNNNNNNNNNNNNNNNNNNNNNNNNNNNNNNNNNNNNNNNNNNNNNNNNNNNNNNNNNNNNNNNNNNNNNNNNNNNAAAAAAAAUAGAAUUUUAGUUGAAAUGAUAAACGUCAUGUUAAAUUUUGCUAAGUUGUCAUUCAGUUUGUGGGGUGAAGCAUUGUUGAGUGUAUGUAAAAUACUAAAAGGGAUUCCUUCAAAAUUUACAAAGAUUUCUCCUUAUGAAUUGUGGAAAAGAAGAAAACAUAACAUUGGAUAUUUCAAAGUGUAGGGGUAUCUUACAUAUUGUAAGAACACGAACCCGAACACGACCAAGUUGGGUCCAAGAGGCAUUAAAUGUGGCUUUGUUGGAUAUGCUAGUAAUAUCAAAUCAUAUAGAUUAUCAAAUUUGGAGACCAAUGUGAUAAUUGAAUCCAAUGACGUAGAGUUCUUUCAGAUUUCACUAUUUUCCGAUAAUAAACUAAAGAAAAUUUCAAGUUCUAGUGGAGUGCAAGAUGAAACAUCUUCUAAAGAUGUUAAUGACUCUAGUACCUUGAAGAAGAAAAAGAACUUGAAUUGAGAAGCCUUUAUGGCCGUAUAAAAUUGACUCUCAAUUUAUUUCAUUUCACUUAGUAGAGAGAAGUGAGAAAAAUGUUGUAAGAACAAUUUCUUUUGAUCUACAAGUGAAAAUCAUUCCUAAGACUUAUAGAGAGGCUAUGGCUUCUUGUGAUAGCGUCUUUUGGAAAGAAGUAAUUAAAGAUGAAAUGUAUUCAAUUAUGUCAAAUAAUACAUGAGAACUUGUCGAUUUACCACUCGAAUCCAAACCUAUUGUAUGUAAAUAGGUAUUUAUGAGAAAGUAUAAUGUUGAUGGUUCUCUUAAUACCUUCAAGGCCAAACUAGUAGCUAAAUUUUAUCGACAAAAUGAAGGAAUAUACUAUUUUUUGAUACUUAUGCAUCAGUAGUUAGAAUAACAUCAAUUAAGAUAUUAUCCGCAUUGGCUUCAAUACAUAACUUUCAUGUUCAUCAAAUGGAUGUUAAUGUGUCAUUCUUAAAUGGGGAUCUCGAUGAGGAGGUUUAUAUGGAGCAACUAGAAGGUUUUGUUUUACUUGGAAAUGAAUAUAAGGCAUGCAAGCUAGUAAAAUCAUUAUAUGGUUUGAAGCAAGUACCGAAAAAAUGGCAUGAAAAGUUUGAGUUAACAAUAAUAUCAUUCGGAUUUAAACAUAAUAGCGUAGAUAGAUGUUUAUAUUCUAAAGUAUGUGAUGAUUACGUGACAUUUAUAUACUUGUAUGUUGACAAUAUUUUGAUUAUAAGUAAGCACAUGGAUGGUAUAAAAGAAACGAAGAGGUUUUUAUCUUCCACAUUCAAGAUGAAGGAUCUUGGACAUGUUAAUACCAUUUUGGGUAUCAAAAUCACAAAGACUAGUUGGGGUUAUCAUCUAAGUCAAUUUCAUUAUAUCGAGAAUGUGAUAAACAAAUUCAAACACUUGAACAUUAAAGAAUAUAGUACCACAAUUAAUCCAAGUUCAAAACUCGUAAAAAAUGAUGGAAGGAAAAUUGCUCAAUUGGAAUAUGCUAGUGCUAUUUGAAGUCUUAUGUAUGCAGUUCAAUGUACAAGACCAAAUAUAACAUACGAAAUUAGUAAACUUAGUAGAUUUUCUUGCAAUCCAAGUAAUGAUCAUUGGAGAGCCAUUAAGAGAGUUCUUGGAUACUUAAAGAAAAUCAAGAACUUAGGUCUACAAUAUGAUAAUUUUCGGCGGUAUUAGAAGGAUUUACUGAUACUAGUUGGAUAUCUAGCACGGGUGAAAUUGAAUCCAUAUCAAGUUGGAUGUUUACUCUAGAAGGGGGUGCUGUUUCUUGGAAAUCAAAGAAACAAACAUGCAUAACACACUCGACCAUGGAAUCUAAAUUUGUAGCACUAUCAGAUACUGGGAAAGAGGCUGAGUAGAUUAAGGAUCUCUUUUAUGAAAUACUUUCGAGGUCGAAGAAUAUUUCUUCAAUACCUAUCAUGUGUGAUAGUCAAGUCACAUUAGCAAAAGCAUACAAUGGAAAGUCUAGACAUAUGAGUCUAAAAGAUGACUACAUAAGGAAAUUAAUCAAAAAUGGAAUAAUUUCACUAAGUUAUAUAAGAUCAAUUGAGAAUUUAGCGAAUCCUUUGACUAAUCCUCUAAAUAGAGAUUUAGUAGUGUCUACUUCGAGUAGGAUGGAUUUGAAACUCCUUAAUUAAAAUGGUCCACCAAUGACGACAACUCUACCCGUCAUUGCUCAAAAAGUAAUUCACGGGUUCAAAGGGUAACUGAUAAGAGUGCAAAAUAUCAUAAUUUUUCCCUCUUAAUUAUUGCAUUCGUGUUACUAUUUGAUACCAAAAUGAAUUUAUUAUACUUAUACUUUGAUUCAGGUAGCAUCUUGGUAGAAAAAUUGAAAUUUAGAAGAAAAGAGCAAAAAAGGACCAAAAUGAAAGAAAGUGAAAGUUUAAGGACCAAGUUGCAAAUAAUACAUAAUGAGACGGGCAAUGGAAUGAUGAUUCAAGAAAUCUAGGAGUCAAUUGGGUGUAAUCUGAAGUCAAAAGAAGUGAAAUAUGACCAAAACAUCUUCACAAAUCAAUUUUCAAUAGAAAAAGUUAUGCAUCGAUUUUCAGCCUUAUAUUGGGACCUAUUUUUGACAUGGAAAACGAUCAAUCUAGAAGAUGAUAUCUGAGUCAAAUUUUUAGUCCUUUGUGUUAUCUUUUCAACGCAACUUGAAUCACCUUAAUUGGACAUUAGGAGAGAAAGUUAUGACUAAAAAACUAAAAGUUUUCCGACGGAGAAAAUGGCAAUAACCAUGCGGCCGCAUGGUUAUAAAGCCAUGCAGUCGCACAAGCACCUCCAGGAGAUUCCAGAGGCCAAAAUGUUUCUACCAUGUGACCGCAACACUUAUAACCAUGUGGUCGCAUGGUUAUUCCUCGAUGCUGAAAUUUCUGUUUCCUUGAUCAACUCAACCACUUAUGGAAACAUGCUUUUCACACAUUUUUAAACCCUAAUCUCGACCAAAAUGCCUACCAUUCAUUAUAUAUCACUUUUCUUUGGUUUUUGGCUCAAGAAAUCCAUGGAGAACUAAACUUAUUGGUGAAGCCAUGAAGGAACUCUGUUAGAUUUGGAAAUUUUCAUGUCUUUUCUUGCUUAAAUGUGUUCUUUCAUUGUUAAACAGUUCUAGAUUUAGAUUUCUUAUUCUUAUGAACAUGUUUUGAGGUUGGUUUAAUUUGUAUUAAAUUUUCAUGGAUUCAAUCACGUUUUUUUCCAUUGAAUAAUUGAAGUACUUAUUGAAUUUCAAUCUUAAAUCUUCUAUUGGUGUGAUUCUUUAUCAUUAUAUACUUGAUGUAUAUAAUCGCUUUUGGAUCUAAUUUCAAUGGAUUAUUGUGGAAUUAUAUUAUGAAAGAAAUCUAAGUUUGGGGAAUUAUUGUGGAAUUGAAUAGGUUUGAAGGUUGAAUUUUCCAAUUAAAGUGUUGGGAUGAAAACAUUUAAUUGAGCAUUUUCGUGCAAAAAUUGACAUUGAUUGAACCAAUUUAAUCGAGGAAAUUCCGGCGCUUCACUAUUUCAUAUAUUGAUAUUAAACUUUCACUUCAAUUAUUCCAAUCGACAAAUUGUUUUCACACAAAUCAUGAUAAAAACCCUAAGCUUUUGAUCCUUUAAAUAAUUUUCCAUCUCCCUAUGGAUACGACACCCCAAAACUGUACUAUAAUCAUCGCGUUAAUCUUUGAGCGUAAUCAGUAACAACAAGUCAUUCGAUAUGUGGAUAGUUGCAGCAUUAUUUAAAUCCAUAAUGACCCUAUCCUAAUUAAAUAAUGUGGUUGUUACUGAAGUGAGGUUUGAGCUUAAAACUCUUAAUGAAGUUUAGUGCUAAAACACAAGUAUCUUUAAAAGUAACAAAGAUAUUGGAAGAACUUCACCUAAAUGAACUUCAAGGUGGUGCCGCCUCAAUAGAGAGUUGGAGUUUCACUCUUAAAAGUUCAUUGAAUAGGAUGAGCGCAAGGCCAUAAAAGUGCUAAGCGAGUUGAGGAACUUGAGAACACGUGAUACUUAUGUGCGUGUUCUUACCGGUAUUAUCACAAGGAAUAAUUGGUUCAAAGCUUCUAUGCUACCUCUGAUUCCGACUUUACUUUGUUUGAAUUACACUAUGGUUAAAUUCAAAUCGAAAGAUAUCUAAUCCUUAUGCAUAAGUGUCGUCAUUUUGAAUAUGUGAUCGUAUUGAUUUUGAACAAGUGGAGGAUAAAUCAAUGAAAUAAUAAUGGCCAAAUUGUUAGGCUCAAUUAUGGAAUUGGUAGAAUAAAAAAAAAUUGAAAAAUGUAAAGUUUGAUUAUUUGCCUAUGCAUAUGCACAGACUUAAUUUUGUGCAUACACAAGAUGUAUUUUGGCAAAAUCAGAAUCAAAUUUGCUUCUACUAUGCGCAGGCAAGGUUUAUACUAUGUGUACGCAUAGUGUUAAAAAAUAGCAGUUGGCUAAUUUUUCAAUUUGAAAUUUGGAAGCCAUUUUGAAUUAAAAGUUGCCCUUUUUAUCUUAUUUUGGCAAAUUUUCGUGAUGUAUUGAUUGAGGCCUAUAAAUAGGUGAUGAAUUAUGAAAACAAAUACAUUAUAGACAUUGAAAACAUCUUACUAUCCAUACUUUGUUCCAAAAACAAUCAAGUCCUGAUUUACAUUCAUAUUCAUUCUAUCUGAUUUACAUUCAUAUUCAUUCUAUUUUCGUGUUUUUCAAGUUUUGGAAGAAUUUCACUUUGUGCUUUGGUGAAAUUCUUUACAAGGUUUGUUACAAUCCUUCAAACUAUUUGUCGGAAUACUCUUAAGCAUAUCAUAAACACUGGAGAAGUGGCAAAUAAUGCUUUAGGACAGCGAUCCCGCGUUCAAACCUUCACAUUUGUUGUUACAAAUUUUUGGUUUUGUUUCUAUUGUUGCCAUACUUUUGUGAAUUUUCUUUUUGAUUCUUCUUCAUCCCUCCAAUAUCUACAACAUAUUCAGGCAUGUUAUCGGAUGCAUCACUCUUUUCUCCUGCUGCUUUCAUGAAACUUGUUAACAAGUCAAAAUCCUCAUUUUCUUGUUGAGUGGUUUGGUCUGCACAAUUAAUUUUCAAGCGCUUUAGAGAGAUGCAAUGCAUAAAAAAUUGAUUGACGGUGUCCAUCGCUUUACUAAGCUUCUUCUCUUUGUCAAUUUGGAGCCAUUUUUGAAGCUUCCAGUAAGUUUUUGGGAGAAUAUGCCUAUAUGACAAAUGUGACAAAUCGUUGUGCAGUGAAGCCGGAUCAUGGCUUAAAAUCAAAAUGCAAGUGCAAUCAAAGGUAAAACGUUGAAAUAAUUCUUGUAUAUCCACUUCAUUCCUCACCUUUGCCGCAUUCUCCAGAAUUGGGACGAGCCCUUCUUCCACCUUGUUUCGGCUAGUUGUAGCUACAAAAUUUUGAAACCCCUGUUGAUUGACUAAUGACAUAAUGGUUCUCCUAUAGUUUUCCCACGAUUCUAAUUUCGCGUUGAAUAUCCUGUUGGAAUUUUUUUCGAAAAUUGGUUGUGACCAAUUUUAAAUGAGUAUUUAAGUGAAAUUCGUUAUUUGGUAAAUGAGAAAUUAAGUCAAGAACCUGUUUGGGAGUGAUUUUGAAAAUUGAUUUUUUGACCAUUAGAAGAAAAGUGGGGUCCACCUGUAAGAGAAGAAGUCAAAUAUGACGGCUGGAAUAGUGAAAUAACGGUCAAAAAAUCAAUUUUUUGGAUGAAAAAAUCGGGCCCAAACAGGCCCCAAAUGUAAACCGCUUAAUACUGAAAAUUAUUGGAAAAAUCGUAUAGAAUAUUGUAGAAUAUUCUAGAAAUAUAUGGAGGAAAAAAUGUGAUUUUUCGUAUGAAAGAUCAUGACUCUUGGUAUGGGUAUAAUUAAUACCCAAUAAUUAUGAAUUCCAAGAGAUGUGUUUCUUGGUAUAGUUGUGUCUUUUGACACACCUUUCAACUGCUAAAUAUAUAGACCCCAUGUGUUUGAAUUUUAUUUAUUCAAGAAAAGUCAUAGAUAUCAUAUCAUUUCAUUCCAAUUUACACUUUGGUUUUGCAUAAAAUAGUUGCAUCAAAGUCACGGUCAUGGUCAUGGUAGAGAGAAAAUUUCGUUCGAGUUCGCUGGUCGAAGUCAUUUGAAGUGCUCCUAUGGCUCGACUUCAUCGUUGUAUCUUGGGAGAUGAUUGUCGAAAAAUCGUUAGCACUGAUGCGAGGCAAAUUCAUCUUAAGGACUAAGUGUCCAAUACUCACCUCGACCAAAAAUUCAUCACUUGCAUCUUCAUCCUCAUUUUCUGAUUUCCUUUUAUUAUGAUUAAUCUAAUUUAUAUAUUUAUAUUGCAAGGUUCGAUCGUUCAAGAAUCAAAAGAGAAAGUUCCACAUUCAUAUUCUUCGGAAUCGGUAAAUUCUCAUUUUUCCUUAUUAAAUCCAAUUUCAGUAAGUUGGAAUACGUUUUGAUUUCAUGCAAAUAAACGAUAUGUUUAUUGUGAAUAUAAUAUGCACAAUUAUCGGUGUAUUUUUUCAACAAUCUUAAGAUGAAUUUUGUGUUGUUGUGCAUAAAAUAUUCUGUUAGAAAUUAAAAUAUAUAUAUCCGUAUCACGUAUUAGAAUUUAUGCAUGUUCGACUAGUACUAUGCAUGGCAUCAUUUUAAACUGUUGUAAUUUGGACCAGCUGGUCGGUUAUAUCUCUGAACAAUGUGCUGGGACGUUUAACUCAAUGAGUGUUUUGUGCAUGAGGAAUUUUGAUUGGGCCUUGUGCAAAACUAAAUAUUAUAUCCAUAAGUCUUUGAGUGCACAUUCUUUUGUUUUACGUUCGGGAAUUUGAUAAGUUACGUAUUCAAAUAAAUGAAAUUUAUUUGGGAUGAAAACAGUUUAUUAUAAUGCAUCUUACGGGUUGUCUCCUCCAAUUCUAAUUUCGCAUGUGAACCGAUACCUGUUGAGUUCCGGAAAAAUCAUUAAGUUGUGAACUUAAUCAUGUUGUAACUACCGACUAUUGUAGUAUGCCGUCCAUUUAUUUAUAAUAUGAUGGAAAAUAAAUUAUUGCAUUGGAAGUCUAUGGAAAGAUGUAAAUAAAAUGCAUGGCUACCGUCUGUUCCUAAUUACACUCCAUGUGUCAAUCGUAUAUUUGCAUAAGUCUUUGCAUGGUUGGAAUAAUUGCAUGCAAAAUAAUUUAGAUUUGAAAUUGGGUUUAAAAAAUGUUGGAUAUAUGUUGUUCAAAAGACAAUAAACCUGUGCGUGGAAUGAAGAAGAGAACUAAAAAUCCAUAACAAAUGUUUCUGCUUUAAAUCCAUUUCUAAUGAAUUUGCUAUUGGAAAUUACCAAGACCAUAUUUAUUGAUAUUGAUCGUGUCAAUUCAUAAUAAAGAAUUCAGUUUUCAUUUUCAGUUAAUUGGUGGAAGUUUCAAAAGUGAAACGAGAACAUUUAAGUUGGUCAUGAUGACUGUUCAAAUCCGUCUUCAGUUUCCUUCAUCUUUCCAUGUGUAGUUUAUCCUUAUGCAUGUGAUGAUUAUUGCUUAAUAUAUAUAAUUUGCAAAGGAAGUCCACUGAUGAGAGAUUCAAAUAAUUAGUGAUUUACGAGUAAGAGAAUUAAAAUCUGUCUUACAUGUGGGUAUGUAUCACGAGGCCACUUUUGCAUUAGGAUGUUGCCUAAUUUUUCUAGUGCUACUGUGAAACAUUCAAAUCCAGAUUUGUGAUGUGGAUAAUAGUCUUUUGAUGUUCCGUGAGUAUGGAAAAUUAUGUGUGUUCAUUUUAUAGCUGCCAAAUACGGUAGGCUUCCAUAAGGAUGGCAACGAGCCGAGCCGAGCCGGCUCAUGAGCCAAAGAUCAAGGCUUUGGCUCAACUCGAGCUUUUUGAAAACGAGCUUUUUUUGGCCUGAGCCAAGCCGAGCAAAAGCUCGGCCAAAAAAUCAAGGCUUGGCCCAAGCUUCGAGCCGACUCGUUUUUUCCCCUUUUUUCCUCUUAAAAGGCAGCUGACUGCCUUUGUAACAAAGGCAGCAACUUGCUGACUUUUGAGAGGAUUUUUUUUGCGAGCUGGCCUGCAAGCCAUACGGGCCGACGGUGAGCUCGGACCGACAACCCAAGAUGGGGCUCGAUUUGACCGAGCCUCGAGCCGAGCCAGCUCGAGCUUUUUGCGGGUCAAGCCAUGGGCGGCCCGAGAGCUCUAGCCUUUUUGCCAUCUCUAGGCUUCCAUUUACAGUAAGCUGCUAAAUACGGUAAGUAUGUAAGCUGCCAAAUACGGUAAGCUGUCACAUACGGUAGGCUGCCAAAUACGGUAAGUUGGUAAGCUUCCAUAUACGGUAUGCGUCAAUCCGGUAAGUGACAUAUAUGGUAUGAAGUUGUAAAUCCGAUAUAUGUCCAUGGAUUUUGGUUUGAAAAUUAUACAAACCUUGAUUAAUGAUGAUAGCCUCAAUUAAUUUUAUGAAAUUAAAUGAGAUGACUUAUGCAAAAUUAUAGUUGCAUAAGAGUACGACAAAAUGUGGUUUUGUCCUAAUUAUUUUAAAGUGAAAAUUGCUUGCCCAAUUAUUGGAAUAUGAAAAUAGUUUAUAGAGCACAAAUUGUGUCUAUAGUUGGCAGUGGUGCUAGAUAUUCAUAAAAAUAAUGAUUGACAAAUGACAUUCAUUUGUAAAGGAUAAAAACUAUGUUAUGCAAAAAUUGUGAAGAAUAUUAUGAAAUAUUUUAGGAUUAAUUUCAAGAGGUAUGUCCUUUUGUAAGGUUGCGACUUUGAAAGCACAACUAGUCAAUCCAUGGUUGAUUUAUUCUUUCAAAUGUGAAUAUGGUGAAUAAUGUGAAAUGUACCUUAUUAUUUGAUGUGAAUAAUAUUAUUUGUGAAAUGUCACAAAUGUGAAAGUUUCACAUUGUUGAAGAUGCUUAUUCUUCUUCAUUGUUGAAUUUGACUUCAAUAGUGGAAACAAUUAAGUUGAUUUAUGACGACCUUAAAGAUGACCUCAAUUUAAUUUGGACGAUCAAAUUAAUAUGGUUCAUUGAAGUACAAUUUCGAAUGGAAAAUGGUUUUUUAUUCAUGUGAAGCAAUGACCACUAUUUUGAAAGUAUUUAGACUUUUACCAAGCAUCCGAUACGGAUAUUAUUUAAGUGAUAAAUGAAUUAAACUAUGAAAGAGUUGAUAAACUCUAAGUUCAAAAAUAAUCCAAAAAUGUGAGGGUUAUCAUAAAUGCUUGAGAACUUAUGUGGAAAGUUCAACUCGUGUGGGUACAACGCUACUACUUGGAUAUAUAACCCUAAUUUAAGAAUUGUGGGGGUAACUUAGUUUAAAGUUACACUUUUCUGUAUCUCUCAAGAAAAUGGAAGAGGCACCAUAUGAGUUAUGGAAAUAUCAUCCUCCUUCCUACCAACAUUUAAAAGUGUGGGGGUGUUUGGCAAAUGUCGAGGUUCUUAAGUCCAAACAAAUAAAGAUUGGUCACAAAACGAUUGAUUGUAUAUUUAUUGGAUACGCCAAUAAUAGUAGUGUAUAUCGUUCCUCAUGCACAAAUCGGAUAUAUAUGAGGUUAUCUCUACACUUGGUCCAAAUAAGGAUGAAAGCGUGUCACAACUGAUAUAUUCACAAGCAAUUAGCAAUCUAUUGUAUAUUACGAAAUGCACUCGAUCGGAUAAUGUUUUUACUGUAAAUAAACUUGAAGAUUCACGAGUAAUCCAGGCCAUGAUUAUUGGUUGGCAAUGACAUGGGUCCUUCGGUAUCUAAAAUAUACCAUGACCUAUGGAUUAUAUUUCACAAGAUAUCCUGCAGUAUUAGAAAGAUAUUGUGAUGCGAUGGUAUACACUAAGUCUAUGGAUGAAAAGGGAUGAAAGCCUUAAAGUGGAUGAAAUGGGAUGAAAGCCGAUCAUGACGAUUGUUUGGAGAUAGAAGAACAAUUGAAAUAUUUAAGAAUAUUCAUAAAGUUCAAAUGCAUUGUAAUGCUUUAAUGACGAGAUUGAAGACCCAUGUACGAAAUCCACUAUUAAAUAUGAUAGACUAGUGUAAGGAUUUGAUAGAAGUCCUCCAACAUUAUUUGGAAUUGAUAAAGCUAAUAAGAAGCAUGUAGCUUCAUGAGAUGAUUUCUUGGUGGUGACAAUGUAUAUCAAUCAAAUGAUUAGAUCGUUGGCUAGCUAAAUUUGAAAAGAUACUAAGCCACAUGUAAUGGUCAGUCUAGAUGUGUAAGUCGUAGGCAUAAUACCAUAAGCAGUUGAUCUCAUUUGUGUAAACUUGUGGAUCCAUUUAUAUAUGUUUACCAAGAGAUCAAGUAUACUGCAUAUCGAAGGGAACGAGAUUAAGCCUAUUGAGUAAGAGUCCUUAUGAUGGUAACCCUACCUGUUGACUGGAGAUCUCAAGAUCUUGGUUCAAAAAGACAACUAAGUUAUGAGGAUUUCAUGAAGCACUUAGGAAACUAAUUUUCUAACUCAUUCCUAUGAUACCAAAGUUCUUUCUGCAGAGUGGUUGGAGGUUAAGGUAAACUUUUAAAGAUUCAUAUAUCUUGAUUAAAUCAAGUAGAGUAAGGCAGAAUACUCUUAAUAGGAGAUCACCUAUGUAAGUGUGAAGGGGGCCGCUUCAAUGAGAAUUAUUUAAGGCUUGAAUUCUCUAAACACUUUCAGAACCAAGAUGUGUUCAGGGCUAAAAUGAACCAAGUUAUGAGAACCAUGAACAGUUUAUGGGAGACAUUGUGUGAGUACUGUUGUCUUGGUUUACACCAACAGCUGAUGGUUCAAGAACAUCACGUUCACCAAUUAGCUAGUAAAUCCGAUGGUAUUUCACUAAGAGUGUUUCAAAGCCAGAAGCUACCUCACCUGAUGUAGUGUUUUUCCGCUCUCUCUACCAGUGUCUGCAUAGACAUUUGCAUUAAUUUUCAUUCAUGUGGGGGAUUGUUGGAAUUUUUUUCGGAAAUUGGUUGUGACCAAUUUUAAAUGAUUAUUUAAGUAGAAUUCGUUAUUUGGUGAAUGAGAAAUUAAGCCAAAUGUAAACCGCUUAAAUACUGAAAAUUACUGAAAAAAUCAUAUAGAAUAUUGUGGAAUAUUCUAGAAAUAUAUGGAGGAAAAAUGUGACUUUUCGUAUGAAAGAUCAUGACUCUUGGUAUGGGUAUGAUUAAUAUUCAAUAAUUAUGAAUUCCAAGAGAUGUGUUUCUUGGUAUAGUUGUGUCUUUUGACACACCUUUCCAAUUGCUAUAUAUAUAGACCCCAUGUGUUUGAAUUUUAUUCAUUCAAAUAAAGUCAUAGAUACCAUAUCAUUUCAUUCCAAUUUACAUUUUGGUUUUGCAUAAAAUAUUUGCAUCAAAGUCACGGUCAUAGUAAUGGUAGAGAGGGAAUUUCAUUCGAGUUCGUUGGUCGAAGUCAUUUGGAGUGCUCCUAUGGCUCGACGUGAUUGUUGUAUCUUGGGAGAUGAUUGCCGGAAAACCGUUGCAGCGAUGCGAGGCAAAUUCAUCUUAAGGACAAAGUGUUCAACACUUACCUCGACCAAAAAUUCAUCACUUGCAUCUUCAUCUUCAUUUUCUGAUUUCCUUUUAUUAUGAUUUGAUUUCAGAAAAUGAUUAAUCUAAUUUAUUUAUUUAUAUUGCAAGGUUUAAUCGUUCAAGAAUCGAAAGAGAAGGUUCCACAUUCAUAUUCUUUGGAAUCGGUAAAUUCUCAUUUUUCCUUAUUAAAUCCAAUUUCAGUAAGUUGGAAUACGUUUCGAUUUCAUGCAAAUAAACGAUAUGUUUAUUGUGAGUAUAAUAUUUACAAUUAUCAGUGUAUUUUUCCAACAUAUCCCAUUUCCUAAACUAUCUAAUAUCUACUUAAAUUCAGGACCUUUUGUGAAUUUUUGAAAGUUUUUGCUCAAUACGUAACGAACAUUAGCUGGAUCACAAGUCACCAACAUGUCCAUGUUGCCAAACCGUGGGCCUUUAAACCAAACAGUGGUGGAGCUCUCAAGAAGCUCGGUGAUAUAGUCGUGAAUUCUGUGAAUAUUGAAAAUUAGCAAUGGCAUCAUACCAAAAAGUGGCAAGUUUAUAUGCAGUAAUCUUUUCUUUCUUUUUCCAUCGAAGUUUCUGUAGGAAAGAAAAAUAGCAGACAAAAUUACAAGCAAUAGUAAGACGAAGUUUAUGAUGGCCAACAUAUCUGGUGCAUGUAUUCUGAAAAUCAAAGGUUAAAUGGUGAGGUUUCAUAAAUUUUGGCUGAUAAUGAUAUGCUGUGUGUCUUGUGGGUCUUUUAUAAUGGGCAUUUCUUCAAAUGAGCAAGUCAUUUUCGAGGACAUCAUAGUUAUUUCUGCCAUUUGGCUGGAGGUAAUUGUAAUGGACAAGCGUCCUGCUUCAUUGGUUGCAAAUGUCAUGUUUUCUGGCAAGAAUUAAAUGAGUAACUAUGAGAACUUUGGUAAUCUCAAACCAUAUACAUACAUCUUGCACGAGUCAAACACUCUUUGCAUUCGUCAUCUUUCCAUACAAAGUGUUGUAACUUUAAGUUUUAAUAAGUUUUAAAUUUCAAAAUUAAAAGUAAUUUGAAUUUCAGUUUUCAAUUUAAAUUUUAGUACAAAUUUGAAACUCAAAAUUUAGAUUGUAACUUAUAUUUAAAUAAGAUUUAUUUUCAUGAAUAUGGGGAUUGAAUUUCUCCCUAUAAAAGGGAGUGAUUUUCAUGUAGUUAAACAUCACAUGGAAAAGAUAAUUUCAUAACAAUACUUUCUAUACUUAUAUAUUAUUUUCUAUAGUUUUGGCAACUUGAAAAUGGUUCGUUCGUUUAUCUCCCUAUGAUCGUAUCCAUAGAAGGAAAACACGCAUGUAAGUCAUGGGUUUCAUCUUGGCGUCAUGUAGUGUCAAAAAUAUUCGCACGAAAGGAAGGCAACACGACUUUAGGACAACAUUUACGACGUGAUUACUCUUCUUCUCAUAUACUCAUAUAAUUGUUGAAUUAUUUUAUUGUGCUAUAUAAAUUGAUUAUGUUAAUUAGUAAGUAUCUAAACACAAAUCACCCAAUUUUUUCAACAAUCUAAAGUCGUGUUGGUGAUUAUGUGUUUAGAGAGAUAUGCAUAAUCUUUAAAAUGUUUACUAUUUUUGGAUACUUGUUAUUUUGUGUAAACACGUGAGAUGUGAUGUAGCAUACAUGUAUUAUAUUCUAAUAUCUAUCCUUACAAUAUUGUGGUCAUUAUCUUCAACAACGGUGUAAAGGUUAAGAAAUGGAUUUCUGCUGACAAGUCGUUGCAGCUCACGCUCUCUUUAUGGUAUAUAUUUUGCUUUCUAGCCACAAAUAGGGGCACCAAUUCAUGUCGAUGCUCCUGGCCGAAAUGAUAUGAGGAUGUUUGAUGAUGCACGUAAAAGGAUAAAAAUUAUCUGUCUACAUGGACACAAUGUUCUAAAUUGUUAAAUAGCUCUGUAUUUACAAUUCGUUUUAUGCUCAUUUGGAAAACAAGAUACAAGUAUUGUGGAAAAAAUGAAGCAAAGGGAGACGAUAUGUAAGAAAAAGAAUGGCAGUUAGGUUUGUCUCGUUGACAUUUGCCAUGACGGGUGCGCUCACAUGACAGGUCAAAAACUUAAUGAAAUAUUUAUUUUGGUUUCGAGGAGAGAUGGUACCGGAAUUUUCGCCCGGCUCUCUCCUCUGUGUGGUGCCUUUUUUUGCUUUUGCCUCAUGUUUCUAUUUCUGGAAAUAUUUUCUGAUUGGUCCUAGAACGAGUUGUGCAUUAUUUCUGUCUUUUUCUUGACCUUUGGAUAUCUAGUGAAAGAAUAUGUGAUUGACUGAAAUUUAAACCUAUGGUGAAACAAAUUGGAAUUUUUUCUCAACCUUGUUUGGAUGUAAGGGAUGAUAAAUAACAUUAGAUGGAAGAAUAUCUAUAAUUUGUGAAAAAUGUGCUGAAUUAAUAUUUUAAAAGAGUAUAAUUUCAUAACUAAUCUGCAUGAUUUUAUUUACGUCCCAUGUGUAACGUGUAAAGGAAGUUGAAGUCUUUCAAAAUUAAAACCUUCUCAAAAUUUCAGUUUUGAUUUUUGAUUUUCAAUUUUAGUAGAAAGUUGAAAAUCUUAAUUGAUGAGUGUAACUUAUCUUUUAAAUGUACUAGUUGUGGGUAGUAUGACAAGAUAUUGUUGUAACAUACAUAUUAAUAAGUUUUAAAUUUCAAAAUUAAUAAUUUUUUUUUAAAAAUUUCAGGUUUAUAUUCAAUUUCAGAUUUAAUAUAAAAUUAAAAUAUCAUUACAUUAGGGGGGUUGUUUGAGCCCAAUUUUUCUUAAAAAAUUGCAUUUUGAAAUAUUGUUGUGAUGGAAAAUAUGUGGUUAAAAAAUAAAGAAUAGUUUUGAAUUUGCGUGUAAUAUUAUUUUUAUAGAAAAAUAUGUGGUUGAAAUGGUGUCAAAUCACUGUUGAAAAAUGUAUUUUGAUGAAAAAAUGGACCCAAACAAGGGCUAGAUGUAACCUCUUUUGAUGAAUUAAUUUUCAUUAUGGUAGGGGUUAAAACUUCUACAUUAUGAAAGGGACAUGAAAUUUCAUUGUUUUUUUUAGGUUUAAUAAAAUUAUUUCUCCGAUUAAUUAUCAUUUUCUCCCUUUUGUCUUCGCUUUUGCAUGCAUAUUAAUUUGUAAGAUAAUUAGCACAAAGCGUCUUUACCUUUCAAUGUUAUUAUGUAAAACAUCCAUACCUUUCAUUUUUUUGUACUUUUACUCUUGCCUUCACAUUUUAUUGCGAAAAUCAUCAUUUUCAUCAAAUUUCUCAUGUAAAAUGAUCAAUAUACCCCAUAUUUAAAUAAAAUGAUAAAAAAGAAAAGAAAAGUUAAAGAAUAAAUUGUAAUCAUACUCCCAAAUUUUUUUAAAAAGUGCAAAUGAGUUCACAUAAAUUCUUAAAAUGGUAAUUAGCAAAAAAUGUCCAUACCUUUCAUCAUUAUUGCGCAAAACGUCCAUACCUUUAUUUUUUGACAUUUUCAUCCUUAUUUUUAUAUUUCAUUGCAAAAAUCACCAUUUUUAUCCAUUUUCUCAAUUAAAAGUUGUAAAAUGACAAAUAUACCCUCAUCUUUAAAUAUAAAAAUAAGGAUGAAAAUAUCAAAAAAUAAAGGUAUGGACGUUUUGCUCAAUAAUGAUGAAAGGUAUGGAUUUUUUUGCUAAUUACCAUUUUAAUAAUUUAUGUGAACUCAUUUGCACUUUUUAAGCCCCCGUUUGGCCCCCAUUUUGUGAUAAUAAAAAUUGGAAGAUUAAUAUUUUUUUUAAAAUGAGUGGUUGAAAAAGAAAGAAAUUUUUUUUAUUUACGUGUAAUAUUAUUUUAUGGAAGAUUGUGUGGUUGAAAAUAGGAGAGAGAAAAAUAAAAUGUAAUGGAAUGAAAAUUAAUGAGGGCCAAAUGGGGGCUAAAAAAGGGGGCUAAAAAAGAUUGGGAGUAUGAUUGCAAUUUAUUCUUUAACUUUUCUUUUCUUUUUUAUCGUUUGAUUUAAAUAUAGGGUAUAUUGGUCAUUUUACACGAGAAAUUUGAUGAAAAUGAUGAUUUUCGCAAUAAAAUGUGAAGAUAAUGGUUAAAAUGCCAAAAAACAAAAGGUGAGAACAUUUUGUACAAUAACAUUGAAAGGUAAGAAUAUUUUGUUCUAACUACCCUAAUUUGUAAGAUAAUUUCAAUUUACUUGGAGAUAUUGAAUAAUUGCACGCACGUGUAUGUGUAUAAAUUAAUACUCACCUAAAUGAGUACAUACUGAUAAAUAUAAGAUUGUGAUUGAUUUUACGAGUGUGACGUUUGACCAUGAAGCAUGUGUAGAACUGAGAAACAUGAAUCCUAAAAAACAAGAAAUGUGCAUCAUGAUUUCUUAAGAAAUUAAGCUAGAAAGGUUAAGGACUUUUGACACAUGUAAAAUAUUGGUAUGUUCUUUUUAUGAUAUCUUUUAAGACCUUAUUUGAUUACUUGUAAUCACAGAAAAUGUGAUUUGGUGUGUCUGAAUAUUUUGUUUGGAAAAAGCACGCUACCUAUUUAGGUGUUAUAUUUUAAAAUUAAAAUGAAAUUUAAAGAUAUGAUACAUAUAUUUCUAUUGUGUAAUAAAAUUUGUGAUGUGUAUGUAUUGAGAUGGAAAUAGGAGAUUAAACUAUUUUAGACACAUGAAAAUUUAACUUUCUGAACGUGGCUUGUAAAAAUGUCGAAAGAAAAUAGGCUCAUGGAUGAAUUGGAAAAAUUGUUACUUUUGUUUUGAUGUAUGCUUAAUAUGAGCUUUUGUUCUUUUGAGUCAAAUAGGUAAUUGACAACUAAAAUGAUUUUAUUAACCCCUAUUUAGACAUGGAAAGAUAACUUUAUUUUCCAAAAUAAUAAUAAAAUAAAAUAAAAAGGGGCAUGUUUGCAUAGAUAAAAAGUUAAAAGAUAACAAAUAAAUUUUAAGUGACAAUUUAAAUUUGUACAAUGAAGAUUUAAUUGUCAAUUAAGACUUUAAAGUUAGUUCGCGAAAUUCUCCAUAUUGCAUGUUUUUUUUCUCUCCAAGAUAUAGUGCAAAUAUCUUAAAUCUAAGAGGCAAAAUGUGAAUUUGAUUUGUUGGUAAUGUUUAUUUUAUUCAUGAUUCGAUGUACUUUCUAUUACUAGGCUUUGUAUGUUUCUUAGCUUAGCCCAUUGGUCUAAUUUUGGGGAUUUUUAUAUUAUAAUAUCAUUAGGUUUUAUUUAAAUUAUAAUGUUAUUAGUAUUGUUAAAUACGACUUUAUAUAUUUCUGUCUAAUUUAUGUAAUGGUGAUUUAUACUUUAUAACCAACGGAGUGUAUAUAUUUCCAUGCAAAAUUGGACAAUUAUUUUUCAUAGGUAUUCUUUAUAUAAUCAAUUAUUUAGUCAAUUAUGUAGAUACUAGAAUAAACAUGUGCGUCAUGUUUAAUCCUGUCAAAAGAGAAAACAUAACAAUUUAUAGAUUUCAAUAAAGCACAUUAUAGAUGGCUUGAAUAUGGGGGUUAUCAAAUGGACUUUAUUAUUACACACACACACACUCUCUCUCUCUCUCUCUCUCUCUCUCUCUCUCUCACAUCUGAACGGUUGGUCAUAUUAUAUAGUUAACCAAUUUUCUUUAUAAUUACAUUUGGAUCCCAAAGUAAUCAUUUUGUUAGUAUUAGUGUGUACUUAAGAAAUUUUUUUAGCACAUCCCUAAGUUCCUAGCAUAUCUUGGAAACGUAAGAAGAUUGGCAACAAUAUUUUGCUAGUACAUGUUUAUGUAGGACAUUUUGGUAGGAUAAAGUGCAUGUGUUUCCUAUGUUCAUAUCAUAUUCAUAUAGAUGACAUGGUGGAAAACUAUGGCUAAGAAAAUUAAUUUCCACAAACUGAAUAUAUUUGAAAUGUGAGGAUGCUUAAAAUUUCACAUAAAACAUCUUAUAUGUUAUUAUUUUUUGUAAACUGACUCUUGAAAUGUGUUAAAAGUUAUAUUUAACUAUUUGCAGGUGAAAUGCAAGAGUUCAAUGGAUGCAUAUACUCAAACGUGUUAUUAAAGAAAAUAUUAAAAAUUUCAUGCAUUUAUUUGAUCAUAUUUUGAAAAUUUCUUAUAAGAUUUUGCAGAUGUGUAGAAAUACAUGCAAAGAACAAGAGCUUUGCAAAUUGAUAGUACCAUAUUAUUGUCCAAGAGGGACAUAAAUAACUUGUAGUCCAAGAUGGAUAUACAUAAAUCAUCGAGGGGGAUGGGCUUAAGCCUAUAAAGGAGUCAUAUUCGGGAGUAACUCAACCUUUGUGAUUGGAGAUUUUACAAAUAAGGUUCAAUGUGGUAGAAACAACCCGCAUUGUGUGACAUGUAAUAACACUAUUUUAUUUGUGUUCAUCCCUAUAAGGAUAGUGCUAAUAAUAAUGUAAUGUUAGAAAGGGUCUAACCUUGAAUCACUACAAGAAUUUUAUCUUUUCCCUACAAAAUUUAUUUUGUAGGGAAAAGUUUUUAUUUGCAGACAAAAAAAUUUUGUAGGGAUAUUUGUGGGACAAACAUCAAGGGAAUAGCAAACAUCGAGGGGAUAGAGUUUAGCCCACAAUUUUUGAAAUUUGUCUGCUAAAGCUUUUCCCUAUGACCCUUUGGAGAUGAAUACUAUACGUUGCGUAAGUUUUUUCCCAACAUAAUAAUUUGUCUGCUAAAGUUAAUUUUGCCUACGAAAUAAUUUCCCAACAAUUAGAAAUUUGUGGUAACAUGGUAUAGACUAUUUUGUAAGCUAAACCCUAUUUUUCCCUGCAAAUAAUUUUUUUUAUAGGGAAAGCAUGUUUGCAAACUAUUAUAAAAGAAAUUAAAUUAUUUUUACAUGGUAAUUUUUUAACGAUAUUCAAAAUAAUAUAAAGAUGCAAAAAGACUAUAUUAAUUAAAAUAUGUAAUGUCAGUCAUUGUAACAUUGAAUCCGAAACAUAUCAUCAAAACAUAAAUAAAAAUCAUUCACUAAUUAUGAAUACAUCUAAUGUGGCUCUUAUAUCAUGAACUAACAACUAUGUACUCCAAAACUUGUAGCUCGUCUGCUCAGUUAAUUAUAUAAAACUCUAAUGUUCUCUCGAAUAAUACGCACGAUCCGAGAGGUCCUAAUUUGUUUACACGUCCCUUGAGUAGGAAGAUCUAGAGUCCUUGGCACGUAUCCUGCACCUAUCCCUGCAAAUCCAAUAAUAAAAAUCGAACACGUAAAUGGAUUUCAUAUAGUAAGAAAAUUAACUUUAAAAAAAAAAAAAAAACUCACCUUAAACUCAUUUAUUUCAUCAUCCAAUGUCCUAUCAUUUCCUUCAGUUCUUCAAACGGUUUCACUUUUGCUGCACCUAUUACAUGAUAUACACAUUACCUGUUUAUACUUGCCCAAUUACUUAAAAUGCAAAAGUUUCUACUUCAACCAAGGCAUAGAGAGAUACACAUAACACACACGAAAUUUAAAAAAUUACACAAUAGAAGUCAAACAGGUUUCUCCAAUUCUAGAUUCCAAUUGCAAGCUUAGGAAUGCCAGGUAACACGCAAGAAAUUUAAAAAAAUUAAAUAAUUACUGAAGCAUAAUAUGUCUUUCCAGUUUUAUAAGAGAACAAGAGCAAGCUAUUAAAGUUCAAGCAUGUUUAGCAAUUCAUAGCCUAUGCUAAUAGGUCCAUCUCAGAAAAACAUUUUUGCAUAUACAUAUCAAUUAGUGUUUAAUUUAAAAUGUUCUGAGCCCAUCAAAACAAUCAAUGUCACUCUCGAUUGAAGAAAACGUGUAAAUCGUUAUAUACAAGUUCUUUUCCAACGUAUUCUCUCUUUAACAAUAUAUAGAAUAUAUUAACAAAGAAGAAAAAACAGCAAAAUUCACCUUUAAUGAUUUUCAUUUUUAUUUCGACACAAAUCAGAAAAUUAUUCAAGAAAAGGAUUGAAGACUAGUUUUGAUAUAAAUCAUGGAGCAAUGCAGGCACAAGCUAGAGGCACUGCUUUUCCAGGUCGAAGACACUUGCCUCCCCUCUUAUAUUCUUUUUCUAUACAAGUCAAAUAUGUUUGUGAGCAUAAGAUUGCA